AAGAAGCGAGUUAUUUUCACCGGCUACUCGUCGGGUGCUCCGGUGGCCAUCCUGGCAACUCUAUACCUCUUGGAGAAGUCAGAGCCCAAUCAGAGCCCACCCCGCUGCGUCACUUUCGGAUCCCCCCUCGUCGGUGAUCGGAUCUUCGGUCAUGCUGUCAGGCGGGAGAAAUGGUCCGACCACUUCAUUCAUUUUGUUAUGAGAUACGAUGUGAUCCCUCGGAUUAUGCUUGGCCCUUCAUCCACUGAGCACAAACAAAUUCUCGAUUUCUUCAAUCCCGGAUCUGAAUCCUUCAGAAAACACACUGAUUCUUCUUUAGGUUUAUAUUCCAGCGUGAUGAGGAAUGCAUCCAUGGUUGCAAACUAUGAUGCCUGCAAUUUCAUGGGAUGCAGAAUCCCGGCGCUGGAAACUCUAAGGAACUUCAUUGAGCUCAGCCCUUAUAGACCUUUCGGAACUUACAUCUUCUGCAGUGGAAGUGGAAAGCUGGUUGUCGUAAGGAACCCGAAUGCAGUACUGCAGAUACUGUUUUACUGUGCUCAGUGGAGCCAAGAAGAAGAUGCAGAGGCUGCAAAAAAAGGCCUAAAUGAACACUUGGACUACCAAAAGGAACUACAGAGCUUAGGAAAGCAGAAUGUAGUCUAUCUAGACCAUCUGGAAGAGCUUCCGGUGUCUUCUGAUGGCAGUCCAGCCACAGUCAACACGACCUUGAAUGACCUCGGCCUGGUGAGCCUUCUUUCUUUCUUCUUACUGCCAAACUACAGAAUUUUAGCUUCCAUAUGUAUGUAAAUCUCAGCUGAUGUUCUAGUGUUUUGGAUUGCAGAGCACACAAGCCAUGCUAUGCCUUCAAGCUACAGGAGAGUUGGAGAAGCGAAAGUCAAGAAACCAGGAUAAGAUCAUUAAUGAUUAUAAGCAAAAGAUUGAAGGUGAAUUAAGAAAGCUGAGUGAGUAUAAGGAAAAGGCCGAGACUUGCGGACAGAGCUACUAUGAUUCCUUCAAGCUCCAAGAAAAACCAGAUGCCUUCCAUGCUAAUGUGAGCAGGCUUGUGCUAGCUGGUUACUGGGAUGAGAUGAUGGAAAUGUUAAAAGCGUAUGAACUUCCGGAUGAAUUUGAGAAGAGGCAAGACUUGAUACAACUUGGAACAAAUUAUCUCCGCAUGGUUGAGCCUCUAGAUAUUGCGAACUUCUAUCGACACGCCAAGGAUGAAGAGACAGGGUUCUACGUGAAAAAGGGGACUCGACCAAAACGAUACCGAUACAUCCAAAGUUGGCUCGAGUAUGCUGAAAAGAAGCCAUCUGGAUCCCACUCAGAAUCCUGUUUCUGGGCUGAGGUAGAGGACCUCCGCAUUAAAACUAGAAGCAACGGAUCCUCUCCAGAAAUUAAGCAGAAGGUUCAGCAACUGGGGCAAAAUCUAAUUAAAUGGAUUGAUGAUGAAUCUUUAGGCAAGGAUGUGUUGUUGGAGAAUUCCACCUUUGUUAAAUGGUGGAAAUCCCUUCCUCCUGAGUAUAAAUCAGAACCCGAAUCAUCUCGCAUUAUGAAACUCAUCCAUGAGAAAGAUUGAGAGGGUUUCAUGCUGUUAUCUCGAGGCAUUUGUUCAAAGUCAAUAAACCCUGUAAAUAAGCUCUAGCUUUGACUGCUCUCUUGAUAACUGAAAUGUUCUUGAUAACUCCAUUAUUUACCAGUAAGAUGGUUUUCUUCCUGAGUGUAUGCAAAAUCCUGUUUCCUUUAUUAAUACAUAACGAUCCAUUCUCAAUCGUGUAGAUAAUAUCACUGUGAUACCCCGGGUCUUAGGUCCCACUAUGUGAAAAUCAAGAAUGCAAAUGACUAGAUACCAAGAGGUAAUGCUCAUGAUUUUUUCAUACAAACAAACAAGUUACAAACAAACAAGUAGGCUGUACUUCAACACAGAUGAAGUUUGCGAUUUGAAGUUACAACUAUCUGAUAAUAAAGAUGAUGAGAAGGCAUAUUUCUUAAGAAAAUGGCCAUGAUAGCAUUUAGCAGAGAGGAGCAUACUAAUACAGAAGAUUGAAAAUGGGCUGGUAAAUUAACGGACAGAUGAACGCUUGAUGUGCAUCCUUGGCUGAUCGAUAUGUAUAUGAAAUUAAAUGCUGUGACAAAGACCUAGUUAGCUCCACAAUGAAAAAAGAAGCCCUUGCCAUAUGACUACAGAGGCCCUAUCACAGACUCACAGUUCAACUACAACCAGUUCCUUCCUAGCUUUCAGAACUUUCCAUAUUUGAAAAAUAUUAAUUUGAUAUUUUAUAGUUGGUAGUUAAAUUCAUAAAAAUAAUAAUUAUAUUUUUCUAUAUUUAAAAUAAUAAUCAAUAAUUAUUUAAUAUUAAUAAUAUUUAAAUUUAUAAAGUGUGGAAUCAAGAAGUUUCUAGGAUAAUACUAAUAAAUGUUGGAUCCGCAUUUUUCACAUGCAUUCUCACUCGACGACCAAACUCAUAUUUAUUUAAGGUGAAAAACUGUAUUUUAUAAGAAACUGGAAUCGCUACUUAUUAUUAUUUUUUUAAAGGGAAAAUAAGGAAAGACAGGUUUGUAAAAACUGAGUCAGAUUCGGGUGUCAAGUUACCUAUUAGGAAGGUACAGUGGCUAAUCGUAGCACCCUUCUAAGCGUUACAAGUCAGGUUUCUACUAAUAAAACUAAGACAACUAUGACAAUUGGUUGAUCAAUCUAUGGAUACCUAGCAAGAGUCAAAAUAUACUACAACCAAAGCAUGUAUCAAAAGAUAAUUGAAUGAGUAAAGAAGGAAAGGAGUGUACCUGAGUAAUAAGUCGAAGUGUGCUUCUAUGGAAAACAAGGUUAGUAAAUAAUAUAAGUAUAAAAUAUCUCAUGCUAGUCACAAACAAAAUCAAUCAAUAUUAAUCAAGCAAAGCAAUUAGAGGAAGGAGUGUCAUGGAUGUUGGGCCCACCAAGGCCCAAUUUAUUUUUACAUGAAUUAAUUCUAUAAAUUCCAUUAUUUUUGGAAUCAUAAAAUUUAUUUAUGCAUUAAAAAUAGAGAAAAUCAAGAAAAACUAUAUAAAAAAAAACUGUGAAAUGUGCUUGCUGGGGGAAAUAUGACAGCAAUGUUUAUAAAAAUCGGGAUUUUAGUACCUAAAAUAGUCUAAAGAUGAACAUUUAAAAUUGGGUUUAUUUCAGUUGAAAAUAGUUUUGAAAAUUCAAUUUAAAAACCUGUAAAUUCUCACCAAGAUAGGAAAAGCACACCAAGAGGAAGGAAGGAUGACUUAAGAAUGGUGCACCAAAGGUGGCAAUGGUGGAGUGGGGCUCGUGGGUAGGCAGGCAUGUGCAUUUCCAUAUCAGAAUCCCUGUGCUGCUGCUCAUUUUCCAGGAGUCUGUAAGUCGCUUCACCCCUAUUCCCAUGCAGCAGAAGAGUGCUUCAAUUGUCUGGUUUUGCAGCUCUCACCCUUGUGUUUACUCCAAUUCAAGAUUGUCCCCCUGCAUCCCAAUCUCUCUCUAUGCUGACUCAAGCCGAGCUUGCAGAAUCCCAGUCGCAGAAUCAUUCCUUUUGAGCUCACAAAAUUAACCUGGUAAUCUCUUCUUCCCAUAACUCUAGUUUUUUAUUGUACUCAGUGGUCUUCCUAAGCAAUUCCUCAUCGCUAGCAGCAGUUCCCACCUUUGGGAUGCAAUCUGCGCUCCAUUAGAGCCCCAUCUUAACCCAUAGAACUCGCCCAGGUUACCAAAUCCAUUCCUGCCAUAGCUGAGUCCUCCAUUAGGCAGCAACAAAUACAACACUUUAAAUGGAUUAGUUUCCAGAUCAAAUUGGAGGACAUACAGAAUGCUGUCAUCUAUGGGCAGCUUUUCGAGUUCAAGAGAAUUUUAAUGGCCACGUGAUAAGGGAUCUUAGUGACAGUCAACAUUCAGCUAAGCAGAAAUCUGGAGAGGCUAUAGUAGUGAUCAGCAUUGUCGCCCAUCCGUACAUUCACCUUGACAAAAUUGUAUUUGGAGGAAACAUUCUGAAUGGAGAAUCGAAUGGUUGGGAGAGAGGAAUCAGAGAUGUCUUCUUCUGGGGUGUCAGGGUUUGGACAAGUUGUGUGAAGACUGCCAGGUACUGAGGAUACCAAGGCUGGGAACAAGAACUGGUCACAUGUACACGGAGAUGGCCAUGCAUGUGGAUUGCAUGCACAUGGGAAAGAUGGUGCAAUAGACUUCGCUAAAUUCAAGCUUCUUGGAUAGCUUGCAACUUCAUCCAGAUAAAAGAUGCUUUCUGCUUCACAUAGAUGUAACAAAAUUGAUGGGGAGAAGAGAGUUGACCACUUCAUCUCCAUUAACGUCACUCUCAAUAUCAGGAGGAAUUUCUUCUCUUGUUAACGAGGAAUCUGAUCUCUUCAAAGACUGGUGGCUCUGUUGAAGCCAUUUUUCAAUUGUACAAUGCUCAGACUCCUUCAAGUUGGUCAUGGCCUCCAAUACUAGAUUCCCCAGCCUUACGAUGCACCCUCUUUGAACCAGUAAUCUGCUCAGGGUUGCCAGGGAAGGCAAGGGCCUUAGCAUCGACAGUUUGAUAAUCACUUUGAUCUAUUGCGCUGAGAGGCGGAGAAUUCUCUUCUGGUUUAGGGGUUGUUGGCACCCUUCUGUGUGCCAAUCUAGACUCCUCUCUUGAGCCCCAUCCAUCACAUUCAUGUUCCUUCAUUGCCCAUCAACAAUAAAUCUGUACUGAUAAAUACCCGAGGGGAGCAUUUGCAUAAUGGUGGACUAUUUCCUCAUCUCUGCAAGGGUUUUCUUAUCUUCCAAUUAUCUCAUAAUUCCUCCGCAGCUACUUCCUUGCUAUCAUAGCUCCAUGUAAUCAUAGUUGGAAUUGCUUGCUCACUGCACACCACCUGACCUUGGCCACUCAUUUCCAAGUCUCAAAACUCUGCCUUUCUCACCCUCUUUUACUACCUUAGAGGCUUUGCUGCAAAAGAUCAAAACUGUAAGCUACCUCAUGCAAUGGCACACACCACCUUUUCUCAGAUACCCUUAUUAACUUGUGGAGAAAUUUAUUAAAUUUCACAUCAAAGGCAAGAAAAUUGGAAGGGGACAAUGAACCGCAGAUAGAUGAGAGAAUAAUGGCCUUGUCGUUGCAUGUUCAUGAGCAGCAUGAACUGUAUCCUUCAUUUCAGGAACUGAGGCCCUAUGACCUCCAGACCUGAAGGCUCAAUGAAUAGUCAAAGAUUCGACUUCCUGUAGGCUUGCCACAUCCUGAACAGACCUGAAUUUUCUCUUCUUCCGGGCCCUUGUCUCAGAAGGUGGUUCCUUAGCUGUCCUGUAUGUCAGAGGCAAAUUGAUGCCUUGGAUUAAAAGAGUCUGAUGACAGAGUACUAAGAUGCUCCUGAUUGAAACGGAACACUUUCAUAGCAGCAUAUUCAAACUACCACAGAAUUGAGCAUCAGGAUGAAUUAAGCCACUUUACUUCAUCAACUUUUUGCACUUUCCAACAGUGCAGGACCAUUUUCCUUGCCAUUGCUGAAAGACUGUUGAUGAGCUUAAUGAUCAUUGAAUUACUGGUGGAUUUUCAUUGUGGGAAACCUAAGCUGAUUAAGCAACAAACCCAAACUUUGACUAGCUUGAAUUGAUAGAUCUCCAACAUUGGAUACAGGAUGACCUCUUAGGAGCUAAAGAUAUAUUAAAUUCCACAAGCUUUCCUUCAGAGGGCUGAUCAAGAGGUGUAUCUAAACCUUAUUUGGCAUGACCAACAAGCUGUCACUUUCACUCGCAUAUUCUAAGCAUCUUCCCAGAGGCUUAACAGAAAAGGGAUCUUUAGGUUUACAGAGGAGGGAAAGGAAACCCUGCUUUGCAUUCAGAAAAGUUUUGUUGCUGUUGACAUCUUCACCAUUCUGAGUACUUGGGACUGUUGGUGCAGGUGUGGAGCAACCAGAAAAGUUGUUACUCAGACCCAAUAUUCUCAAUAGCACUGCUUAAAUUUGCCAGGCUCAAGAAUAAAAAUGAGAGGUAGCCAGUUCUUUUGAUGCUUCCCCGCUUGAAUUUGGAGUGUUUGAAACAUAACCGGCAACAACUCUAUCAAUCCCAAGGGUAGAGAUCAGCUUCUCAAUUAUAGCGACUUGUGACUCCCAGAUCAGUGGAGAUCCAUCUUCAUGACCAGAGAUUGACCAUGACUCCACCUCAUGAAUGAUGAAUUCCUAGAGCCUCAUCUGUUUGAUGAAGGUGAAGUUUGAUUAGUAGGAGUUUUGAGUACUAUUUGAUAGUCUCUCUUCAUGCUGUGGGGGGUUCACUACAGGUUGAUGAUCAUCAUGAGAUGAGCUCGACAUGCCCCCUCCUUAUUGGAUUUAUACUCCGAUGCUGAUGUAGCCUUCAAACUCCACAAAUAAGCUAUACUUGAACCGAAGACUAAGGAUGACUAAACCAUCACCUCCAAUCUAACUAUGCUGGCAUUCAAAUGCUACAGGAUGAUAUUUCAAUGGUCCUGCUUUCAAACCGCAAUUCCACAUCUGAAGACGUUUCUCACCGAACCAAAGGCAACGGUGGUAUUGGCAUUAUUGGACAUACAAAUGCUCUGCAUGGACCCCAAACCACCAUGGAACUUCAGUGUCAAGGCCCAUGGCCAUUUCUGUUGUCCAUGAAAAUAAUCUUGAAGGGCUAUACAACUUUUAGCAACUCUUUAAAGGAUGCAAUGUGUCUGGAAGAUUGAAUUGAAGAUGAAUGACAUUUGUAGAAUCAACAGAUGAGGUUGCAUUUCUAGAGCCUCUUUCUGGAGGCCUUUCUCCAAGAAUUUUUCCAUGGCUCUCUGUUGUCAUCUUCUGCACAAUAGGAGAUGAUUUCACAUCCCACAGCCACUUGCUCCUGUUAUUAUGCUUCUGUCACCCCUCUCACAGGUUUCUUGCAAGAUACAAAUAACUCUCUCCACUGGGGGUCACGAAUCUGUGGCAGUAAGCCAAAACACAGCCCUCUCUUCUCAAGCGCAGAUCAGAACACAACCAAUUGUCCAGAGCAAAUCGAAAGAUGUGAGCCAGAAACAGGAUAUGGAUUGAGAUACCGGAAGUAGAGAAGUCAACAAAACAAGAUACGGCAUACCCAGAACAAAAUAAACAAGUAAGCAAAACAUUAAAUGGGAUCCCUUUUCAUGUUGAAAACAACAUCACAUCCAUAUCAAAACAAUUUAACAAUGCCUAGAAAAUUAGAAAUAACAAGAGAGAAUGAAAAAAAACAGAGUGAUAAGUGAAAAUGAGCAAAGAAGCUACAAAAAACGUACCUGAAAAUGCUCCCUCCAACGAGAAUAGUUGGGCUUCAAGCUGGUUUGUUUCUUCUUUCAAACCUCCAGAAAACCACAGCAAAAUCAACUUCCCUUUCUCUCCCUUGCUCCUAAUCACCCUGCCUAGAAUCCUCUCUGCUCCCUGUUUUCUAUCUAACCCCCAAUUCCGAAGAAUCCCACCAUCACUCCAACCAACCUCUCAGCAAUUCCCCCUGUUUCCACUCUUUCCAUUUCUGUUUUUCCCCUGUCUCCACUCUCCCCCGACCCACACUCACAGAUACUUUCCUGCUCAAGACUCCUACUCCUCUCUCUAAAAAAACGACCCGCCCAAAACUUUGCCACGUGUCGCUCUCACUGGCUCCCCUCUCUCUCCGUAAGUAACUCACCAAAAAGACAAAAAUUCACCCUCCACCAUUUUGCAGGGCCUCCUUGCCCACCUAGUUUGCCACGACUCCAAAACAGAGUUUAAGUCCAAAAUAAUCCGUUGGUAGAAAAAAAUGAUAAGAAUAGUAGUCAUCUCAAAAUAUUUGUCAAAGUAGUAUUUUCCAUCUACGUAAUCAUUCAUGCGGGUUUUUUGAGUGUAAAACACCAAAAGUUACAGAAAUAUCCUUAAAACCACAGUCACUUAUGGGCUUUACCUUAUCACUCGAUAUGCAGGGGAUUCCCUCAGGGGACGAUAAAGACCUACCAGAAUAUAAAUGAACCAUAGGGCCCAUACCUCCUUAGUAAGGACAACGACUUAUACCGGUCUAGAGGAACUUAAAAGCACUGCUUGAAGACUCGGCUUGCCUACUUGCCGGGAGAGCUCACUUCCUUAAUCAGCCCACUGUCAGUCUAUGCAGCUCCUUGACUUGCUCACUAGCUGUCCAAGCUGUAUCAGUGUGCCUCCCCCACACUGAUGAGUGAGCCCAAGCCAUGUCGAGGUGCCCAUGGUCUGGGCCUGUUGCUUUCCCUUCCUGUGUCAGGUUCCGCUUCAACGAACCAUGGCAUUGUGCCCAUGGCUGUUCCCUCUUGGUGCACAGGGCAUUGCGCCCCUGUGCUGUGCAUAGGCACUCGGGUGCUAGUCGGCUGUUUGUCUGAUGCCCCAUCNNNNNNNNNNNNNNNNNNNNNNNNNNNNNNNNNNNNNNNNNNNNNNNNNNNNNNNNNNNNNNNNNNNNNNNNNNNNNNNNNNNNNNNNNNNNNNNNNNNNNNNNNNNNNNNNNNNNNNNNNNNNNNNNNNNNNNNNNNNNNNNNNNNNNNNNNNNNNNNNNNNNNNNNNNNNNNNNNNNNNNNNNNNNNNNNNNNNNNNNNNNNNNNNNNNNNNNNNNNNNNNNNNNNNNNNNNNNNNNNNNNNNNNNNNNNNNNNNNNNNNNNNNNNNNNNNNNNNNNNNNNNNNNNNNNNNNNNNNNNNNNNNNNNNNNNNNNNNNNNNNNNNNNNNNNNNNNNNNNNNNNNNNNNNNNNNNNNNNNNNNNNNNNNNNNNNNNNNNNNNNNNNNNNNNNNNNNNNNNNNNNNNNNNNNNNNNNNNNNNNNNNNNNNNNNNNNNNNNNNNNNNNNNNNAAAGUGCUUAACAACAUUGCUGAAGAACAACUUAGCCGCUUCCUCCGCCGGGCAAGUAUCAGGAGCAGGGAUAAAAACAGCAUAUUUUGAAAAUCUAUCCACAACAACAAAGACAGAUUUAAAGUCACGAACCUUUGGAAAUCCAGAAAUAAAGUCCAUAGAGAUACUCUCCCAAGGUUUCUCUGGAAUGGGGAGGGGCUGCAGCAACCCAGCAGCCUUCUUCCUUUCAGUCUUGUCCAUCUGACAAACUAGGCAAGUCUUUACAUAGGCUUGCACUUCCUCACCCAUCUUAGGCCAGUAAUAGGAUCUGGCUAGUAGUGCCAGUGUCCUUUCUUCUCCGGGAUGGCCUGCCCACUUCGCAUCAUGAGUCUCCCGUAGUAGUUCCUUUCUCAAGCCGCCUGCAGGUACAUACCACCGAGGAAAGCCAGUGGAGAAAACCACAAAGGUUGUGCAACAGACCACCCGGAUGAUGGGAUGCUUCAUCUGCAAUGGCCCUCAUCGAGCCAAGGACUGCCCCAAAAGAGAGAAGCUCUCAGCCUUGGUGACUGCAGAGGACAAGGGAGAUUCUGACCCAGAGACUCCUCCAAGAGUCAACCCCCUGCAACUUCUGAACGUGAUUCAUGGUGAGACCCCUGUCCAGAAGUCCUUAAUGCAUAUUCAUGCAAUUGUGAACGGUGUGAAGGUGAAGGCAUUGGUGGAUAGUGGUGCCACUCAUAAUUUCGUGGCCACCAAGGAAGCAGCUAGGUUGGGAUUAAGGUUGGAAGAGGACACUAGCAGGAUCAAAGCUGUGAACAGUAAAGCUCAGAAAAUCCAAGGGGUAGCCAAGAAUGUCCCCAUGAAAAUUGGUGACUGGGAAGGUAUGUGUAGCCUACUUUGCGUACCUUUGGAUGAUUUUGAUUUGAUCUUGGGUGUGGAUUUCCUCCUGAGGGCUAAGGUGGCCCUGAUUCCCCACCUUGGUGGGUUGAUGGUGUUGGAAGAAAAGCAGCCCUGCUUUGUGCAAGCUUUGAGGGCGAAGGAUGGGGGCAAGGGCCAACCAGAGAUGUUGUCUGCCAUCCAAUUGAAGAAGGGAUUGAAGAGGGGCCAGGAGACUUACGUUGCAGCCUUGAUCGAGAUCAAGGAGGGACAGACUAUGGAGGUCCCUGAUUCUGUGGUCAAAAUCCUUAAGGAGUUCAGUGAUGUUAUGCCUGCAGAACUCCCCAAGGAGCUGCCACCCCGGCGACCUAUUGAUCACAAGAUAGAAUUGCUACCUGGAACAAAGGCCCCUGCACAAGCUCCUUACAGAAUGUCCCCUGCAGAGUUGCUGGAAUUACGUAAGCAACUGAAGGAGUUGUUGGAUGCAGGCCUGAUCCAGCCCUCAAGGGCUCCAUAUGGUGCACCAGUGCUCUUCCAAAAGAAGCAUGAUGGCUCUCUCCGCAUGUGCGUGGACUAUAGAGCACUCAACAAGGUGACCAUUAAAAACAAGUAUCCGAUCCCCUUGGCUGCAGAACUCUUUGACCGACUAUCAAAGGCUUCUUACUUCACCAAGUUGGACCUGAGAUCGGGCUAUUGGCAAGUACGGGUUGCAGCAGGAGAUGAGGGGAAAACAACUUGUGUAACUCGGUAUGGCUCAUACGAGUUUCUGGUAAUGCCUUUUGGAUUAACCAAUGCCCCUGCUACAUUCUGCAACUUAAUGAAUGAUGUUCUGUUUGAUUAUUUGGAUGCGUUUGUAGUAGUUUAUCUAGAUGAUAUUGUUGUUUAUAGCAAGACACUAACAGAACAUGAGAAACACCUAAGAUUGGUGUUCCAGAGAUUGAGGGAGAAUAAGCUCUAUGUAAAGCCAGAGAAAUGUGAGUUUGCUCAGGAGGAGAUCACGUUUCUAGGACACAAGAUCAGUGCAGGCCUGAUCAGAAUGGAUAAGGGUAAGGUGCAGGCCAUUAUGGAGUGGACAGUGCCUUCCAAAGUGACAGAGCUGCGGUCCUUCCUUGGCUUGGCCAACUAUUAUAGAAGGUUCAUUAAGGGAUAUUCAAAGACGGUAUCUCCCCUUACUGACCUAUUGAAGAAGGACAACCAGUGGGAUUGGAGCAAGCAGUGUCAGAUGGCUUUUGAAAGCCUGAAAGAAGCCAUGUCCACUGAGCCUGUGUUGCGGUUGCCAGAUUUGGACUUGCCCUUUGAAGUCCAAACGGAUGCCUCUGAUAGAGCCUUGGGUGGAGUCUUGGUGCAGGAAGGGCACCCCGUGGCAUUUGAGAGCAGGAAGCUGAACAAUGCUGAGCAAAGAUACUCCACUCACGAGAAGGAGAUGACUGCUGUGGUGCAUUGCCUGCGGCAGUGGAGGCACUACUUGCUGGGGAGUAUCUUCACCGUGGUCACUGACAAUGUGGCCAACACUUUCUUCAAAACCCAGAAGAAGCUGAGCCCCAGACAAGCACGGUGGCAGGAGUUCUUGGCUGACUUCAAUUUUGAAUGGCUGCAUCGACCAGGGAGACAUAACACAGUGGCUGAUGUCCUGAGUAGGAAGGAAUUGAUCACUUACAUCACAGCCCUCUCAGAAGUCAUCUCUGACUUCAAUGAGAGGAUCAAACAUGCUGCAAAGCAGGAUGCUGCAUAUGGCAGGCUGAGGCAGCAAGUAAAGGAGGNNNNNNNNNNNNNNNNNNNNNNNNNNNNNNNNNNNNNNNNNNNNNNNNNNNNNNNNNNNNNNNNNNNNNNNNNNNNNNNNNNNNNNNNNNNNNNNNNNNNNNNNNNNNNNNNNNNNNNNNNNNNNNNNNNNNNNNNNNNNNNNNNNNNNNNNNNNNNNNNNNNNNNNNNNNNNNNNNNNNNNNNNNNNNNNNNNNNNNNNNNNNNNNNNNNNNNNNNNNNNNNNNNNNNNNNNNNNNNNNNNNNNNNNNNNNNNNNNNNNNNNNNNNNNNNNNNNNNNNNNNNNNNNNNNNNNNNNNNNNNNNNNNNNNNNNNNNNNNNNNNNNNNNNNNNNNNNNNNNNNNNNNNNNNNNNNNNNNNNNNNNNNNNNNNNNNNNNNNNNNNNNNNNNNNNNNNNNNNNNNNNNNNNNNNNNNNNNNNNNNNNNNNNNNNNNNNNNNNNNNNNNNNNNNNNNNNNNNNNNNNNNNNNNNNNNNNNNNNNNNNNNNNNNNNNNNNNNNNNNNNNNNNNNNNNNNNNNNNNNNNNNNNNNNNNNNNNNNNNNNNNNNNNNNNNNNNNNNNNNNNNNNNNNNNNNNNNNNNNNNNNNNNNNNNNNNNNNNNNNNNNNNNNNNNNNNNNNNNNNNNNNNNNNNNNNNNNNNNNNNNNNNNNNNNNNNNNNNNNNNNNNNNNNNNNNNNNNNNNNNNNNNNNNNNNNNNNNNNNNNNNNNNNNNNNNNNNNNNNNNNNNNNNNNNNNNNNNNNNNNNNNNNNNNNNNNNNNNNNNNNNNNNNNNNNNNNNNNNNNNNNNNNNNNNNNNNNNNNNNNNNNNNNNNNNNNNNNNNNNNNNNNNNNNNNNNNNNNNNNNNNNNNNNNNNNNNNNNNNNNNNNNNNNNNNNNNNNNNNNNNNNNNNNNNNNNNNNNNNNNNNNNNNNNNNNNNNNNNNNNNNNNNNNNNNNNNNNNNNNNNNNNNNNNNNNNNNNNNNNNNNNNNNNNNNNNNNNNNNNNNNNNNNNNNNNNNNNNNNNNNNNNNNNNNNNNNNNNNNNNNNNNNNNNNNNNNNNNNNNNNNNNNNNNNNNNNNNNNNNNNNNNNNNNNNNNNNNNNNNNNNNNNNNNNNNNNNNNNNNNNNNNNNNNNNNNNNNNNNNNNNNNNNNNNNNNNNNNNNNNNNNNNNNNNNNNNNNNNNNNNNNNNNNNNNNNNNNNNNNNNNNNNNNNNNNNNNNNNNNNNNNNNNNNNNNNNNNNNNNNNNNNNNNNNNNNNNNNNNNNNNNNNNNNNNNNNNNNNNNNNNNNNNNNNNNNNNNNNNNNNNNNNNNNNNNNNNNNNNNNNNNNNNNNNNNNNNNNNNNNNNNNNNNNNNNNNNNNNNNNNNNNNNNNNNNNNNNNNNNNNNNNNNNNNNNNNNNNNNNNNNNNNNNNNNNNNNNNNNNNNNNNNNNNNNNNNNNNNNNNNNNNNNNNNNNNNNNNNNNNNNNNNNNNNNNNNNNNNNNNNNNNNNNNNNNNNNNNNNNNNNNNNNNNNNNNNNNNNNNNNNNNNNNNNNNNNNNNNNNNNNNNNNNNNNNNNNNNNNNNNNNNNNNNNNNNNNNNNNNNNNNNNNNNNNNNNNNNNNNNNNNNNNNNNNNNNNNNNNNNNNNNNNNNNNNNNNNNNNNNNNNNNNNNNNNNNNNNNNNNNNNNNNNNNNNNNNNNNNNNNNNNNNNNNNNNNNNNNNNNNNNNNNNNNNNNNNNNNNNNNNNNNNNNNNNNNNNNNNNNNNNNNNNNNNNNNNNNNNNNNNNNNNNNNNNNNNNNNNNNNNNNNNNNNNNNNNNNNNNNNNNNNNNNNNNNNNNNNNNNNNNNNNNNNNNNNNNNNNNNNNNNNNNNNNNNNNNNNNNNNNNNNNNNNNNNNNNNNNNNNNNNNNNNNNNNNNNNNNNNNNNNNNNNNNNNNNNNNNNNNNNNNNNNNNNNNNNNNNNNNNNNNNNNNNNNNNNNNNNNNNNNNNNNNNNNNNNNNNNNNNNNNNNNNNNNNNNNNNNNNNNNNNNNNNNNNNNNNNNNNNNNNNNNNNNNNNNNNNNNNNNNNNNNNNNNNNNNNNNNNNNNNNNNNNNNNNNNNNNNNNNNNNNNNNNNNNNNNNNNNNNNNNNNNNNNNNNNNNNNNNNNNNNNNNNNNNNNNNNNNNNNNNNNNNNNNNNNNNNNNNNNNNNNNNNNNNNNNNNNNNNNNNNNNNNNNNNNNNNNNNNNNNNNNNNNNNNNNNNNNNNNNNNNNNNNNNNNNNNNNNNNNNNNNNNNNNNNNNNNNNNNNNNNNNNNNNNNNNNNNNNNNNNNNNNNNNNNNNNNNNNNNNNNNNNNNNNNNNNNNNNNNNNNNNNNNNNNNNNNNNNNNNNNNNNNNNNNNNNNNNNNNNNNNNNNNNNNNNNNNNNNNNNNNNNNNNNNNNNNNNNNNNNNNNNNNNNNNNNNNNNNNNNNNNNNNNNNNNNNNNNNNNNNNNNNNNNNNNNNNNNNNNNNNNNNNNNNNNNNNNNNNNNNNNNNNNNNNNNNNNNNNNNNNNNNNNNNNNNNNNNNNNNNNNNNNNNNNNNNNNNNNNNNNNNNNNNNNNNNNNNNNNNNNNNNNNNNNNNNNNNNNNNNNNNNNNNNNNNNNNNNNNNNNNNNNNNNNNNNNNNNNNNNNNNNNNNNNNNNNNNNNNNNNNNNNNNNNNNNNNNNNNNNNNNNNNNNNNNNNNNNNNNNNNNNNNNNNNNNNNNNNNNNNNNNNNNNNNNNNNNNNNNNNNNNNNNNNNNNNNNNNNNNNNNNNNNNNNNNNNNNNNNNNNNNNNNNNNNNNNNNNNNNNNNNNNNNNNNNNNNNNNNNNNNNNNNNNNNNNNNNNNNNNNNNNNNNNNNNNNNNNNNNNNNNNNNNNNNNNNNNNNNNNNNNNNNNNNNNNNNNNNNNNNNNNNNNNNNNNNNNNNNNNNNNNNNNNNNNNNNNNNNNNNNNNNNNNNNNNNNNNNNNNNNNNNNNNNNNNNNNNNNNNNNNNNNNNNNNNNNNNNNNNNNNNNNNNNNNNNNNNNNNNNNNNNNNNNNNNNNNNNNNNNNNNNNNNNNNNNNNNNNNNNNNNNNNNNNNNNNNNNNNNNNNNNNNNNNNNNNNNNNNNNNNNNNNNNNNNNNNNNNNNNNNNNNNNNNNNNNNNNNNNNNNNNNNNNNNNNNNNNNNNNNNNNNNNNNNNNNNNNNNNNNNNNNNNNNNNNNNNNNNNNNNNNNNNNNNNNNNNNNNNNNNNNNNNNNNNNNNNNNNNNNNNNNNNNNNNNNNNNNNNNNNNNNNNNNNNNNNNNNNNNNNNNNNNNNNNNNNNNNNNNNNNNNNNNNNNNNNNNNNNNNNNNNNNNNNNNNNNNNNNNNNNNNNNNNNNNNNNNNNNNNNNNNNNNNNNNNNNNNNNNNNNNNNNNNNNNNNNNNNNNNNNNNNNNNNNNNNNNNNNNNNNNNNNNNNNNNNNNNNNNNNNNNNNNNNNNNNNNNNNNNNNNNNNNNNNNNNNNNNNNNNNNNNNNNNNNNNNNNNNNNNNNNNNNNNNNNNNNNNNNNNNNNNNNNNNNNNNNNNNNNNNNNNNNNNNNNNNNNNNNNNNNNNNNNNNNNNNNNNNNNNNNNNNNNNNNNNNNNNNNNNNNNNNNNNNNNNNNNNNNNNNNNNNNNNNNNNNNNNNNNNNNNNNNNNNNNNNNNNNNNNNNNNNNNNNNNNNNNNNNNNNNNNNNNNNNNNNNNNNNNNNNNNNNNNNNNNNNNNNNNNNNNNNNNNNNNNNNNNNNNNNNNNNNNNNNNNNNNNNNNNNNNNNNNNNNNNNNNNNNNNNNNNNNNNNNNNNNNNNNNNNNNNNNNNNNNNNNNNNNNNNNNNNNNNNNNNNNNNNNNNNNNNNNNNNNNNNNNNNNNNNNNNNNNNNNNNNNNNNNNNNNNNNNNNNNNNNNNNNNNNNNNNNNNNNNNNNNNNNNNNNNNNNNNNNNNNNNNNNNNNNNNNNNNNNNNNNNNNNNNNNNNNNNNNNNNNNNNNNNNNNNNNNNNNNNNNNNNNNNNNNNNNNNNNNNNNNNNNNNNNNNNNNNNNNNNNNNNNNNNNNNNNNNNNNNNNNNNNNNNNNNNNNNNNNNNNNNNNNNNNNNNNNNNNNNNNNNNNNNNNNNNNNNNNNNNNNNNNNNNNNNNNNNNNNNNNNNNNNNNNNNNNNNNNNNNNNNNNNNNNNNNNNNNNNNNNNNNNNNNNNNNNNNNNNNNNNNNNNNNNNNNNNNNNNNNNNNNNNNNNNNNNNNNNNNNNNNNNNNNNNNNNNNNNNNNNNNNNNNNNNNNNNNNNNNNNNNNNNAGCAGGUGGGGGUGGGUUUGUCAGCCCCUUAGCCACUUGAGCUAGACCGGGAAAAAUAGGCCUCAUGGGUAGGCCUUGCACCCAUGAGAGCCUAGGUUGAAAGCAAGGGAAGCCUAGAGGGUUGGUGGUUCGAAUCCUUGAAGCUUAGUGUGAGAAUCACAAAGGAGUCAGACGCGCACCGCGGACGAGCCAGGCGCGCACCGCGGACGAGCCAGGCGAGCACCGCGCGCGCACCGCGGGCGAGCCAGACGAGCACCGCGCGCGCACCGCGGGCGAGUCAGACGAGCACCGCGCGCGUACCGUGGGCGAGCCAGACACGCACCGCGCGCGCACCGCGAGCGAGCCAGACGAGCACCGCGCGCGCACCGUGGGCGAGCCAGACACGCACCGCGCGCGCACCUCGGACGAGCCAGGCGCGCAUUUCCUCGUUAGUAACAUGAUUUCAUAAUAUUUUUAAACCGUCCCUGUUUCAAUGGUAUUAUGAUUUUAAUAUUAUUUUUAAAAUAUUUUUUAUCAUAAUAACCAUAAAACCAUAGUUAAUAACUACGGUUUUAAAAAUAUCCUGAAAACCACGGUCAAAUCAUGGUUUUACAAUUUUCUUUAGAACCACAAUGAUUAAUUGUGGUUUCACAAAUAUCUUUAAUGAGAACUCGUGUAAUCAUACAUCAACUAAAAAAAUAUAUGAGAUUUUAGAACUUUGCUUUUUUCUUCUUAGUUUUAGUGUAAAAUGAGAAAAAAUAUUGUUUAUUCAUGCAUUUCAAUAGUACUUUCAAAUCAUUUCACAAUUACCCUCAUAAGUGAUAUGAGAUUAUAAAACUUCGCUUUUUUCUUUUUAAUUUUAGUGUAAAAUGGGAAAAAAAAAUUGCUUAUUCAUACAUUCCAAUAGUGCUUUUAAAUUGAUUGUGAAUUUAAUUUUUUUGUUUGGUUAAAAUAUUUAAUUUUUAAUUAAAAUAAAAUAUAUUUUUCAUUAAAAAAAUGUAUUUAACCUUUUAUAUUAAUUUCAUAAAAAAUAGGUAUACCCUUAAAAAAAAUAGGUAUAUUCAUGCUUAGGGAAACCGGAACCACUAUCAUACUUAUCAUGGUGUAUAUUCCUUUGGGACCCUCAAUAAGUAAUUGGCACCCACCCCAAAACGAACUUUGGAAUCCUAGGAAUAUCCUUUCUUAGAAGAACCAAGACCCCUAUCUCCAUUAUCAUGGUUCAUAUAUUCCUUUGGGGACCUUUGAGAAUGAAUUGGAGGUUGUUCCCCACCUUGGAACAGACAUUGGAACCCAAUGAACAUCUUAAAGAUAAUUUGGUACAUCUUUCACAAAAUUUGGCACAUCCUUAAAACAAUUUGGUACAUCCAAUCCACGAGCCACCAAGACCUCUAUAUUAUUACCCAUGGUUCAUUUAUUUCUUUAGGGAUCUUUAGGAAGUAAUCAGAGAUCAUUCCCUACUCCAAAACUAACUUUGGAACCCUAGGUACAUUCUUAAGGAAAUUUUGUACAUCAUUAAGAAAAUUUGAUAUAUCUAAUCCUUGAACUAAUGAGACACCUAUCUUUCUUCUCAUUGUCUAUUUAUUCUUUUAGACAACCUUAGGAAGUGAUUAGAGGUCGUUUCCCAAUUUGGAACGAACUUUGGCCUCCCUUGGUACAUCCUUUACAAAAUUUGGUAAAUAUUUUAUAAAAUUUGGUACAUCAUUCACAAAAUUUGGUACAUCCUUAAAAAAAAUUGGUACAUCUAAUCCUUGAACUACUAGGACCCCUAUCUUAUUUCCUAUGGUCUGUUUAUUUCUUUAAGAAUCUUUGGAAAGUAAUUGAAGGUCAUUCCCUACUCCGAAACGGACUUUGGAACCCUAGGUACAUCCUUGAGAAAAUUUGAUUCAUCCAUUACUUGAACUAACAAGACACCUAUCUUCCUUUCCAUGGUUCAUUUCUUCUUUUGGAGACUCUCGGGAAGUUAUUAGAGGUCAUUCCCCACUUCAGAACUGACUUUGGCAACCUUGGUACAUUCUUUAUACAAUUUGAUACAUCCUUUAUAAAAUUUGAUACAUCCUUUACAAAAUUUGAUACAUCCUUUACAAAAUUUGAUACUCAUUCACAAAAUUUGGUACAUCCUUAAAAUAAUUUGGUACAUCUAAUCCUUAAGUUACUAGGACCCCUAUCUUAUUACCCAUUGUCCAUUUAUUCCUUUAGGGAUCUUUGGAAAAUGAUUGGAGGUCGUUCCCUACUCUGAAAUGAACUUUGGAACCUUAGGUGCAUCCUUGAAAAAAUUUGGUACAUCCAAUCCUUGAGCUAUCAGGAUUCCUAUCUUAUUACACAUAGUCCAUUUAAUCCUAUAGGAAUCUUUGGGAAGUGAUUGGAUGUACCAAAAUUUCUUAAUGAUGUACCAAAUUUCCUUAAAGAUGUACUUAGGGUUCUAAAGUUCAUUUCAGAGUAAGGAAAAUUUCUUACAAUUUUCCAUUGUCAUUUUUAAAUUAUUAUUUUUUUACAAAUCAUCCUUAACAAAUUUUUUUUCUUUACGACUAUUUUAAAAUUAUUAUUAUUUUUUUCAUAUUUUCCUUGAAAUUUUGAGAAAAUAAUUUUCCCUACAUGCAUUCCCAUAAAAUUUUAUAUAUUUAUGGUAAAUAAAAUAUUUAUUUGUUUUAUAAAUUUUAUCACAUAUGAAUUAAAGAAAAUUAUUUUUUCAUAUUAUUUUUAAAUUUUAAAGAAUAUUUUUUAUAAAGAAUAUUCAAAAAUAAUAUUAUGAUAAAGAAUAUUUUUAAAAUAAUAUUAAAAUUACAAUACCAUUGAAACGGGGGGUGGUUUAAAAAUAUUUUUGAAACCACAGUUGCUAAUUGUGGUUCUAAAGAAAAUUAUAAAACCAUAGUAACAGAAUGUAGUUUUAAGGAUAUUUAUGAAAAUUUUGAAACCACAGUCAUCAACGAUGGUUUUUUACACUAAAAAAAAGCUCACGUGGAUGAUUACGAGGAUAGAAAAAACUACUUUGAUAAAUAUUUUGAGAUGGAUACUAUUCUUACCAUUUUUUUUCUACUAACAUAUUAUUUUGGACUUAAACUCUCCAAAACAUGCUCCCCAAAAGAAAAUCUGAUUUUUUUUUUCUCCUAAAAAAAAGAUACCCAAAAACAUGCUAUUUCCCGCCAGCUACCCAUGAAAAGAUACAUGUCAAAAGAGCCCUCCCAAAAUGGGGGUCUAUAAUAUGUUAUAUCAUUUAAAAUUAAGGAUUAAUUGAUUAAAAAGAUGAAAACAUUCCAAAAUACCCUUCAACAUUUUCAUUAUUUACAUGUGUAUUUUAAAAGAAAUGGUUACUUUUACAAAAAAUAAAUAAAUAAAUAAAAAAUGAUGAGGGCAUUUUGAUAAAAAAAAUGAGUAUUUUUUAGAUUGAAAAAAUGUGAAGGGUAAAUUUUCCAAAUUGUCCCUAUCCCUAAAAUUAAUGCUCAUUGGCUUAUAAGGGACAUGACCUCAUCCAUUGAUCUAAGCUUUUUUUUGCCCCGUAUUCAACACUUGGUUUUUAAAAAAGUUAUUAUGGACCCACAUUUUUGCUCGAUGCGUUCCCACUCGAUGGUGAAACUCGUUUUUUAUUUAUUUGUGAAAAUUUGAUUUUUAGAAAAAGACUUGGAGUCGCCACUUAUUUUUGAAGGGAAAAACAAUAAUAAAAAAGAAAAACCCUAAAUGUGACUCUUGAAGGGGAACAGGUCUAUGAAAAACCGAGUCUAAGUUCAGGGGUCAAGUUACUUAUUGGGAAGGUAUGGUGGUGAGCCGUAACACCCCUCUAAGCUCGUAUACGUACGACCUCUAUUAAACGAAUUAAGGGAAUUAUGAAAAUUAACUAAUUAAUUAUGGAUACCAAGAAAAAUAAUCAUGCAAAUGAGUAUAUACAAGUUAUGGUGAAAAUCAAUAUACAGAAAAAUAAUAAUGAAAUCUAAUUACAAGAGUACACAAAAUAAAUGACAAGAGGAUUAUACAAAAUGAUUUAUUGAACUAAAUUAAAAAAAAAUGGUUUUCAAGAAAUUUCAAAAGGAUUUUAUUAAAAACAAUUUUGAAUGAGUGAUUUCAAUUUAUUUAUUUACAAAAUAUUUUCUUCAAGUGAUUUGGUUUAAUUUUAUUUGUAUUUAAUUUUCAAAAAAAGUUAUUUACACUUAUUAUAUCAAAAUAAUUUAUUACAAAAGUUCAAUUUGGCAACAAAAAUUAUUUUAUUUGCUUUUACCAAAAAAAAAAAAGAAGAAUGAAUUUUUACAAUUUUGUUUGCAAAAGUAUUUCAAUUUGUUUUCAUUUAAGAAGAGUGAUUUAUACAAAUUAUUUUGAAAAACAUAACUUCAUUUGCAAAAAGAAUUUUAAUUAAAAAGAAAAAAAAGAUUUAAAUCAUCUUUUCUAAAAAAAAAAAUACUUUUAAUUCCAUUUUAAUUAAGGAAAAAUAUUCAUUUAAAAAAACAUUUUUUGGACAAUUUUAUUAAAAAUUAAUUUUUGGGGCAACUUUAUUUGCAAAACAAUUUUUAUUAAACAAAGAAAUUUUUGGACAAUUUUAUUAAAAACAAUUUUUCAAAUUCUAUAAAAAACAAAAUUUCAAAUUCUAUAAAAAAAAACAAUUCUUUUGGAUUUUUCUAAAUGUUUUUUCCUGAAUUUUUAUAAAUAAAAAAAUUCUUUUAUUUAAAAAAUAUUUUUAAAUUAUUAUUUUAUUAAAACAUAUUUACUGAAUACAAAAUUUCUAGUUUGUUCGAUGCUCAAUUUUGUACACACUCAAUGAAUAUAUACAAACGAAUAUUUAUGAGAACUAAUAAAAAUAAAACCAAAUAAAAGUGAGAAAUAAAAUAUGUACCCAAAUAAACUUAUAACAAAUUCAAUGUCUUCCUACGGCUUUUUGAUUCUCACUUUCUUUCAUGAAAUUUCGUGCUCCACAUGUUAUAAAUUCGUACUCAGCCAACAAGAUUGUAAAAUGGACUCAUGCAAAAACAAAAACAACUCAUGUGUAAAUAUCCAAAAAUAUGUAGAGUCCAAAAUAAUUAUUCAAGCCCAAAUUCAAACUUUAAAUUAGCCCAAUAAAUUUUAACAAUUAAAAAUGGGCCCAAAUUAACAAAUAUAACCCAAUAAAAAUAUCUCACAUAUCAUAAACCCUAAUAUAAAGUUUUCAAAUUAAUAGCCAAAACAUAAGCUCAAUUAAUCAAACCCGAUAAAUUAAGAUAAAUCUCAUUAGGCCUAAAUUUAAUAUUUCAUAAUCCAAACUUAAUUUAAUAUACACCACAAUUGUCCCAUGCCCAAAUUAAAUAGUUCAAAUUGGUCAAACCCAUAUCAAAUAUUUAAUUCAUCAACAAAUCUCACUCACAUUAUGGGUCUAAAAUUCAUAUAAGUUAACAAGCCUACAUCAAUAAUUUACAUGGCCAAAGAAAAUAAUAUUUCAAGCCCAAUCCAAUAAGCCCAAACAAAAACCAAUUAACAAUAGGCGCAAGUCGAAAUAAACAAUAUACAAUUGAUAUAAUCCAAAUAUCCCAAAUUAAUCACCAAAUGCAAUAUAACCACAAACCCAAAUUAACAAAUUUCAAAUUAAUUCAAAAACAAUAAAUUAGCCCAAAUUUCAUAGUAAUUUACCAACAAAAAAUUAACUAAAAUUUCAUAUUAAUUCAACAAUCCAAAUUUCACAAACAACCAAUGUUUUAAAAACCGGACCGGACCGGCCAGUCGGACCGGUCCAACCGUCGACCAGUCACCAUUCUAGUCCGAUCCGGGGUUAAACUGUUCGAACCGGCGGUUUAACCGGUGAACCGAACGAACCGACCGAUUCCAAAAAAACCGACCAAUUCAAAAGUUUUUAAUUUUUCUUUAAAAAAAAAUUAGAAAAUGAAAAUUUUACCAUGGAACUUAAAAUGGAUUUUACUAAAGGAUGUUGGGCCUGUCUUAUGACACAGCCCACAGCCCACAUACCCAUUCCACUUUAUGUGGGCUGAGUUUUGAGCCCACAAGCCUAUCUUAAGCCUUUGCUGAGGAUGGCUUUUAUAGGAGUCAUUUGAGUCCUUGUUCCUCUUUCUUGCCGAUGUGGGAUUGCUAAAAAUCAAAGGAAAAAAACAUAACAAAACUCCAAGAAGGUUUGAACCUUGGAUCACCCCUAUACUAAAGUCCACAUAGAACACCACUCAGCUACAUGGAUUUUAUUAUCUAAUAUGCCAAACAAAACAACACAUAUUAGAUUUUAAAUUUUUUUAUAAUAUUAAAUAAAAAUAAUAUAAUAUUUUUAAAAAUUAUGAAAUUAGUUUAAAUUUUCAUUUUUUUUAUAUAUUCACAUUUAAAUAUUACACAUAUUUCAUUUAAUAAAAUUUAAAAUAUUAAUAUGAUUUAAUUUGAUAAUAUCAAAGAUAUAAAAUAAUAUUAUUGAUGUUUAAUUUAUUCAUAUAUAUUUUAAAAUUUUUAUAAUUAUAUUUAAUUUUAAUAAAAUAUAAAUUAUAUAUUUAUGACGUCACCGGUUCGAUAGCGAUUUGAUAGCGGUUCGACCGCCGGUCCGACCAGUGAACCGUGAACCGGUAACUUUUCCGGUUCGAUCACCGGUCCGGUUCUGAAAACAUUGCAAACAACAAUUACUAUUAAAAUUAAAUCAAGAAUAAUAAUAAUAAUAAUAAUAAUGAAAAAUGAGUGGGAUGGGACAGCGAGGGAAUGAGCGAAAAUGGGAGGGGGUCACCGGUCGGCAGUGGCUCGUCGACGGCGACUACAAGGGGCUCACCGACAGCGGUGAGAGAUUGGGUAUGGUGAGAGGAGAGUAGAAAAUAAUAAUAAUAAAAAAUAAAAAAAUAAAAAAAGAAAUGAAAGAAAAGAAAAUAAGAAGAAAUCAAAAUAAGGGUGUUCGGAUGGAGAGAAAGGGAGGGAAAAUGUGGGAAAGAAAAAAUGAGGGCCCGUGUGGGAGUUGGAGGAAAAAAAAUGAAAAAAAAUAAAGAGGGGAAACGGGGGAGCACGGUUGAGAAUGGGAGUGGGUGGUGUCAGGAAAAAUCGAAGGAAAUGGGGGUCGGCUGUCCACCAUGGGAAUUGAGGGGGGCGAGGAAUCUAAAAAAAGAAUGAGGGGAAAAAUAGGGGCCCGCUCACCUUGGGAAUUGGAGAAAAAGAAAUUAAAAAAAAGAAAAAAAAAAAGGAUGGAGUGCACAUGGGGAGCCUUUGGACGUGGGAGGUAGGUGGAGGGAGAGAAAUGAGAGAGAAGAUAAAAAUAUAAUAUAAUAUAAUAUAAUAUAAUAUAAUAAUAAUAAUAAUAAAUAAAAAUAAAAAUAAAAUAAUUUAUAAAAUAAUAAAAACUAAGAAUUAAAUUGUGAGUGAACCACAAAACACAUGUAAUCGGGAUUUAAAAUUUAUUGACAAAAAUUGAGUUCAAAAUUAAUAUAAAAAUAAAAUUGGAACAAAUUUUGGGGUUUAUAAUAUUUGAUUAAAAGGAUCAUUGAAAACUCAAUUUUAGAAAUUUAACAUUUCAUCAUUCUUUUUUUUUUUUUUUAUCUCAUUUUAACAAAAAUGUUCUUAUUCUUUUCAUGUAAAAAUAAUUUUUUAUUUUAAAACCUACAUGUAAACACUUGAAAGGAUAAAAAAAAACACAUUUACAUCAAAAGCGGGAUACUCUUCAAACAAAAAUACAAAAAGGUUUAGAUUUACAAAUACGAGGAUUAUUUCACCACUUUUAACUAAUUAAUUCUUUUUCAAAUAGGCAAAAUGUGAACCUAGCACGAUUAACAUUAGUAAAGUAUCUAAUUACUAAAGAGAAUGGUAGGAUUUAUUGACCUAACUCAAUUUAAUAUAUGUUAAAAUGGUGACAUUUUCAAAUUAUAGGCAUAAAAAAUUAGGUGAAUGACAAAACUUAGUUAUUUUUCUCAAAAAUGACAUAAAAAAAAAACUAGGUCCUAAUAUAGUCUUAUAAACUACAAAGGAAAGAAAUUUGAACUGUUGUACACCAAGGCCUGGCCUUGCAUGACAAAUAAAUUGGCAACAUAGGAAUAUGGUUGCGGACGUUAUGCUUCAACCAAGGAUUCUGAAUGGAAAGGGAAUGAUCCCUACCCACAAAUGUGAGUGUAAUUGAGAAAGCAAACACAUGAUACCUGUUGUUUUUAAGGUGUAUAAUAUAAGUGAAAAGCAAGAUGGGAAAUUAAAUCCAAAAUCAUCCAAUGGAUUUGCCUAAAUGGCCUAACUAAAUAAAAUAUAUUAACCCAAUCUAACACUCGCACCAGUUUUGGAAAACAUGAAAAGAAGGAAAGGAUAAAACAUGGAUUAUUUACUAAAAGCCCGAGUCAAGAGGUGGGAGGAAAUCAUGUUUAUGAGAGUUGUCACCAUGAUUGGACUUGAGCGUCUAGCACACGAAGUAAAGAGAUGCAAGUGGUACCUAUUAAAUGCGAAUAUGGUAGGUACAUUUUCGUUACGUGGGUUGAUGUUAGGUUGUGUUUGUUUUUUUCAUUUAAUUCUAAAUAGAAUCUUAAUAUUUAAUAGUAUUAAAUAUUAUGUUAUUUAUUUUUGUAGUAUUUUAUUUUUAUUAAGUAUUAAAAAGUAAAAAAAAAUUAAUAUGUUAUUUUUCUAUUUAGAAAAAGUUACAUAUUUUGAUAUUUUUUAUUUAGUAAAAAAUUUAUAAUAAAUCAUGAAAAAGUAGAAAAACGAAUAAUCUAAAUUUUAAAAACAAAUUAUUUUUAAGAAAAAGUAAAAAAAACAAACAUCACCUUAGAUUAUUUAUUAUUUAUUUAUAUUUAUAUAUAUUUUGGGUUUACUAAGCUUUGGGUUAAAUGUGUAGGUUUUGAUAAGUCGUGCGCAAAUGGCUUGAUGGUUUGUUAGGUUACUUUUAGGUAGUUAAAUUAGAGUAUCUGCGAAAGAAAAUUGUUGACAAACAUCUCACACUUUUAAUAUUCGCAGGUCUUUCUUUUAAUAUUAGUAUGGAGAUAGGAAGAGAGAGACGUUUGAGCUUUCACACGACAAUAACACAAACCGUCAAAGACGAAAUCUCGCGCGUGAGUGGAAAGGUGGCAUUACAGCCAAGCAAUUUAAUUAUUAAUUAGUUACUGGAGUCGGAGCUUCCUAUAACUAAUUUUUAAAAAGAAAAAGUGGGAAAUGGCGCCUUCAACAGUCAACAAAUGCCGUUUCAACCGGGGCUUAGCGUGUGGGCCUCCCUCCCCUGUCAUUUCCACGCAACUCCAUUGCAACGACGGAGUAUUAUUGCAUUCCCAUAGACGACCAUCCAAGUCAACUAAAAGUCUAGAUCAAUUACUUGUUUUAGUCACCAGAAAUUACCAAUAAACCACUCACGGUCUUGGCCACUGUCUUGUUAUAAGCCAAGCUGCAGCGUCACCAGAAGCUUCAAAUCACAGAGAGAAAAUUUGCAUAGAGAGAAUAUGGGAGAAACACUUGAUCGUAUUGGGUUGAGCGGAGAAGUCAUUAAUGCAGCUGCUUCUCUAGCCAUGAAGGCUCACGAUUCCACUCGCGAGCCAUUUCUCCUCGAGAAACCCCGUGGCUUAUCCGUUGCUGUUGUUGCAUUUGCUGGAUCUUGGCUUCGCGAUGAUUGGUGUGCGGAGACACCUUUUGGAGAAACGACGAUAGAUGCUGGUACCUUUCCUUCGCUUAAAAGUUUAGGCGAUGACGGAGGCGCUCUGGUCAACGAGUCGUUUCUCCGGCGAUUCAAGGCAAUCUUAGGCCAAUCAUCACUUGCCAAAAAGGUACUUCAAUUCAACUUAUGCAUAGAUAUAUGAAAAACAAUCUUGUGAAUUCAAAAUGUGGAUGUUGGGGUUGGAUUUUUCAGGUAAUUGGAGAGAAGAAGCAAGUUGUUUUCACCGGCUACUCGUCGGGUGCUCCGGUGGCCAUCCUGGCAACUCUAUACUUCUUGGAGAAGUCAGAGCCCAAUCAGAGCCCACCCCGCUGCGUCACUUUCGGAUCCCCCCUCGUCGGUGAUCGGAUCUUCGGUCAUGCUGUCAGACGGGAGAAAUGGUCCGACCACUUCGUUCAUUUUGUUAUGAGAUACGAUGUGAUCCCUCGGAUUAUGCUUGCCCCUUCAUCCACUGAGCACAAACAAAUUCUCGAUUUCUUCAAUCCCAGAUCUGAAUUCUUCAGAAAACCCAUUGAUUCUCCUUUAGGUUUCUAUUCCAGCGUGAUGAGGAAUGCAUCCUUGGUUGCAAACUAUGAUGCCUGCAAUCUCAUGGGAUGCAGAAUCCCGGCGUUGGAAACUCUAAGGAACUUCAUUGAGCUCAGCCCUUAUAGACCUUUCGGAACUUACAUCUUCUGCACUGGAAAUGGAAAAUUGGUUGUCGUAAGGAACUCGAAUGCAGUAUUGCAGAUGCUGUUUUACUGUGCUCAGUGGACCCAAGAAGAAGCUGCAGGGGUUGCACAAAGAAGCCUAUCUGAACACUUGGCUUACAAAGAUGAAAUACAAGAGAGCUUAGGAAUGCAGAAUGUAGUCUAUCUAGAUCGUCUGGAAGAGAUUCCAGUGUCUUCAGAUGGCAGUCCAGCCACAGUCAACACGGCCUUGAAUGACCUCGGCCUGGUGAGCCUUCUUCCUUUCUUCUUAAUUACCUUACUGCCAAACUACAGAAUUUUAGCUUCCAUGUCUGUAAAUCUCAACUGAUGUUCUAGUGUUAUGGAUUGCAGAGCCCACAAGGCAGGCUAUGCCUUCAAGCUGCAGGAGAGUUGGAGAAGCGAAAGUCAAGAAAUCAGGAUAAGAUCAUUAAUGAUUAUAAGCAAAAGAUUGAAGGUGAAUUAAGAAAGAUGAGAAAGUACAAGGAAAAGGCUGAGACUUGCGGACUGGGCUACUAUGAUUCCUUUAAGCUCAACAAAUACGAAGAGGACUUUCGGGCUAAUGUGAGCAGGCUUGUGCUAGCUGGUUUCUGGGACGAGAUGAUGGAAAUGUUAAAAGCGUAUGAACUUCCGGAUGACUUUGAGAAGAGCCAUGACUUUAUACGACUUGGAACCGAUUAUCGCCGCACGGUUGAGCCUCUAGAUAUUGCCAACUUCUAUCGACACGCCAAGGAUGAAGAGACAGGGUUCUACAUGAAAAAGGGGACUCGACCAAAACGAUAUCGAUACAUCCAAAAUUGGCUCGAGCAUGCUGAAAAGAAGCCAUCUGGAUCCCGCUCAGAAUCCUGUUUCUGGGCUGAGGUAGAGGACCUCCGCAUUAAAACUAGAAGCUGUGGAUCCUCUCAAGAAAUUAAGCAGAAGGUUCAGCAACUGGAGAAAAAUCUAAUUAAAUGGAUUGAUGAUGAAUCUUUAGGCAAGGAUGUGUUGUUGAAGAAUUCCACCUUUGUUAUAUGGUGGAAAGGCCUUGGUCCUGAGUAUAAAUCAGAACCCGAAUCAUCUUGCAUUUCGAAACUCAUCGGUGGGUAAGAUUGAGAGGGCUUCAUACUGUCAUCUUGAGGCACUUGUUCAAAGCCAAUAACGGCAAUAACCCUGAAUGUAUGCAAAAUCCUGUUUCCUGUAUUAAUUAGUAUGCAAAAUCUUGUUUCCUGUAUUAAUCAGUAUGCAAAAUCCUGUUUCCUGUAUUAAUUAGUAUGCAAAAUCCUGUUUUCUGUAUUAGUAUGUAACGACUCAUUCCCAAUCGCAUAGAUAAUGUCACUGUGAUAUCCAGGGUCUCAGGUCCAACUAUGUGAAAAUCAAGAAUGCAAAUGACUAGAUAUCAAGGGGUAAUGCUCAUAAUACUUUCAUACAAACAAGUUAGAAUUGUGUAAGUUCUACAGACGAUUAUUCAAGCAGUUGUACUUCAACACAGAUGAAGUUUGUGAUUUGAAGUUACAACUAUCUGAUAAUAAAGAAGAUGAGAAGGCAUAUUUCUUAAGAAAAUGGUCAUGAUAGCAUUUGGCAGAGAGGAGCAUACUAAUACAAAAGAUUGAAAAUGGGUUGAUAAAUUAACAGGCAGAUGGACGCUUGAUGUGCAUAUUCCUUGGCCGAUCAAUAUGUAUAUGAAAAUACUGUGACAAAGACCUAGUUAGCUCCACAAUGAAAAAAGAAGCCCUUGCCAUAUGACGACAGAGGCCCUGUCAUAGACUCACAGGUCAACUACAACCAGUUCCUUCCUAGCUGUCAGAACUUUCCUUAUUGUGCAAGAAAGAAUAAGCGUGAUAUUCUGAUGCUCCCUUACUAAUUUACUACUGAACACAAAUCAACAAGCCAUCCCUUUAAGGACAUAUCUAUAAGUUCCAUCUGGAAAGGACCUCUCCAAUGGUUACAUAUAUCUUUCUUUAUAGGCCACUAAAUGAAGCCCUUUUCCAUAACCCAAUACAACCCAGUCGGAACAUAUCAUCCUCAAAAGUGAGAAAUCAUCGACACCAUAAGGGUGCAUUUGGGAUAUGGGAAUCGGAAAGGAAAUAGGAUGGGAAUGAAGGUGAAUCACGUUAUCAUGUAGAAGAGAGGAAUCAAAAUCCUAGUGAAAGUAGUGUUAAGAUAUGGACUCACAUAUCUAACAAUAGUUCAUGACUAAACUAUUCACCUCUUUUCAGUAUUUGUUUUCUGUUCGUUCAAGAGUAUGGGCCACCUAUGUGUAGAGCCCAAUGCCUUCACGGGCCUUAGAUGAUGGGCCUAAGACUCGUGAGACCCAAAAGCCCAAUGGGUAUGGUCCCUAAGGCAGGAGGGUAUAAAAGGUCAAGGGUCUGUUCAUUUUGGUAACAAUCACAUCAGUUUUGGAAUUAGAACAGACCCGUUUCUCUUCGACUCCCAUCGUCUGAGAGAAUUCAGAAAGAGGUGGUGCCCUCCACAGCCUUAGAAGAUCCAUACCGUAUUCAUCGCCGGAAAACAAUGGACUCAGGUAUGUUCUUAGACAACAGUGGAAGGCAUAAUUUGAAUGCUUGGUAUACAUAUAUAUCCUGUUUUUUUUUUUUUUUUUUUUUUUUGUGUUUUGGGUGAUAAUGGAAAUCAAGAAUAAUAACAAAUGGUAUCAAAGCCUCCCAUUUUCACCAAAACACUCUUUAAAACACAAACAUCAGACCCAAAGCAAAAGACGUUGGACUCAGGUGUUGUUUCGGGCAAUGGGAGUAGCGUUAGGGCGCUGCAACGCGUCAUUAGGAAUCAAAAUAGCGCCAUUCCGACGCUGUUCAUUUUGUCGGCGUCCUUUGCGCCGUUUUGACGUCGUUGAGAUGCCACUGCAGGCGUCGUCAGCCCGACGUCGCCACGACGUCGGUUGGAGGAGGAUUGAGACGCCGGUUUGGCGUCAUUCUCUAAUUAAGAACGCUGUUCAGGCGAUGGAAAAUGACUACGAUGCCGUUUAGGCAUCGUUUCUCAGUCAGCUGCUCGUGAUUUAGGCGUCAUUUUUUUGGCGUUCCAGACGCCGUCCAAGCGCCAAUGAGGAGCGCCAAAAUUAGGGCGUUGUUGCAGGCUACUCAGUAACGUCGUUAUUGCAUUUUUCUAGUGAUGGCACCACUGAUGACGCCGCUGCCGGCAUCCCAUAGUAAAAUGUCUAUUUUUGGUACGCCGUUUUGGUGGCACUGAAGCACCAUUUUCAGGCGCGGUUGGAGGGGCUGCUGGCGUCUGUUACAGGCGCCAUUAAGGCGUUUGUUACAAGCACCAUUCAAACGUCGUCCAGGCGUAGUCUGAUGGCAUCGUUCGUAGAUGGCUCCGGGGCUGCUGUCAGUUGGAUGCAAAAAUGAUCCCUUUUUACAACGUUUGAAAUUCCAUGUUUUUUUAAAAUUUUUUUUAUAUGUAUAUGCUUUUAAAAUUAUGCCAUAAUGAAGAUGGAAUAAUUUGAGAGAGUCUAUAUUCUUUUUUUGUGUUGUGGGAAAUUUUAUAUGUAUAUGCUUUUAAAAUUAUGCCAUAAUGAAGAUGGAAUAAUUUAAGAGAGUCUAUAUUCCUUUUUUGUGCGUUAGGAAAUUUAUAUGUAUGUGUUGCAUGUGAAAUAAUUAGGUAUCAUUCAAUGUCUUAUGAAUCAUGCAUAAAAUGGGUUUGUGGAUAAAUUUUUGAUUGAAUUAUUGCUUGCUAUAUUUAUGUUUAAUAUUAUAAAAUAAAUGAAUUAUGUAUACUUGUUGCCAAAGUAACUUGUAUUAGAUAAUUUUAUUUACUUUGAAAUGUGUAAGCAUGUUAUUAUUGUAUAAAAUAAUCAACCCAAAGGAGGAUUAUUUUUAUAUAAUAAUAAAUAAAGUAAUCAUGAAUAUGUGACAUACAAGGUUUAUCUUGCAUUCGAUAUGUUAGUCCAAAGACAAACAUAUUGUUUUCGGUUUUUUUUUUAUUGUCAAUAUUUAUGAAUUAAUUUAAGGAUGCUACUUACAAGUUGAUAUUUCCGUCCAAAGACUGAAUAUUGAUGUUUGUGCUAGGUAUCUUGUUGUAUGUCCACAUGCAUAUAUAUGUUUAAAUUUUAUUUAUUCAUGUACGUGUGAUGUUUAUAUGACUGAUUGUGAGCUUCAUUGUUAUUUCAACAUCUUCUAUAUCUGCAAAUGUCAAUAACAUUCCUGUGCUUAAUGGCAUAAACUUCAAGAAAUGGAAGGAGCACGUUAUAAUUGUGCUCAGGUGAAUAGAUUUAGACUAUGCAUUAAGAGUGGAUCGCCCUUCAGAUCUUACUAGUGCUAGCACUGCUGAGCAAAGGUCUGCUAUGGAAAAAUGGGAGUAAUCCAAUCGUAUGAGUCUAAUGAUUAUGAAGCACUCAAUUCCAGAAGCUAUAAGGGGUGCAAUACCUGAGGAAACCCAAGCCAAGGCAUUCUUGGACCAAAUAGCAAACCGAUUUGCUGCAAACGAAAAGGUUGAGACAAGCACUAUUCUUAGUAAGCUUGUCUCUAUGCGGUAUAAAGGGAAAAAGAAUAUAAGGGAGUACAUUAUGGAAAUGUCUAAUCUUGUGACUAGACUCAAGGCACUAAAGUUAGAGUUGUCGGAAGACAUACUCGUGCACUUGGUCUUGAUCUCUCUGCCUACACAAUUCAGUCCAUUCAAAAUCAGUUACAACACUCAAAAUGAGAAAUGAACUUUGAAUGAGCUUAUUGCUCAAUGUGUACAAGAGGAAGAGAGAUUGAAACAAGAGAAGAUAGAGAGUGCUCACUUGGCUUCCACGUCUUAGGGAUUUGGUACCAACAAGAAAAGAAAGAGGGACAAUAAAGGAAAACAAACUACAGUUUCUGAGACAUCAAAGCAGAAGGUGCAGAAGAAACAAGAUAAGGAGAUCACUUGUUUCUUUUUCAAAAAGACUGGUCAUAUGAAGAACACAUGUACCAAAUACGCAGCUUGGCGUGAAAAGAAAGGCACACUUCUCAACUUUGUUUGUUCAGAAAUUAAUUUAGCUGUAGUGCCUACUGACACUUGGUGGAUAGAUACAGGUGCAACUACUCAAAUAAGUGUCACUAUGCAGGGUUGCCUAAGGAGUUGAAUGUCAACUGAUGGUGAAAGAUACAUCUAUGUGGGAAAUGGAAACAAGGUUGCAGUCAAGGCUAUUGGUCUUUUUAGACUACAGUUGGACUCUGGAUGUACUUUGGAUUUGGAAGAGACUUUUGUUGUACCGUUGUUUAGACGGAAUUUAAUUUCUAUUUCAUGUCUGGACAAAUUUGGAUAUUGUUGUUCAUUUGGAAAUGGAAUGGUUAGUCUUUAUCUAAAUUCAAAGGUUAUUGGUACAGGUAGUCUAAUAGACAAAUUAUACAAAUUGAACAUAAAGGCCACUAAUGGAAAUGAAACCUUGCAUUCAAGUAAUUAUGACAUUAAGUGAAAAUUAAUAAAUGAGAAUUCAUCAAUGUUAUGGCACAAACGUUUGGGUCACAUUUCAAAUCAACGGAUUCAAAGGCUUGUGUCAGAAGGAAUUCUUGAUCCACUUGAUUCCUCAUACUUUCAAGUCUGUAUAGAGUGCAUUAAAGGUAAACAAACAAAUAUGAGGAAAAAUGAUGCCAAUAGGUGCAGUGACGUCUUGGAAUUGAUACAUACGGACAUUUGUGGUCCAUUCCCUACAACUUCUUGGAAUGGACAACAAUAUUUUAUCACUUUCAUUGACGAUUACUCGCGUUAUGACUAUCUUUAUUUGAUUCAUGAGAAAUCUCAAUCAUUGGAUGUGUUCAAGAAUUUUAAAGCUGAAGUUGAGAACCAACUAAGCAAGAAAAUAAAGGUCGUCAGAUCUGAUCCUAGAGGUGAAUACUAUGGUAGAUAUGACGGAUCAGGUGAACAAUGUCCAGGGCCAUUCGCCAAAUAUUUGAUGGACUGUGGAAUCGUUCCUCAGUACAUCAUGCCAGGGACUCCAAGCCAAAAUGGUGUAGCAGAGAGGCGAAACCAUACUCUUAAGGAUAUGGUAAGAAGUAUGAUAAGUCAUUCCAUCUUACCAGAAUCACUUUGGGGCGAAGCUAUCAAAACUGCAGUUUACAUUUUGAAUAGAGUACCAAGCAAAGCAGUAGCCAAAACCCCAUAUGAGUUAUGGACUAGCAAGAAGCCUAGGAUUAGGCACUUGCAUGUUUGGGGUUGUCCAGCUAAAGCUAGGCCUUAUAAGCCAAAUGAAAAGAAAUUGGACUCCAGAACAGUGAGCUGCUAUUUUGUAAAGUAUUCUGAAAGGUCAAGAGGUUUCAAAUUUUAUGACCCCUCAUCUAGAUCCUUCUUUGAAACGGGUAAUGCUAAGUUCAUUGAGGAUGUUGAGUUAAGUGGGAGAGAAUCAUUAAGAAAUGUCGUUUUUGAAGAGGAAUCUAUUAGUAUUCCUACGACUGGACAUGGUCAUAUUAUGUUUGAUGACACUAUUUAGAAUGUACAGUCGAUAACAAAAAUUCAAGACACACCUGAAAUUCCUCCUACUCAAGUUAUGGAACCGAUUCAAGUUCAUCAAGAGGUAACUCAACAACCUCAAGUACAAGUGCCACUGAGGAGAUCCACUAGAGAAAGGAGAAGUAAAAUUUAAGAUGAUUAUGUUGUAUAUCUCCAAGAACAUGAGUUUGACAUGGGUCUGAAAGACGAUCCAAUUUCAAUUAGUUAAGUCAAACAAAGUUCUAACUCUGAAAAGCGGAUAGAAGUCAUGAAGGAAGAGAUGAAAUCAAUGAAAGACAAUGGUGUUUGGGACCUAGUAGAGUUGCCUGAAGGUAUAAAACCGAUUGGUUGUAAAUGGAUUUUUAAAACCAAAUGGGAUUCAAAAGGUAACAUUGCUAGGUAUAAGGCACGCCUAGUCGCAAAAGGUUUCACUCAAAAGGAAGACAUUGAUUAUAAGGAGACCUUUUCACCGGUUUCGUCAAAUGACUCCUUUAGAAUCAUCAUGGCACUUGUAGCUCAUUAUGUUUUAGAGCUACAUCAAAUGGACGUUAAAACUGCGUUUCUUAAUGGUAACAUUGAUGAAACAAUAUACAUGGUGCAAUAGGAGAACUCUGAGUCUAAUGAUUCAAAGCAACUUGUAUGCAGAUUAAAAAGGUUCAUAUAUGGUUUAAAGCAAGCAUCCUGACAGUGGUACCGAAAGUUUGAUCAGGUGAUCACUUCAUUUGGUUUUAAGGAGAACACCGUUGAUCAAUGCAUAUACCUCAAGUUUAGUGGGAGCAAAUUUAUUAUCUUGGUGCUAUAUGUUGAUGAUAUUCUACUUGCAAGUAGUGAUGUGGGACUUUUGCAUGAAACCAAGCGAUUUCUAUCUAGUAAAUUUGAUAUGAAAGAUCUUGGUGAUGCAUCUUUUGUGCUGGGUAUACAGAGAUCUAUAGGGAUCAUUCAAGAGGUAUACUUGGGUUAUCACAAAAGGCCUACAUUGAUAAAGUGUUGAGUAGAUUUGGCAUGAGCAAUUGUGCACUAGGAAACACGCCUGUGGCAAAAGGGGAUAAAUUUAGUUUGCACCAAUGUCCGAAAAAUGAACUUGAGAAGAAGGAUAUGGAGAGGUUUCCCUAUGCCUCGGCCAUUGGAAGUCUCAUGUAUGCACAAGUUUGUACGCGUCCGGAUAUUGUGUACAUUGUUGGAAUGUUAAGCAGAUAUUUGAGUAACCCAGGUAUGGAUCACUAUAAAAAGGCAAAACGGGUUAUGCGGUAUUUACAAAGGACUAAAGACUAUAUGCUCACAUACCGUAGAUCCAGUCAUUUGGAGAUCGUGGGAUAUUCGGACUCCGAUUUCGUAGGAUAUCUUGACAGCAGGAGAUCCACUUCAGGAUACGUCUUCAUGCUGGCUGGAGGAGUAGUUUCAUGGAAAAGUGUUAAACAAACACUUAUUGCUUCUUCCACCAUGGAGGCAGAAUUCAUAGCUUGCUACAAGGCAUCAAACCAUGGGAUAUGGCUACGGAAUUUUAUCACUCAAUUGCGAAUUAUUGAUGGGAUUGAGAAACCAUUGAGAAUCAAUUGUGAUAAUAAGGCCGCAAAAUUGUAUUCUAAGAACAACCGAAGUUCAUCAAAGUCCAAACACAUUGAAAUCAAGUUCUUGGUUGUGAAAGAAAGAGUUCAGAGUCUUCAAGUAUCGAUUGAACACAUAAGCACAAACUCCAUGAUUGCGGAUCCGCUCACUAAGGGUUUCCCACCCAAAGUAUAUCAUGAGCAUGUCACACAUAUGGGUGUUGUACACAUUGAUGAUGUGCCAAUAUAGUGGGAGUUUGUAUUUAGAUUUUGUGUUUGUUUUCUUGAUGUGAUAUCAUGUUAUGUUAUCUAUACAGACCUUGGUUUUUAAAGACUAUUGUAUUUGAAUACUCUGAAUUGAAAUGAAGACUUUUAGAAGCAGUUUAACAUCAAGUGUUGAAAGUGGAAUUUGACUAAUUUUUAGUCAUAAAGUGGGACCAAUUGGAAAUAGACAUAUUAGAGAUCACAUUCUAUGUAAUUUUCAUGCUACACAUCCAUACUUGAUCCAUGUUGCUAAUUUUGUUAAUACUGUGAUCAUUGAUGGGUUUAGUUAUAAUUAUGAUUAACGAAUGCCGCUUUGAUCCUACAUUAGCAUAACUAGUAGACUAGAUUGUUUAAGGAUAUUAAGAUAGAAUAGCAAGAUGAGCUCAAUAAAGUCCUAUCAUGAAUAUUGUUUUGUAAUAUAUGUGGUCCAAGUGGGAGAUUGUUAAGAUAUGGACUCACAUAUAUAACAAUAGUUCAUGACUAAGCUAUUCACCUCUUUUCAGUAUUUGUUUUCUGUUCGUUCAAGAGUAUGGGCCACCUAUGUGUAGAGCCCAACGCCUUCACGGGCCUUAGAUGAUGGGCCUAAGACUCGUGAGGCCCAAAAGCCCAAUGGGUAUGGUCCCUAAGGCAGGAGGGUAUAAAAGGUCAAGGGUUUGUUCAUUUUGGUAACAAUCACAUCAGUUUUGGAAUGAGAACAAACCCGUUUCUCUUCGACUCCCAUCGUCUGAGAGAAUUCAGAAAGAGGUGGUGCCUUCCACAGCCUUAGAAAAUCCAUACCGUAUUCAUCGUCGGAAAACAAUGGACUCAGGUAUGUUCUUAAACAACAAUGGAAGGCAUAAUUUGAGUGCUUGGUAUACAUAUAUAUCCUGUUUUUUUUUUUUUGGGUAAUAAUGGAAAUCAAGAAUAAUAACAAGUAGCAUUUGGUUUCCAUAGUAAUUCAUUUUUUAUUCUUGUUCUCAUUAUAAAAACAAUUCAAACAUAGUAAUUAAUGAAAAUGAAAUUGAUUUUGCACUACUAUUCUCUAUCCCAGUGUGCCAAACAUGACCUAAGUUAUGUUACCUCAUUCUAUUCCUAAUUGACUUGAAGUUCCUUUGGAGCAAAAUAGAACACAUUGCCCUAUGAUAGAAAAGUUUAUUUUUCAGGUCGGCCUACUUUGAGGCUUUUUUUCCAAAUCGGUCCAUUUGAGACAAACCAUUGUCUAACUAAAUGGUGCGUAUGACCUUGCAAUAAAUAAAACGUCAAACAAUGCAUGAAAUUACAACAAGAAAAACAUUCGAGGUCCAACACCCACCUUGAUCAUUUUGAACAUUGUCACUAAAAAAUCAAGAACUUUGAAACUUUUCAACCCAUGUGGGUCUCAUACAAUUGUAACAUGAAGCAUGAUUAAGACGUUAAGGUUAGGGUCCUAUGAAAAUUACUUUUUGCUCUUUUCAAAGUGUCUUGGGUCUUAUCCUUAUCGGUUAGAGAGACUCUUCUUAGUUGGUAUGACUUCUUUGUGGGCAAGAAGCUCAAAAAAACUUGGAAAAUUGUCCCUUCAUAUAUUUUUUGAAUAGUUUAAAAAGAAAUGAACAAACUUAUCUUUGAUGAUGAGGAGUUGUCCAUACAAAGGUUGAAAAACUCCUUUGUUUGUACAUUUUGAUCUUAGAUUAAAUCGUGAUCAGGUUGCUAUAAAUUGAUUUCAAAUAUUCACAUCAAUCUUUGCUAAAAACAAAAAUAGAAUAAAUUAGAAUAAAUCUUGAAGGAAUUAUGCUAAGAUUCAUUAAGCUAAUUGUAAUAACCAAAGAUAAUGCAAUUAUAGACAUCUUUUCCCUCAAAAGAUAGCUAGCUUAUUAUAAAAAUAUUUUAUUAUUCUUCUUUUUCAUAAAUGUUUUUAUGUUUUUUGUCUAUAGCACAUAAGGGUUACAUCAAUUGUGACAUAAAUUAAGUAGAUUUUUCAUUGCUAAAUUACUAUAUAUUCAAAUCUUUAAGUAGAAUUGUGCAACACGAUCCACAAAGUGAUGUAUAAGCAUUUGAUUUUUAUCAAAUGUUUUUCAAAAACUCCUCUAAAUACUUGGUCUUAUUGAGUGUUUAAAAUGGACAAUAUUAAGAUACUUUAUACCAUGUUUCUUAACAUAUUAAAGAUGUUUAAUUAGGGCUAAACAAAUAUUAGUGACUUCCAAGCCUUUCAUGAAUCUAGGGAGCUACAUGCUUUUAUAAACUAAAAGGCUUAUAAGAUAAAGAAGUUUCAUAAUUUUCAAUUUUUAUGUAUACAAUAAGAUUUUUAUAUAUUCUACCACUUAUUUUAUCUUAUAUUUGAUUGAACAUAUAAUAGGAUAAUCGUGGUUUAAAAUAUCGAUAUAUACCGAUAAUAUAUCGGUACUUGAAUUUUACGGAUAUAUCGGAAAUAUUGAUAGAUAUUUUGGUAAAAAUAUUGGUGAUAUGAAAAUUAUUCAAAAUUCAUGUAAAUGCUUGGAAAAACUCUAAAAAUAAUAAAAUAAGCAAAAAUAAGCAAAAAUACAUAUAUUAAAGUUUUUUUACAAAUAUAAUUAACAUAGGUAUGACCAAGGAUAAUAUUUAUCAUUUUUUUUUAUAGAAAAAAUUAUCUAAAACUCCCUUAAUACAUUUAUAUUCGUUUAAUUUCUAAAAUUUUAUUACUUGUGGUGACAACUUUUUCUAUCAAUAUUAAUUUGUUUAAAUAAUUAAAAUUAUUAAAAAUUAUGUUAAUAAUUUAUCUUAUCAAAUUAAUUUUAAUUUAUAAAAUAUUAUAACUUCAUUAUUUUUUUUAUAUUUUAGUAAUUUUUGAAUAAAUUUAUAUUUUUUAAUAUUUUAAAAUAAAAAGAUUCAAAAUUAUAUAUGAUUUUUUUAUACUUUUUAUAUUAUUGCUAUUUAAUUAUCAUAUAAAUGAUUUAAAAAAAAAGACUUGUUAAAAAAAAUUAUAAUGAUGGUUUUCAUACUUUUAUUAAUUAAUUAAAUAAAAUUUAAAAUAUAAUAAGUAGAAUUAAUUUAUUUAUUAAAAUAUUUCUUUAAUAAUGGAUUUUAAUAUAUACUUGUGCACAUUUAUUAAAAAGGGUGAAUUUGCCCGAGUGGUAGUUGGGCUUUAACCCAAGCAUUUUGGUCUCGUUCCAAUCCCUGCCAUAUUUCAGAAAACAAGUGAAACAUCGCUGGGCCGACUUUCAGCCCAUAUUUCAUGUCAGGCCUCACCAACAAAUGAAAUUUCGCCGACAUUUCAAAGGUUUUUUUUUAGUACUACCGACUACAAACUACCACCAAAACAAUGAUAAAAGAAAAAGACUGAAAUAUCCUCAGAAUUUAAAUUUAAGUAAAUAUAUCUUGAACCUCAAAUAACAACCUUUUUAUGGGAUUAGUAUAAUUAAAAUUUGAUCAUGGAACUUUCAAACUUAAAAUUUUAUAUUGAUUUGGGAAACAUGAACAUUAAGGUUAUGUUUGGUUCUCGGAAAAUUUGAGGGAACCUGUGAAAGAAAUAAAAUAGAGAAAAAAAGUAGAAGGAAAAUGAAAAGUAAGUUUAGAUUUAAUAAAUUAUUUUAAAUUAAUUUUAAUUAUAUUUUAUUUUCUUUUAUAUUUUUUAUAGUAAAAUUAAAUAUGAGAAAAUCAUUUUUCUUAAUAUAUAAUUUUCUUUUCCUAGUAUUUUUUGAAACAGCCUAAUUAAAAUCAUCACAAGAACUUAUUGAUUAUUGUAUACAAUUCUAUUUGUAUAGCAUAUCUAGGCUAUAUAGAACUUUUUAACACAUACACCAACAAGCAACUUCUCAUUAUGAUAAUCUCCAUUCCCAAGUUCUAAAUCCAUCCAAAUACGUACUUCAUGGCAAAACUGUAACACACCAAAAUAAACUUUAGGAGUAAAAUAGUAAAUUAUAAAUUAAUUAAUUAAUUAAACUCAUUAAAGGUAAAAGAGUCCUUUUAUAAUUAAUAAUCUUUGGUAUAAAUUAGAUUCUUCUUUAUUGAGAAAACUCUAUUAACCAAAAAUCAGUGAAUUGGAGAACGUAGGGCUCAAGGUUUGAAAGUCUAGAGUUUGAAGUUCAGAUUUUUCCAGGUAAGAUUCUAACUCUAGAUUAAUAUAUUAUAUUCGUUAGUUAGUUUUGAAUAUAUUAGAUAUUCUUUAGAAAAUUUUAAUUUAGAUUAGGGCUAGUUUAGUUAAUUUAUUUUAAGAUAAAAAAAUUGAAAUUAUGAAUAUAAGUUGUUUCAUUUAUGAAAAUAGGGAAAUUCGAAUUUUUUUUUUAUAUGAAUAGAUCUAAACAAUGAGAUUUUAAAAAUUAAAUGAGUAAAUAAAUAUAUGAUUAUAUGUGGCUUAAGGGAUUGGAAAAUAAUAAGAAAAAGAAUUGCAUGUUUGUGAAUUUUGGAUUUGAGGCAAUGUGUUGGAGUGGCAAAAAAUAAAAUGAUAUGUAACUGUGAAAAGGGUGGUAGUGGAAUAAAUUAAAAUAAUAACAAUGAGUAGAGUUGAUGGGGUUGUUGGAGUUGUUAAAAGUACAUGAGGUAUUUUGUUAAAUAAGAGGGGACAUUGAGAUUAAUAAGAAUAAUGAUAAUAAUAAUAAUAAUAGUAAGAAUUGUGUGAUUUGGAUGUUUGUGAGUGAUGUAUAGUAGGGGUGUUUUUGGAUGUUGCAGGGUAUCGAAAAAUAUAGUAAUAAUAAAAAUAAUUGUUUUUAAUAAAAGUUUUAAUUUAGUUUAAGUAUACAAAAGAAGUAAAUGGUUAGAAUAAGAUUUGGAAGAAAUAUGAGUUUAUAAAAAAUUUGGAAAUUCAUUAAAUUAUAUUAUUAUUGUUUAAGAAGUUGAAACUAAUAUUCGGUAGUAAUAAUAUUAGAAUGAUAAAUUAAUUAAGAUCCCUAAUACUAAAUAAAAUAUUUUUAGGAUUGUCAAAUUUUUACCUUUAGAUAAUUAUGUAUGAUAUUAUGUUAGGUGAAGAGUAAAUUCGUCAAGCUAAAUACUUCAAGUUUUUGAGCACUUCUUCAAGGUAAGGGAAAUUAAUGCAGAUUUUUUAUAAAUAAUAAUAAUAAUUUUCUUUUUAUAUUGUAUUUUGAAAUGUGUAAAAAUAUUAUUUUUAUUUUUUCGCAUGGAUCAAAUAUGCAUUUUGUAUGGAAAGUAUAUUUGAGAAUUUUCUUUGUUUAUGAAAAAUGAAAAAUUGAGGAGAUAUAAUAUUUUGUUUUGUAAGUUUGACUUAAUGAAAUAAAGUGUUUGACUAUGGAUUAUAUGACCCUAGUCAAUGAGUUAUAAUUGUUGAUAUUUUCGGUUUUAGUCAACGAUUUAUAAUAGUUGAUAUUACAUAGCCCUAGUCAACAGGUUAUAAUAGUUGACCUUAUGACCCUAGUCAACGGGUUAUAAUUGUUGACUUUUGGUUAUGUUCACCUUAAAUGGAACAAAUUUGAAACUACCCACUCAUUUGUGAAGUCCCACCUAAUAGGCCACCAUUUGUUAUUUGAUAAUCAGAGCAAAGAUAUUUUGAAUGUAUUUGAUUUGGUUUUGAUGAGAAAUUGUUUUGAAAUGGAUAUGAGAAAGUUUUGUUGAAAAGUUUGAAUGUAUUAGUAUUUUGAACUCAAAAGUUUUUAUGAAAAUAAGUAUAUGUUAUACCUCCUAUUUGCAAGUAUGAUUGAAAAUGUUUGAUCCAUGAAACUGUAUUAAUGUUCUUUAUCGGGCUUUGAGUUCAUCCCCCUUUAUUGAUAAUCUUUCAAGUAACCUCAGUUCGGGCGAGGAGUGACCCUUAUGAGGGAAAUUUAGCUUUAUUAGGACAUUUGUUUAAACUUUUUUUAUUUUGGACAUUAUUGAAAUGUUAAAACUUAAUUCUUGUUUCAAUUAUUUUGAGUUUAGAGUUAUUUGGACAAUAACAUUUUGGUUGAUGUAUUAGUUUUUUAAAAAAGUUGAUACUUGGAGAUUUUAGAAUUUUGUCCUAGAAUAGGAAUUUGGUAAUUGGUAAAUUUCCAGUUACAAUACGGAUGUCGUUUCCACUUUGAGCUUUUAGGCUUGAGUUGUGAAAUGACUGUCAUGCCCUUGGAGUGGGUUUUGGGGCAUGACAGAGUGGUAUCAGAGCACUAAGUUAUGAUCUUGUUGGGAACUUGUUUUAGUUUACAUUUGGGAUAGACCAGUGACACAUUAGUUUAAGUUUCAAUUUCAUCUUUUAUAAAUUCCUAUUUUUCCUUAUGAAUCUAAAUUUCCUAAUUAGUUUUUUAGUGACUAAUUUAAUUAUACCUAAUGUUUUAUUGGACAACAUGGCACCAAGAAGAACAACAUCUUCCCAAAACAGUCAGGCUAAUAAUGAUGUACCUCCUCCACUUGAGGGUUUGCCUCCCAUGAAUGUAGAAGAACUUUAUAGGUAUUUUGAGACUUUAGCUGGUUUGGUUAAGCGUCAGGCUAGAGCUAUUGAGACUCAAGCUCUUGGACAACACUCAUCUUCUAAGGGUAGCUCAUUUUAUGACUUUAAUAAGUUAAGUCCUCCUUAAUUUUCUAGUACUUCAGACCCAAUGGAAGUAGAAGCUUGGAUUCUUAAGAUAGAGAAAUUCUUUGAUGUUAUAUAUUGCUCUGAGGAGCAAAAAGCCUAUUAUGCAACAUUUAUGUUAGAUAAAAAAACAGAUCAUUGGUGGCGUAUGACCAAAAGGCUUUUAGAGGAUCAAAGACCUAUAGUUUGGAGACAAUUUAAGGAGGCAUUUUACAAAAAGUAAUUCCCUGACAGUUUUAGACGAUAAAAAGUAGGAGAGUUUGUUCGUUUGGAAUAGGGGGAUAUGACGGUGGACCAGUAUGAGGCUAAAUUUACAGAGUUGUCAUGUUUUGCUCCACAAUUAAUUGCUACAGAGGAGGAAAAGGCAUUAAAGUUUCAGGAUGGAUUGAAACCCUAUCUAAAGAACAAAAUAUAUAUAUUUUGAAGCUUAGUGCCUAUUUAGAGGUUGUAGAUAAAGCUCGUAUAGCGGAAAAGGAUAAUAAAGAGCUUUAACAGUACAGAGAACAACAAAUGAAGAGGAGUAGGAGUGAUGAUGCCCAUGAGAACCAAGAACCAAAAAGGUUUGAUUCAAUUGAGAGUCCGAAUAAAGGGGAAACAAUGCAAAAUUCAUAUUUGACUUGUUCUAUUUGUGGUAAGAAACAUUGGGGUAAGUCUUGCUAUAAAGAGUCUGGAGCUUACUUUGGUUGUGGGAAGCAUGGACAUAUGAUUCAGGAUUGCCCAAAGAAUAAGAAGUUUAUGAUUGGGAAGCCUAAAGAGGAGAAUAAAGAGGAUAAACAGAAACCCAGAGUCCAAGGGCGAAUGUUUGCUAUGACUCAUCAAGAUGCUCAAGCCACUUCUGAUGUGACGACAUGUACUAUUCGAAUUUGCAAUUGGGAAAGUUGUGUUUGUAGCUACCUAUUUGAAAGUAUUAUGGAUAUCAAAUUGGAAGAAGUUGGAAUAUGAGAUUUGACCAUGAAAUGGCAAAAUAUUAUCUUUCUCAUGCACUCUUUUUUUUACUCCAUUUUAUGUUCCUAGAUUGCCCCUCCAUGUUUCCAUGUCAGCAACCCUAUCUUCAUAUUAGCAGGAAACCCUCCAUGUCACAUAAGAGACUUGAAAUUUAUAAAACAGAAAAAUCAAACCUAUGAAAAUCACCUGACCCAAGACCCAUGUAAAAUUUUUAAAAUCUUUCUUCUCUUUGAUUUGGGAGCUUCUCUCUCUCUUUUGGCUUCAUCACCCACACAAUCCCGAGACCCAUGUAAAAUUUCCUAAAAUUGUCUUAUUAGAGAGGAAAAAACCAUUAAUCCAAAACUCCAACCUGUGUGUUUCUCUCUUGUCCACAUAAAAGUGCAACGAAAUGGAGCAUUCCAUCCUAUGAAUGUUCGGUUAAAAGAAAACUUCAAGAGGCGCAUCCGUGAUUGUGAAUCUACUAUAGCAGCAGGUACCGGAACGGAAAGAUGGAAUCCAAAAUAUUGGGUUUGUGAACAAGAUAUCUCUUCUUGUCAUUGAGUGGCAUUUUUCCCUAACCCCAAACCGAAAUAUAAAGGUAAAUUAUUUUCAUUUAUUGUUCUUUAGUUCAUUAAUUUGAAAUAGAGCACAUCAACAAUUUUGGAGUAGUUGGUGGACUUGAACUUUUGUGUUGGGUUGUGGAAAUCGUAUUAUUCCUAAAUAACCAUAUGACCCACAAGUCGUAUUUAAUUCAGAUGAAACUUACAACAUAUCUAGUUAUAAGUCGCAUUGUUAUUUUGUGGACUGUACCUUAGGUACUACCUUAAUAGCCCUUAGGUACUACCUUAAUUUACUUUAGGUACUACCUUAAGGGACCUUAGGUAUUACCUUAGUUAAAGUUGGGUUCUACCUAUCCCAAGCCUCGGACCUUCCUUUGUGACCCUUAGACCAUGCCAUUAUGUGAUUUUUUUAUGUGGGCAAGUGGUUCACCUUUGGUUUUUUGCAAAUUGUACCUUAGGUACUACCUUAAGGGACCUUAGGUACUACCUUAGUUAAAAUUGGGUUCUACUUAUCCCAAGCCUCAGACUUUCCUUUAUGACUCUUAGACCACACCAUUAUGUGAUUCUUUUGUGUGGGCAAGUGGUUCACCUUUGGUUGUUUGCAGACUGUACCUUAAGUACUACCUUAAUAGCCCUUAGGUACUACCUUAAUCUACCUUAGAUACUACCUUAAGGGAUCUUAGGUACUACCUUAGUUAAAGUUGGGUUCUACCUAUUCCAAGCCUCGAAUCUUUCUUUGUGGUCCUUAGACCAUGCCAUUAUGUGAUUCUCUUGUGUGGGCAAGUGGUUCACCUUUGGUUCUUAAAGGACUGUACCUUAUGUACUACCUUAAUAACCUUUAGGUACUACCUUAAUAUACCUUAAAUACUACCUUAAGCGACUUUAGGUACUAUCUUAGUUAAAGUUGGGUUCUACCUAUCCCAAGCCUUGGACCUUCAAUCCCGGACAUUACUUGUUAUAAUUUAAAAUUUGUAGUUUAUCAUUACUAAUACUUUGUAUUUUAAAAUAUGAUAUUAUUUUAAAUUGCAUAUGUUUUUUUUUAGAAUUUCCCUUAAUUUCUCUAAAACAUAUUAUUAAGUAAAUAAAUUUUAAAUCAAAUUAUUAAUUUUUAAAAAUAAUUUGAAACUCAAAAAUCAAUUUAGGGUACUUUUUUAUUUGAAUAACAUAGAAAAUCAUGGACUUCAACAAAAUAGUAUCAAAAAAAUCAUAAAUUAAAAUUCAUUUUGAAUGACUUCACUAGUUUCUUCUUUAUAUAUAAUUAUAUUUUGGUAAAUUUUUUUAUUUGGCAAAUAAACUCUAAAUCAAGCAAGACUUUGUGCAUUGGAUUCUUUAACGGAUCUAGUAAUUUUUUAAAAUAAGUUAAACUCAAAUAGUGAUCAAAUUAAUAUAAGAAAUCUAUGAACAAAAAUUAAUAACUUUAUUGUUUAUUUUCUAUAUAAAAUCAAUUUUUUUAAAUUUUGUUUACUAAAAAAAUAAACUUCAAAUUAAAUAAAAUUUAAUGCAUUGAAUUUAUUAACAACUCUAAGUAAUUUUAAAAAAUAAUUUAAAAAUCAAAUAGUGAACCAAUCAAUACCAUAAAUUUUUGGAUAUAAAUUGAUCUCUUCUGUUAUUUAUUUAUGAACAUAGUUAUAUUUUUAUAAUUUCAUUCACUACAAAAAUAAACUUAAAAAUCAAAUAAUAUUUUGUGCUGAAUUUAUUUAUUUUAAAUGAUACUAUUAAUCAUUCUUAAUUUUAAAAUAUUAGAAUUAAUUUUUAAUAAAAAAUCAAUUAUUAUUUUACAAAGAGGUCAAUAUCCAUAUUUCUAUAAUAAAGAGCAAAAUAGUAUAAUAAAUUCAUUUUAAAUAAUAUUAUUAAUUAUUAUUAUUUUUAAAACAUUGUUAUUAAUUUUUAAUUAAAAAAAAUCAAUUAUGUUUUUACAUAGAUGUCAAUAUCCAUAUUUCCAUAAUAAAGGGUAAAAUGGUAUAACUUUAAUAAAAAUAUAUAUAUAAUUUUGUGAUUGUAAUACAAUAUUACCAUUCCUAUUUUACUAAAGACUAUUUAUUGUUUAAUUACAAAACUAAUUUUAUUUUCAAUAAGAAUUUUAUUAAAUUUAAUUAAUAUUACAUAUAGUAUUUUUAUUAAAAUUUUGUUAAUAUUAUAUAAAUUUAAUUUACAAUGUUUUUACAAAAUCAAAAUAAAAAAUAAUAAUUUUAAAAAACAAUGCAUCCAAAUAAGUUUUUUUAUCUUUAAAUUUAAAAAUAAAUAAAAAAUAACUUACCAAAUACCCCUAUUUUUAUGAAAUACUAAAAAACUAUAUCUAUAUAUAUAUAUAUAUAUAUAUAUAUAUAUAUAUAUAUAUAUAUAUUGGUUUUUAACUUCAAACAAUUUUUUCAAAAAUAUAAUAAAAUAUGACCUUAUAUUCUAUUCAAACUUAAACGUUAAAUAGUAAUUCUCUUUUUGUCUGCGAGCUACUAAUGUGGACCCUGCAUUUUGCACGAUGCGUUAUCACUUGACGACGUGACUUACUUUUUAAUUUAUUUGGUGAAAAUUUGAUAUUUUUUGAAAAAUACUUGGAGUCGCCACUUAUUUUAUUUUUUUUAAGGGAAAAAAAAUAAGAAAUAAAAACCCUAAGUGUAACUCUUGAAGCUGUGAAAAAUCGAGUUUGGGUCCGGGGAUCAGGUUACUUAUUAGGAAUGUACGGUGGUGAGUCGUAGCACCCCUCUAAGCCCAUAUACAUAUGACCUCUACUAAACGAAUUAAGGGAAUUGUGACAAUUAAUUAAUUAAUUAAUUAUGGAUACCAAGAAAAAUAAUCAUGCAAAUGAGUAUGUACAAGUCAUGGUGAAAAUCAUUAUACAUAAAAAUAAUGAUGAAAUCUAAUUACAAAAAUACACAAAAUAAAUGACAAGAGAAUUAUGCAAAAUGAUUUAUUGAACUAAAAAAAUAUUUUAAAAGAAUCAGUUUUCAAGAAAUUUCAAAGAAUUUUGUUAAAAACAAUUUUCAAUUAAUGAUUUUAAUUUAUUUAUUUUAAAAAAAAAAGUCAAUUUAUUUUCUCAACUUCAUUCGUAUUCAAUUUUCAAAAAAGUUAUUUACACUUAUUGUAUCAAAAAAAUUUAUUACAAAAUUUCAAUUUGGCAACAAAAAUUAUUUUACUUGCUUUUACAAAAAAUGAAUGAAUUUUUACAAUUUUAUUUACAAAAGUAUUUCAAUUUGUUUUCAUUUAAGAAAAGUGAUUUAUACAAAUUAUUUAAAAAGACAUGACUUUAUUUGCAAAAGGAAUUUUAAUUGAAAAUAAAAAAAAAAAGAUUUAAAUCAUCUAUUUCUAAAAAAAAAAACUUUUAAUCCCAUUUUAAUUAAGGAAAAAGAAUUCAUUUUUUUUUAAAAAAAGAAUUCAUUUUUUUUUAAAAAAAAACAUUUUUUAGACAAUUUUAUUAAAAAUUAAUUUUUAGGACACCUUUAUUUACAAAACAAAUUUUAAACAAUUUUUAUUAAACAAAGAAAUUUUUGGACAAUUUUAUGAAAAACAGUUUUUCAAAUUCUAUUAAAAACAAUUCUUUUGGAUUUUUCUAAAUGCAGUUUUCUGAAUUUUUAUUAAUGAAAAAGCUUUCUUUUAUUAAAAAUAAUAUUUUAAAAUUAUUAUUUUAUUAAAACAUAUUUACUGAAUUCUUCUUCUUAUUUAAAUAAAAUUUAUAGUUUGUUCGAUGUUCAAUUUUGCACACACUCAAUAAAUAUAUACAAAUGAUUAUUUAUAAGAACUAAUAAAAAUAAAACCAAAUAAAAGUGGGAAAUAAAAUAUGUACUCAAAUAAAUUUAACACAAGCUCAAUAUCUUCCUACAGCUUUUCGAGCCUCACUUUCUUCCAUGAAAUUUUGUGUUCCACAUGUCAUAAAUUCGUACUCAACCAACAAGAUUAUAGGUCCAUGCAAAAACAAAAAUAUCUCAAAUGUAAAUAUCUAAAAAUGUAUAAAAUUCAUAAUAGAUAUUCAAGCCCAAAUUCAAAUUAGUCCAACAAAUUUCAUCAAUUAAAAGUGGACUCAAAUUAGCAAAUAUAACCCGACAAAAAUAUCUCACAUGUCAUAAGCCCUAAUCUAAAAUUUCCAAAUUAAUAGCCAAAAUAUAAGCUCAAUUAAUCAAACCCAAAACAUGAUAAAUUAAAAUAAAUCUCAUUAGGCCUAAACUUAAUAUCUCAUAAUCCAAGCCCAAUUUAAUAUGCAAACUUAAAUCUACAACCAAAAUCAACCCAAUUUAAUAUGCAAACCCACAUCCAAAAUAUACCACAAUAAUAUAUCAUAUCUAAAUUAAAUAAUUCAAAUGAGUACAACUAUAUAAAUUAUCAAUUAAUCUAACCCAAAUUAAGAAAUUCCAAAUUAAUUCACCAACAAUUAAUUAGCCCAAAAUUCAUAUUAAUUUACCAACAACAAAUUAACCCAAAUUUCAUAUUAAUUCAACAAUCUAAAUUUCACAAACAACAAUUACUAUUAAAAUAAAAGGAAAAUAAUAAUAAUAACAACAACAAUAACAACAACAAUAAUAAUAAUAGAAAAUAAGUGGGAUGUGAAAGUGAGGGAAUGAGAGAAAAUGGGAGGGGGUCGUCGGUAGCGACUGACCGGUGAUCUAUCGACAAUGAGGGUUGAUAGGUUUUUGGGAAACAAAAAUGAAAUAAAAAAAAAAGAUAAAUAAAAAAAUGGGAAGAAGAAAAAAAGGAGAAAACGGGGACGGAGAGACGCCGACAUCAUGCCACCGACAGUGAUGAUGGAGUCAGAUGGGGAUAUGGGCAUUGGGACGAGUUGUAGGAGAAAAUAAAAUGGAAAAGAAAUGGGCACCGAUCGUCCAUGUGUGUUGUGGGGGAGGGAAAAAAAAAUGAAAAAAUGAAGUGGGGAAAUGAGGGAGCACGGUUGGGAAUCGGAGUUGGGGGGUGGUUAAGGAGAAGAAAUCCAGAAAUGGGGAUAAUGGAGGUCCGGGUGAGGUUAUCCAACUGUCAGCCCUAAGAGAGAGAGAAGAAAUGGAAGGGCAAAAUGGGAAGCUAGGAAAGUGGGUAAGAAGAAGAUAAAUAAAUAAAUAAAAUGAUGGAAGAAAAGUGAGGGGGGCAUGUCCUCAUGACGUGGGAGGGAUGGAGAGUAGGUGAGAGUAGGUAGGAGAGAGAAAGAGGAAGAGAGAGAAAAGAGGAAAGAGGAGAGAGAGAAUAUAUAUAUAUAUAUAUAUAUAUAUAUAUAAAUAUAAAAAUAUAAUAUAAUAAUAAUAAAAAAUAAAAAUAAAAGUAAAACAAUUUACAAAAUAAUAAAAAUUAAGAAUUAAAGGGUGAGUGGGUAAAAAAUAUCACAUAUAAUUGGGAUUUAAAAUCUAAGUACAAAAUUGGGCUCGAAAUUAACGUAAAAAUAAAAUUGUGACAAAUUUUGGAGUCUACAGCUAUGUUUGCUUUAAAAGAUAUGAUACCAUAAGAUAUAUACAUAUAUUAUAAUAUCAUGUGUCAUUGGAUUGAAAAUAGAUAUCCUAUGGUAUGAUUUCCAAUGAGAUAUGUAUUAUUGGAUGUACAUAUUCUAUGAACAUGAUAUUUAAAGGUAGCAUAUGAAAUGAAAUAUAUUAUGUUUAUAUUUAAUAUGUGAAAUGGAUAAAAAAAUAACAAUAUCAAAUAUAUGUUAUUUUUCAAUGUUUAAAAUAAAAAUUAUAUCACAUUCUAAUAUUUUAUAUUUUAAAAAUUAAAUUUAUGUUAUUCAAUAUAUCAAAAUAAUUUAUAUAUCAUAUAUUAAUAUUAUUUUAUAAUAUUUUUUAUACAAAUUUCUGUAGUAUUUCUUUUUCAAUCAUAAAUUUAAUUUAUAAUAAAAAAUUAUUUUACAAAAUAAGUAUAUAAAAAAAAAUUAUGAUACAUGAGACAUGCAUAUCUCAUUUUGUAGUAUGAGAGUAACAUAUCAUAUGUAGAAGGGACAUACUUGCCAUGAUUAGGCUUCAAAUGAAGUUGAAUUUGGAAUGCCUAUGCUCAAAACAACUGCUAUGAUAAUGCUUAGAGAGACAUUGAAACAACAUUUUAUGAUAACAUUUCAUAUUAACACAACCAAAUUUAAAAGAUUCCAAGGAAAAACAAGGAACAAAAUGUUUUGAAAUAACAUUAGUUAUUCUAUCCUCUCCUGAGAUUGGUCUCCUAAAAGCUGAGUACCAAAGUACAAUGCCACUCAGACCAACCAACUCCAAACCAAUAUUACACUACACACCACAUUCCCCAUCAAUCUCUCAAUCUCUUCACUACACUACAAUACAAGCCAAUGGGUGAUUUGAAACCAUAUAGAAAAGUGUUAUCCGGAGAAAUUCCAUCCCAGCUAACAUCUUUUCAAUAUUUUGGAGCAUAGAAAACAAAAAUUUGAAAUUGAAGAUUUCAUAUGUUUGCCAUACUUGGUGAGACUUUUAAGGAAAGAAGCAGAUCUUAAUGAAGAGUGCCAGACCUAUUUGCAAAACAAAUGAAGCAACAAUCACCAGACUUAUGUCGUUACCCUGUAAGUAGGACCUCGGGUUCAAGGCAACAAAGCAAGCUGAUGCGCCACCUACAAGGACUAUGAUGAGCCAUCGCAGAAACUCAAUUGGAAUAACUAACAGGACUUGAAAAUGUUCCAAGAGAACACAUUAGAUGUUCACAAGACUACUGCUUAGAAACCCAGAAACUAAAAAUUACAUUGUUAAGGUUCUGCAACAAUGGAAACCCCUAUGUGUUAAUCCUUUAAAGACAACAACAGGAUAAACUGGCACUGGAGGUCCAUAGUGUGGAUGAUGCACCACCAACUAUUAACCUAAAUGCUUGCUUGUUAUGUAAUGUAUCUUUUAUUAAGUAAAACUUAAAAGAUACGUUAUGUAACAAUCUUGCUUUAACUCUAGUUAUUUCCCUUGCUAUAUAAUGUUUUUAUAAUUGUACAUAUAUUUGACUAAUAUUGCUUUAUUGUAUGUAGUACAUUUCUAUUAUUUAACAUAUAUUUGGACUUCUAUAUUAAAACAUAUAUUUGACUCAUAAUAAACUUGAUGCAUACAAAAAUACAUAAAAACAUAUAUACUUAUGUGGAUGUAUACACGGUGUACAUGUAGGUAUAUACAUACAUAUACAUGCAUACAAAUAUACAUAGGUAUAUCAGAAUCUAUUAGAUAAAAGAGAUAGAUAACAAAGGACAAAAUUCCUCCAAAAGAAGGAAACAUACACAAAUAUAUUAUAAAAGGAAAACCUUUGGCUUCCCAGCCUUAAGGAAAAAUCCUUAAACUUCAGAGGAGCAUGUGAUCAUCACAUAUGAUGCACCAAAAAAAAAACUUAAAGAAGAUUUUUACAGACAUAGUGAUAUUUGCAAAGCAAAAUGGAGCACAAUGUUCCAAAUUUUCCAAUUUAUUUCUUACCAGAGACACUACAAGAAGAUACGUCACCCUUCAUACAACUAUCACUAUAGUGCCAUCCUAUUGACUAAGACUAAUCAGCCUGGCUCAAUUUUAUCCAACAACCUCCCUAAACAAGAUGUCUCAAUGAUACAGUUGGACCAUAAGGCCAUCGAUAAUGUCAGUGAUCAAGAAAGAAACAUAUAAGCACCGUAUUUUUGCACAUAAAGAAUAUUUGAGAUGGGAGAGUGGGCAAGUAUAGGAUCCAAUGAUAAAUUUGAUUGCGUGAAAGAGAUACUAAUAAUAGCCUAAAUAUCCAAUCUUAUCAAGAGUAAUAUACUUGAGAAAGAUAAUUUGCUAAUAUAGAAUGAGGUCAAACUACUGAUUAUUGGGGAAAACCUGAUGUUUUAUCUUAUAGAAGAUGGUGUUUCAUACCUCAACAUCAAGAUGAAUUCAUUGAAAGCCAUUGGUUAUACUCAUCCAUCCUUAUUAUAAAGGAACUAGAACUUGGGGAGCCGCCUCCACCAUAUGCCUUCACAUUUAUGUGUGAUUACUAUUCAAAAAGUGCUAUUUUGUAGCUUGUAAUUAACUCUUUUAAACACUCUUGAGUAGUAAUUAUUACCUUUUAACUCAAUUGACAUGUUAAAGACCCUUGCAAUCGUUUCUAAUCAAAUUGUGUUAAGUUUUGGUGUUUUUGAUAGCUUUUUGCUACACCAAAGCAAUCCAAGAAUGAGGGAGAGCUGUAUAUAGUUCAUGGCAAAGCUUUUGGAAGCUCAAAUUCAUGAAGAACCAAGCUUUGGAGCUCCAUAUCCCUUUUCCAAAGUCGUUCAAAGUAUGCAAGGAAAGAACAAUGGAGAGAGGAAAAACAGAGUGAAGAAAACUGAGGACAGCAGCUGCAGUCUUCUUUCACACUUUUGGAGCACUUCCCAAAGUCCAUUUUCUACAUGCUAUAUACCAUUUCAAAGCUCAGGAAGUCAAGAAUCCAACGCUUCAAACAGUGUACGAAUUGGAGCUGAAAUGAGGAAGAUAUGGCCUUUUCAAGACAACUGCAUCCAGCUGAAGGACAAAUUCGCAUCUUGCGAAUUUGGAACUCCAACAUGCGAAAUUAAAGCCUACCUUGCGAAAUGAAAAUGGAAUACAGCCGCACAGUCACAGAGAAGCCCAACUUGCGAAAGUGAUUUUGCAACUUGCGAACUUGGAGCUCAACGUGCGAAAAUGGAUUCCAAGUUGCGAAAUCAACUUGCGAGAUUUUCGCAAGUCACCAUGCAACGUGCGAAAUCUACAUGCGAACUGGGAUGUUUGUGCACCGACUCUUUUAGAUCUUUUCUUCAGAUAUUUUUGUAUAAAUUUCCAUUAUUCUCCUUGUAAUCCACCAACCAUAAGAUUUCUUAGCUAGGAAGGUUGGAAAAACUUCUCUAUAUAUACUCCCUUGCAUCCAUUGUAAAAGAUAUAGAUAUAUAAGUAUGUAGAAUCGAUCAAUAUAUAGAAUAUACAGAGCCUUGCUCUGUUUUUCCUUCUCUUUCAUUUUCAUUUUCUUGCUAGCCAAACAUUCUCUGAGAUGUUUUCUCAGAGGAUGAGUGGCUAGGAUUUUUGUUUCUUGGGUGAAGGAAGCUAAGUAAGGUUCCGGCUACAUAAGCGUGAGAUUUUGUUGUUUCCGUUUUUAAUGAAGAGAAAGUGUGAUCUGUUUUUGGUUUUUAUAUUUUUAGUUAACUAGGAUUACCAUGAAUAACCAAUACUUGGUAAGCUUUCGGAUUCCAUGGAUUCUUAUUGCUUGCAAUCUUGCUCCAUGGAGGUCUAAUUGUUAUCUCUUGUUCGCUUGUGAAGGAUGAUUUGAUGGUAAGGAUCACCUUGAAUGGCAAAUACUAGGUGAGAGGUACGAGCCAUUGCAAGGUGUAUUAGUGAGAGGGAUUUAGUGUUGAAACCAUUAAUGGCAAGCAUUUGUAUCACACCGGUUCGGGAAAUAACUAUAGGUUAAAUUCCGAAUGCGAGGAAAAGAUUCAAGUGACCGGAAUCUCCCUCUUUGUAGUUGGCACCUGAUCCUAGUAACCUGAAAUCCCAAGAAACACCUUUCUUUCUAAUUUCUUUCUAGUUAAUUUUAGUUACUUUAUGUUAGGUUAGCUUAAUACCAUCCGUUUUCAUUCAAACUUAUGUCUUCUUUUAAAGCUAACAAAGAAAAGAAAAAGCACCAAUUCAGUUUUUGAACUAAUAUCAAUUGCGAAGUGAAAACCCAUCUCUGUGGACGAUCCUAGAGCCACUAUACUAUGCUAGCUAAAUGCUACCCCGGUAUAUGGUGAAAUAGGUUUAUAAAUUUUGUUGAUUACUCCCGUCUGAGGAUUGAGAUCAAAGCACAUCAAUUGAGUUGAAUCAAUUGGAACACCAAUCGGGCACGAAUCAAUGUGUAAAGAAAACUUGCUUACAAUUAAUCUCAAAUAUCCAACAUUAAACAAAAAAAUAAAUAACUAAGAAGAACCAUGAUUGCUUCAUAUUGAUGCACACAUUCGCAACUUUAGAGCAUCAGUAGCACUAUUAGUGCUCCUUAAACACAUUUUUAGAUCAUUCCGUUGUAUGUAAGUAACAACUUCUAUAGGCCUGACAUCAACAAUGAAGAUACUCUAAGAUGAUGAAGCAUUUUAAUCCACCUAGCAAUGACUUUAAAAUGUAGACAUCUCCAUGAAAAGAUCCUUAGUUUGGAAUUCAGCUUCCAUAGUAAAUGUAAAGCUCUGUCUAGCAAUGGGCUAUGUGGUGAAGCAAUCAUAAGUCUGAGCAAAGGGUGUUGGUCAAAUAGUAGAAAAGGCGAGCAUAGAAGCUACUUAAUAGUAGAUAUGCCAAAGGUCAAUUAGACAUUUAACUGAUUAAGCCAACCUUUAAAAAGAGUUGACAUACAAAAAUUAAUGAACUAUUGAUGUACAUGUGAAAAUUUGUUGAGAUUAUAAUGUUGAAGUGUAUGUAUUUCACAUCCAAUGUUUUUACCAUAUGACUGAAAAGUAGGAAACAAAGUUUACUUCUAGUAAUUGAAUUAAGUUCAUGCUAAAAUGAGAUAAAGGAAAAUGUGAGAAAAAUUAUUUCAUCAUUUGCUCAAGUAGCCCUUGUCAAAGCAGGACCUCUUUAAUUUUUUUCUCACUUUUGAAAUAUUGAAAAGCGUGAGCCUAAGGGCUGAACCCUACUGGAGAAGAAGUACAUAAAGAGCCACCUGACAUGGGCUGAAAAAUAAAGAGACAGAACACAAAAGGAAUAUGCAUGCAGAAAAUAGUAUCACCAUUGGCACUUGACUCAUAACACUGAAUUCAGGAAAUCCAUGAAAGAUACCAUUUCUUCCCCAUGGGUAUCUAAAGAGCAUAAAUACCAAGCUUUAAGGAACACAUCACUAAGUUUUACCACAUGGAGCUCUACAUAAAAAAAAAAGGUUCUCAUGUUCCUUUUUCCAAAUACACCGAAAACACAAAGUGAAGUAGAUAUCCAAAGGUUUCCUCUUUAUAUGUCUGUGCACACACACACACAAACAUAAUAACAUUACUUCUUUUCUUUCCCACAGAAAUUCCUUUCCAAAACCAUAGAAAACUCUUUAUUCAAUCAAGGCAGAACACAAGAAACACAAGACAAGGAAAAAAACUAGUGACUAAAGAGGCUAGUCUACCAUACAACGUAGAAGAAUAUAAUUCACGAAGUACUCAUCCUCAUCCUUUUGCAUAAGCAACACCAAUUAACAAUAGUACAACCCCUAUGCCCCCACAUAAAUGCCACUUCGUCAAAUAGGAGAGCCUGCUAACCUCAACUCCACCCCACAUAUAACCCUUUCAAACUACAAGUAAACCUAAGUUAUAGGCAUGUAACACUUUCAUUAACCUUCCAAAUCAAUUAAUUUUGUCAAAUUCAAACAGCAAGUACCUAACAGGUUCUCAAAUCAACCUUUUUUUCUUUAAUAUAUUUUCAUUUACACAAAUCUGAUUGUUAUAAACAAAAAAAAUACAAUGAUAAUCCUAAGCACAAUCAAAUUGGAAACUUAUGCAUCUUAGUAAUUUUUUUAAUUGCAUUUCCACAUAGCUAAUGAAUCAAGAAAAUAAAAUAUGUUCCUUGUUAACAGUAAUAGUGGUAAUUGGAAAACAGUGCCACAAAAAGGGAAAUCACAAUUCCUAUCAAAUUCACAACUGGAAAAAACAUCAUAAGCUACAAUAAGAAACAAUUAAAUAUUAUUUAUCUUCAAAAUCAUUCAUUUCUUCAUCAGUUAGUAUUCACUUUCUCACAGGAAUCAUAUACAACCCCCAUCUCCACUUCUUAUCCAAUAACUAGAAGGCUUAAAAGGACAAGUAUAUGAUUAAAUAGGAAUUGAAUUUGAAUCAUCAUUAAAAUUUAAAAAGAACAAAUAACAAACAAAGACAAAAUUUAAAACCUAAGAAGAUCUUUUGGAUUUUGGAUUGAUUCGAAUCAUGCAAACAAACAAAAGAAGCAAAUAGAAAAUAAAGUCAUGAUAAAUAAUUGCAAGCCUGUAUUACCCAAAUCAAACCUUAUUACCCUGACCCUUCUCUGUACAUCAAAAUCCUGCAUCACAAUUUGAUUUCACACUAAACUCAUAUGGAUAUGAAUAGAAACAGAAAGAGAAUCCAUAUCAACAUAUUCCCCGAAACAGAAACAAAAAAAAUAAGCAAAAUAAAUUGAAAAAAUAAAUCCAAAAAAAAAAAAAGGAAAACUGGGUGGCUUUGAAUUCAGAAAGAAACCGAUUUAAAAAGAUAUGGAUCCAUCUGAAAAUUUCUUUAACCAAAACAAAUUUUGUCUCAUCUUCAUUCAUGCGAAAAUUAAUCAAAAUACAACAAACCCCAAAAUAUAACACCUUCGGCCCCAAUAUUUUCUCAACAUCCAAAUGAAUCCUUAAAACUCACCUAUGAUUGAUUAAGCCACAGUAAGAGGAAACUCCAUUUCGGUUUCCAAAAACCUUAAAAAAAUUCAACCUUUGAUGAAGAAAUAUGAAGAUAUGCCUCAACUUUGGCUUUGUUGAAGGUUUUUGGAAGAUGCCUAUCAAGUUUGGGUGGUCAACUCGUGAAAAGAGACAUGAUAGGUUUAGGCCAAAAUCAAACGAAGACGGCUUUGGGAAUAUGGGUAUCCAUCGCCUGGUCAGGACAUCAAUAAACAGAUCAGUUGUCUACCUUCGUGUAUCAAACAAGCUAUGAAAAUGGGAAUUUUUUUAGAUCGGGUUAAGGCAAAAUGAGAGGAAGUGACAGAAAGAGUUUCGCAACUUUCAAAUGUUUAUCGGGUCGGGUGUUUUGUGGGUUUCAGAUUUGAUAACUUCAAGUUUCAAAUUUUGGUGUUUAUUAAAUUACGCACCUACCUGCUGACAUGGACAUCGGUGGCUGCUGACAGGGAAACAUUAAAGGGCAAUUUUGGAAAUGGAAACCUAAACAGUAUAUAGUACAUGAGAAAUAUAAUAUUUUUCCCAUUAACAGGCACAUCUCAUAUUUCAUUUAUGUGGGUUUCCAAAACCAUAUAUCUUCCUAAUAGCAGCCUGCAAACACAACUUUCCCUUUGCAAUUUAUUGUUAGAGCCUUGAUUGACCUAAACUCAACACAAUCUAUGUUUCAAUAUCUUUUGUUGGUUUGUUAGGUAUGCUUGUUGAUAGCCUAAACUUUGAUUUGACUGUUGUUUUUCCUAUGGGACAUUCUAUUGUGGAUAAUAUUAUGUUUAGAGGUUAUCUUAUGAUGACUAGUUAUAUGGAGAUGUUAGUGGACUUAAUACUUCUUGACAUUAUGAUUUUGAUGUGAUUUUGGAGAUGGAUUGGUUAGUUUCCUUCUAUGUCUAUAUUAAUUAUUUUGGUAAAAAGGGUGACUAUCCACAUUCCUAGCUAAUAUGCAUUUAGUUUUGAGGGAAACAUGUGAUUAGACCAUUGUGUAUGAUCUUAGCUUUAUGGGCUAGUUUCUUGCUUAGGAAAGGUAAUUAAGGGUUUUAUGCUUAUGUAGUGCGUGAUAAAAAAAAAAAAAAUUACAAUCUAUUAUUGCCAAGUUGAUAAAGGUUUAAUGAUGCAAUCUUAGUAUUCAAGAGGUCAUUUAGGAAUCAAAAAAGGAGAUAAGAGAAAAACAUCCUCAUUAUUUGAAGAUUUAUGUAUGUCAAGUUUAGAGGACUAAACUUUUGUUAAGGAGGUGAGGAUGUAACACCCCAAAAUAAACUUUAAGGGCAAAAUAGUGAAUUAUAAAUUAAUUAAUCAAUCAAUUAAACACAUUAAAGGUAAAAGAGUCCUUUUACAAUUAAUAAUCCUUGGUAUAAAUUAGAUUUUCCUUUUGUCUUCUUUAUUCAGAAAACUCUAUUAACCAAAAAUCAGUGAAUUGGAGAACAUAGGGCUCAAGGUUUGAAAGUCUAGAGUUUGAAGUUCAAAUUUUUUCAGGUAAGAUUCUAACCCUGAAUUAAUAUAUUAUAUUCGUUAGUUAGUUUUGAGCACAUUAGAUACUCUUUAGAAAAUUUUAAUUUAGAUUAGGGUUAGUUUAGUUAAUUUAUUUUAAGAUAAAAAAAUUGAAAUUAUGAAUAUAGGUUGUUUCAUUGAUGAAAAUAGGGAAAUUCGAAAUUUUUUUUAGAUGAAUGAUCUAAACAAUGAAAUUUUAAAAAUUAAAUGAGCAAAUAAAUAUAUGAUUAUAUGUGGCUUAAGGGAUUGGAAAAUAAUAAGAAGAAGAAUUGCAUAUUUUUGGAUUUUGGAUUUGAGGCACUAUGUUGGGGUGACAAAAAAAAAUAAUAAUAUGUAACCAUGAGAGGCAAAGGAUGGUAGUGGAAUAAAUUAAAAUAAUAAUAAUAAUAAUGAGUAGAGUUGGUGGGGUUGUUGGAGUUGUUAAAAGUAUAUGAGGUAUUUUGUUAAGUAAGAGGGGACAUUGGGAUUAAUAAGAAUAAUGAUAAUAAUGAUAUUAAUAAUAAUAAUAAUAAUAAUAAUAAUCAUAAUAACAAUAAUAAUAAUAAUAAUAGUAAGAAUUGUGUGAUUUGGAUGUUUGUGAGUGACGUACAGUAGGGCUGUUUGGAUGUUGUCGGGUAUCGAAAAAUAUAGUAAUAAUAAUAGUAAUUGGUUUUAAUAAAAGUUUUAAUUUAGUUUAAGUAUACAAAAGAAAUAAAUGGUUAGAAUAAGAUUUGGAAGAAAUAUGAGUUUAUAAAAAAUUUGGAAAUUCAUUAAAUCAUAUUAGUAUUGUUUAAGAAGUUGAAAAUAAUAUUGGGUAGUAAUAAUAUUAGCAUGAGAAAUUAAUUAGGAUCCCUAAUACUAAAUAUUUUAAGAUUGUCAAAUUUUUACGUUUAGAUAAUUGUGUAUAAUAUUAUGUUAGGUGAGGAGUAAAUUCGUUAAGCUAAAUAAUUCAAAGUUUUGAGCGUUUUUUAAAGGUAGGGGAAAUUAAUGCAGAUUUUUAUAAAAGAAAAUAAUUUUAUUUUUAUAUUGUAUUUUGGAAUAUAUAAAAAUAUUAUUUUUAUCUUUACGCAUGAAUCAAAUAUGUGUUUUGUAUGGAAUGUAUAUUUGAGAAUUUUAUUUGUUUAUGAAAAACGAAAAAUUGAGGAGAUAUGAUAUUUUGUUUUGUAAGUUUGAAUUAAUGAAAUAAAGUGUUCGACUCUGGAUUAUAUGACCCUAAUCAAUGGGUUAUAAUUGUUGACAUUUUCGACCCUACUAGACGGGUUAUAAUAGUUGACCUUAAGGUCAUAGUCAAUGGGUUAUAAUAGUUGACCUUAUGACCUUAGUCAACAGGUUAUAAUUGCUGACUUUUGGUUUUAUUCACCUUAAAUGGAACAAAUUUGAAACUAGUCCCUCAUUUGUGAAGUCCCACUUAAUUGGGCACCAUUUGUUAUUUGACAAUCAAAGUAAAGAUAUUUUGAAUAUAUUUGAUUUGGUUUUGAUGAGAAAUUGUUUUGAAAUGGAUAUGAGAAAGUUUUGUUGAAAAGUUUGAAUGUAUUAGUAUUUUGAACUCAAAAGUUUUUAUGAAAAUAAGUAUAUAUUAUACCUCCUAUUUACAAGCAUGAUUGAAAAUGUUUUAUCAAAUAAAACUGUAUUAAUGUUCCUUAUUGAGCUUUGAGCUCAUCCUCCUUUGUUGAUAAUCUUUCCGAUAACCUCAUUUUGGGCAAGGAGUGACCGUUAGGAGGGAAAUUUGGCUUUAUUAGGAUAUUUGUUUAAACUUUCUUUAUCUUAGACAUUGUUGAAAGGUUAAAACUUAAUUCUUGUUUGAAUUAUUUUGAGUUUGAAGUUAUUUGGACAAUAACACUUCGGUUGAUGUAUUAAUUUUUUUUUUAAAGUUGAUACUUGGAGAUUUUAGAAUUUGAUCCUACUACUCUGAACAGGAAUUUGGUAAUUGGUAAAUUUCCAGUUACAAUAGGAUGUUUGUGUUGUUUCCACUUUGAGCCUUUGGAUUUGAGGUGUGAAAUGACCGUCAUGCCCUUGGAGUGGGUUUUGAGCGUGACAAAAACAAUUCAUAUUUCAAAUGGAAAACACUCAACAAUUCUCCCAAAUUUCUUUCUUUUUAGCCAAAAAAAAAAAAAAAAAAUUGGAUCCACAACAAUGGUUUUAGGCAAUGAAGAUUCAGCAUCUUCAAAAUGUGGAAAAAUAAUAGAUCUAAUCCACUUGCAUGCUAAUAAAUAAAUAAAUAAUUCAACACCAUCCAAAAUUUAUAUUACAAUUAAAAAAAAAUACCUUUAAAAGUUCCCAUUGAUAAUAAUGAGUAGCUCGAUCACACUAACACAAAGAAGAUACCUCUAAUUGUUGGUAUAUUUUUUUGCUUGUGAAAUCAAGCAUUGACAUAAAAGCAAAAAAAAAAGGAAUGAAUCGUUUUACCAUAUCCCAACACAAAUAAAUAAAUAUACUUGAUAGAUUCAUAAUAUAACACCAAAAAAACAAAAUGAAAAUCCAAUCCAAAAAUAAAAUAAAAUAAUCAAGAGAUAGAAAUUGAAAAGGGUUUGAAAGUUAGAACGGGUGUUGGAAUUGGGUUUGGGUGCUCAAGUGGGCUGAUCCGACCUGACCUAAAAACUGCCACUAUUGUAAAAAAAAAUUAUUUUUCUCCGUGGAAACCCUCUCUUUUUGAGUACUCUCCCUCAAAAAACUUUUUUUUUCUCUCUCUCAAAACCAGAAAGUGAAAAAUAUAUUUCUUCUUUCCCUAAAAACAAAAGAAAGAAUAUAUUUUUCUUUCUAAAAGAAAAUCAUUUCUCAAAGUUUUUUCUAUUUUUCUUCCUGAAAACGAAAAUCAAGGUUCUUGUACCAUAAGAAAAGAAUAAUCUUUAUAUUUGUAAUUUCAUUCAUGAAUUGAAGCAAAAAAAAUUGAUCAGUAAAAUAAUCAAUCAGAAUUCUUAAGCAUUUCAAUAGUUAAUUGAAUGCAUUAUUUUUCAUGAAGGAAAAAUUUUGAAAAACCAAUAAUGAAGAGAAUCCAUAGAGAUAAAGGAAGAAUCGAAAAAUAAAGAAAAUUAUAUAUAUAUAAUUGCAAUCGUAAUCGGUACAUGAUAAAUGGGUGAAGAUUUUGAAAGUGAAAUAAUUGUAAAUGAAACCAAAUUUACUUAAAAAUAAUAUUUUGACGAACACGUCACACUUUUGAAAUUAGUAGGAAGACGUUUGAGCUUUUACACGACGAUAACACAAACCGUCAAAUACGAAAUGACGCGUGUAAGUGGAAAGGUGGGAAUUAAAAAGUUGUUGGGGUUUGAUCUCAAGGCAUAUAACUAAUUUUUAAAAAUGAAAAAGUGGGACAUAGCUCCUCCGACUGUCGUCAAAAGCGUGUGGGCCUCUCUCCAUUGUCAUUUCCGGGCAACUCCAAUCCAGCGGAAUAUGAUUCCAUUCCCGCAGUGAUCCGAAAUGGGCAAUAAACCACUCACUGUCUUGCCCACUGGUUAUAAAUCAAGCUGCAGCGUCACAACUUCAAAUCACACACACAAAGAUAAAAUUUGCAUAGAGAAUAUGGGAGAAACACUUGGAGAUCGUAUUGGGUUGAGUGACGAAGUCAUUAAUGUAUUGGCUUCUCUAGCCAUGAAAGCCCACGAUUGCACUGGUGAGCCAUUUCUCCGCAAGAAAGGUUUACCCGUUACUGUAGGGACCCCUCCCCUUGAUGACACGUGGCACGCAUUUCUAACCAGAUCAGCUUCAUCCGGAUUUCCCCAAGAGUACACAUGGCGCGCUCUCCUAUCCGGACUCCCUCAAGGAGAGGCACACAACACUCACAAACAUAACAUCCGGACAACCGACAUAUAAUUUUUGGAUAUGUUCAUCCGGAUCAUUGACUGAAGUGAGCAAGUCUUGCACGUCAUCACAACAGCCUGCCAUGGCUCACGUUCCGCCACUUGCAGAGUGAGAUGACAGGAAUGAAGUGAUGGCAAGUCACUUCCCACGAUCUUUGACAGCUGCGGCGCCUCCCACGAUCUCUGUCAGCCGCCCUAUGAGUGAUGAUGGCCCUACCACCACCUAGAGACAUCAUGACAAGCCAAAAUAUCUCCCUACCAUUAAAGAGGGAAACAAAGCUCCUUAUACGAUAUAUAUAUAUGAACCUUCACACAAAGAGGAAGGUAAGGUUUCUAUACCUAGUAAAAGGCCAACUGAUUUAUCUCUCUGAACCAUGGCUAACAAAACCAUCGGAGGGUGCGUCCGGACACCCUGUCCGAACGUCUUUUGUAAGAACGACUAAACCAGGAAUCUAUAUUGGUUGAGAUCGUGCGUCCAUCCAUUUGGCAACUACGUGGAUCACCAGGGACGCGAGGCCUCAACAUUGGCGCUGUCUGUGGGAACAUCGCUGAUUCAGUCACCGGCAAACAUGGUCACACCUUCCCGAAGUCGCUCAUCUGGUAAGGGAGAGGAAGAUCAUUCUGAAUGGCGACAAGCCAUCGAAAGAAGACAGUUGGCAAGCGAACGACAACUGCAAACUCUCCUCUGGGAGACAGAAAGGUUAAGAGAAGAAAACGCGGUGCUACGCAUCCAAGCUUCAUCGACGGGGCCUCCCCGUCGCCAGCGUUCGAGAGGCCAGAUGGCAAACUCAAGGCCGGAACCAGAGUCAAUAUACCCUGGGACAGUAAGAGCCAUCCCAAAAACCAGCAACGUUAAGCCACAUGAGCCACACACUCCCAUGCACUGAGCUCCCUGUGAGGAAAACUCAGACUCUACUCAUUUUUCAGCAAAAAGACAACGCAACAAAAGGCCCCAGUUGUCAAACUCGAUGCGCGCAAGACUAGGCCCACAGGAGCAUAGGAGGCCAAGGCCACUAGCAGCCACAGCCUGGGAAGCGCACCCUGACCCUAUGGUCACCCCUAUGGUGCAAAACGUUCUCCCACAUCGUGACCCCAUGGUCACCCCUAUGGUGCAUAACGUUCAACCACACCUAGUGGUACGACAAUCUGGGAGAAACCUCCCAAAUGAGCCACCUAUUGGCUCCAUCAGCAAAAGACUGGACAACAUGCUCUCCACGCCUUUCUACUCUCAUAUCAUUCAUUACGAGCCCCCAAGGGGAUUCCUCGUACCCAAAUUCUCCACAUACGAUGGGUCCAACGACCCCUUCGAUCAUAUCAUGCAUUAUCGACAGCUCAUGACUCUCGAUAUAGGCAACGACGCGUUGCUAUGCAAAGUAUUUCCCGCUAGCCUACAAGGGCAGGCCCUCUCAUGGUUUCAUCGCCUACCUCCAAAUUCUGUUGACAAUUUCAGGGACUUAUUGGAGGCUUUCGUGGGACAAUACUUAUGCUCCGCUCGACAUAAACAGAACAUCAACACUCUACGAAACAUAAAAAUGCAAGAUAACAAAUCCUUAAGGGAGUUCGUGAAACGGUUUGGUCAAGCCGUACUUCAGGUAGAGGCUUACAGUAUGGAUGCUGUCCUGCAGAUCUUCAAGCGAGGCAUCUGUCCAGGCACUCCAUUUUUCGAAUCACUUGCUAAAAAGCUUCCAACAACGAUGGACGACUUGUUCAGACAUGCAAACAAAUACUCAAUGCUCGAAGAUGACGUACGAGCAACCACCCAACAAGUCUUGGUUGCUGGACAGGCAUCUAGAAGUGGCGCGGAUAGAAGUGUCAAACUUCCGGACCGGCCAAGGCCGUCCGAUCGAAGGCAGGAAGGGCCAGGUCGCCCGGAAAGACCGCCCCUCACGCCUCUCUCCAUAUCAUAUGAGAAACUUCUCCCUAUGAUCCAAGGCAUGUCCGACUUCAGGUGGCCUAGACCCCUCGGAACGGACCCAUCCAAAAGAGAUCAUAGCAAAAAAUGUGCCUUCCACAAGGAGCAUGGUCACACAACGGAAGAAUGCAGGUGCCUCCAUUAUUUGGUCGAAAAGCUCAUAAGAGCGGGACACUUAAAACAAUACCUCCCCUCAGAUGCCGGAGGUAAAAACGCUUCUCAAAACCACAACACUGGAGCCCCCAGGGCCCCAGCCACCCCCAAAGUCGUUAUAAACUAUAUUAACGGAGGUCCAUCUGACGAGGAGUAUGACUCCAAAUGAAAAAGACAAAAGUUGUUGCGGGCCUGUAGACCCUCAAUUUUGUCCAUCGACACUGGCAUUUAUUCUUCAGGUGUCACAUCCACCCAUCGUUCGCAUAUGGCACCACUAGGGCCCCUUUUGGGCUUAGUCGGUGUCCGAGCCUCGUGUGGGUUUGUCUGUGGUCCAUUGUGGUGCAUAUGUGGUUCAUUUUGGAGGGUCACCAUGGCCAUUUUCCUAGUCGUUCACAUCACACUAUAGGAAGGAAGUGGGGUCAUCUCGAUGUUUUAGCUUAGUUGGAGUUUAUAGGGGCAUGUUGAGGUUCGGAGCACUCGGGCUUGUUUUGAUCGUAUCUCCCUCAUCCAAACUCGGAAUCAAGAACCGUUUCUUUUUAUGGAUUUCUUAUUCUUCCAGGAACAUUCUGUAAAAUUUUCAGAUUUUUUUUCGCAACCGGUCUGCUGGUUGGCAGCCGGUUCAGCCGGUUCAUCGAGUCAGCCGGUGUAGAACACUGAUUUUUGGUAAUUGUUUUGAUCAUAUCUCCCUCUUCCGAACUUGGAAUCAUGCACCGUUUUUUUUAAUGGAUUCCUUACUCUACUAGGAACAUUCUGUCAAAUUUUCAGAAUUUUUUUCCAUCGGUUUGACCAGUUGGCAUCCGGUUCGGCCGGUUCAGCCGGUUCAGCCGGUUCAUUGAGUCAGCUGAGGUAAAACACUAAUUCUAGUAAUUUUGAGGCCUAAAUCCUACAUGGCUCAGGCCCGUAAGCUCCAGAUCGGUUUUGGGCAAUGUUGUGGGUCCAUUUUGGGCCUUGGUUUGGGUUCCUUGUAGGCCACUACGAAUCCAUAUGGAUUCUUGGUGGUGAAGCAAGCUGAAAACUGAAGGAGUGAGCUGGCCUCGUAAGUUUAAGAGAAGUAAUGAGGGGUGUGGUUCCCAUGCUGAUGAAGGGGAUUUCGGUGUUGAAGGGGAAGGAAUCUAGGAGGCUCAAAUGCUAAGAGGGGUAUGAGUAUAAAAGGUGAGAGGAUAGGAGAGCAAAGGAUAGGAGGGGACAUUUUGGAGAAGGGAAAUUUUGCUGGUGAGAAAAACAAAAGGUCAGUAGCAUCUUCUGAGUUGAGAGCGUGGGAGAAAGCUUCAGCACUGUGAUUUUUUUUAAGAGGAGAGUGACAGCAUCUCAGUUUUGGAAGUCAUCAUCUGAAUACACGGAUCAUAUUUGGUGGAGAUUCUGAGGUAAGCAUGCUGAAUUUUCUUUACUUACAGUUUAUCUUCCUCGUCUUCAUAUGCUUUUUCUCCUUCCUCAUUAUCUUUUCUUCCAUUUGAUAUGAAGAUUGUAUUGCUUGGGUGUGGAUAAUAAAGGCCACACAUGAUUGUUGUUGAUUGGUUAUUAAUCAUUUAGGAACUUUAUGACCGAAUUUGGGGUUUUUUAUCAACCGGCUGAACCAGUUGGGAACCGGUUCAACCGGUUCAGCACAAUAGCUGGUUGCCUAUGUCAGCCAUGAAGAACACCUACCUUUCUUUGUCUGGUUCUCACUCAUCCAAGCUCGGAAUUGAGAACCGUUUCUUUUUUUUGCUUCAUUAAUCACUUAGAAACUUUCUGAUCGAAUUUGGGGUUUUUUAUCAACCGGCUGAACCGGUUGGGAACCGGUUCAGCACCAUAGCUGGCAGCCUCUGUCAGCCAUGAGGAACACCUGCCUUUCUUUGUCUGGUUCUCACUCAUCCGGGCUCGGAAUUGAGAACCAUUUCUUUUGUUUGCUUCCUUAAUCACUUAGGAACUUUUUGACCGAAUUUGGGAUUUUUUAUCAAUCGACUGAAUCGGUUGGGAACCGGUUCAACUGGUUUAGCACAAUAGCUGGCUACCUCUGUCAGCCAUGAGGAACACCUGCCUUUCUUUGUCCGGUUCUCACUCAUCCGAGCUCGGAAUUGAGAACCGUUUCUUUUGUUUGCUUCCUUAAUCACUUAGGAACUUUCUGACCGAAUUUUGGAUUUUUUAUCAAUCGGAUGAACCAAUUGGGAACCGGUUCAACUGGUUCAGCACCAUAACUGGCAGCCUCUGUCAGCCAUGAGGAACACCUGCCUUUCUUUGUCUGGUUCUCACUCAUCCGGGCUCGGAAUUGAGAACCGUUUCUUUUGUUUGCUUCCUUAAUCACUUAGGAACUUUCUAACCGAAUUUGAGAUUUUUUAUCAACCGGUUCAGCACCAUAACUAGCUGCCUCUGUCAGCCAUGAGGAACACCUGCCUUUCUUUGUCUGGUUCUCACUCAUCCGGGCUCGGGAUUGAGUGUCGUUUCUUUUGUUUGAAUCCUCACUCAUUUAGGAGUUUUCUAGAAAAAUUUGGGAAUUCUUCUCAAUAGGUUGUACUAGUUGAGAACGAGUUCAACCUGUUCUACUGGAGGACUUUAGGUAGCCCUCGAUUUUGGCAUUUUUCGAGCCCUUAUCUAUUGGGGCUCAAACCCAUUUUCUAUAGGGCACUUGUGAGCCAUCUUGAAGGUUUAAGUCAGUGUUUGAUUUCAGUUAGUAUGGGCAAUUUUGAAGUUAUGGGUGGUGUGGUCUAGAUGAAUCUAGUUCGAUUUGUAUGACAUUUGGGGAGUCCCUUACCUCAUUUCAACCAGAUAUCUUCCUUUUUGGCACAAUCUUUGAUGCUUGAUUUUGAAUACAUGUUGCGUGACUGACUCACCCUCUGCUGUAGCACAUGGCUAGGGACUACAGGUACGGAUCGUUGGUUUUGAUUGUUGAAUCAUAUGCAUGCAUGGUGCUUAAUCUUGAAUGUUUGUUAUGUGUUUAUCGACCUUUUAUGCAGCGCUUGGCUAGGGACCACAGGUACGCACCCAUUAUUUUAGUUGGUUGAAUUCAUAUGCAUGCCAAAUACCAAUUAGGAUUGUGUGAUUCAUGUCAUCUAUUUAGCCUAGGUUUCAUUUGACCUUUGACCUAUAUGCUCCCACAUACCCAAUUCAUUAGUAGAGACCGAGUUUCGGGCCUAGAGGGGUGCUACCUCGCAUGAGGUACCUUCCCAACGGGUAACCUGAUCCCCGGACCCAGAAUCUAGUUUUUGUAGACCGUUUUUUCCAUACUGGGGUCAUUAGGGGUUUUUGUUCUUAUUUAAUUUUCCCCAUUUUAAAAACAAAAAUAAAAAGUAAGUGGCGAUUCCAAACAACACCGUUCCUCAUCGGGGGCGGGUUUUUCAAAACUGGAAAACACCAACUUUUUCAUUUCUUUCUUUUCUUUUAAAAGCGAGUCGCGUCGGUCCGGUGGAUCGGGUGAGGGUCCACAGGGCCGCAUCGGUACGCGAAUGUAUCAACUCCAUCCGGCCUGGGAUAUCUGGAGGGGGCCCCCACCCCAAAGAUGGGACAAUCAUUUUUCCACCAGUACACCCCACCCAGAUAUUGCAUCCGCACCGCGACGCCCUCAUCCUGUCCCUAGAGAUAGGAGACUUCGACGUGAGGCGCAUCCUGGUCGACCCAGACAGCUCAGCCGAUCUUGUACAAGCAUCGGUCAUUAGCCACAUGGGACAUAGUCUCACAGGCCUCGAAAACCCUGGGCGAAUCCUAUCCGAAUUCAACGGGUCGUCAACUACGUCAUUGGGAGACAUUGUACUAUCGGUCCAAGCUGGCCCAGUCACUCUCAACAUACAAUUUUCGGUGGUACAAGAUUUAUCACCCUUCAAUGUCAUAUUGGGGCGCACAUGGCUACACUACAUGAAAGCCAUCCCCUCUACAUAUCACCAAAUGGUAAGUUUCCUUACCAAAGAUAGGCAAAUUGACCUAUAUGCUACCAAAUAGCACGAGAAGCAAGGACCAGCCAGGAGGAUGCAUCCCUCCCUGAGUCCAGCCUUGCACGUGACUAAUAACAAUUAUUGGGUCCGGCGGACAAAGAUCCCCCGGCAGCGGAUCCCUUGCAAACAAUCCAAAUUUCAGAAGAAGGUACUCACCUUACGAAUAUCAGUUCCCUCCUGACACCAGAAGAGACCCAGAAUAUGCAGAACGCCCUCAGACAAAACCAUGACGUCUUCGUAUGGGCACAUUCUGAUAUGAAAGGAAUUCAUCCCUCCAUUACCUCUCAUAGACUCAACGUCUUACCAACAGCCAGACCCAUCCGGUAGAGGGUUAGGCGUUUUCACCCAGACAGACAAAAAAUUAUCCAGAAUGAGAUUGACAAGUUGCUAGAAGCUGGAUUCAUCAGAAAAGUGGAUUACCUAGACUGGUUAGCAAAUGUAGUAGUGGUACCCAAAAAAGAAGGCAAAUGACGGGUGUGCGUCGAUUACACCAACCUCAAUAAUGCAUGUCCAAAAGACAGUUUUCCUUUGCCACAGAUAGAUCAAAUUGUCGAUUCCACUACUGGGCAAGGGAUGCUCUCUUUCUUGGACGCCUUCUCCGGAUACCACCAAAUCCCCAUGUCCCCGAAUGAUGAAGAAAAAAUAGCCUUCAUAACACCACAUGGUCUCUAUUGCUAUAAAGUCAUGCCAUUCGGACUCAAAAACGCUGGCGCCACUUAUUAGAGACUGAUGACAAAGAUCUUCAAAUCUCUGGUCGGCCGCACAGUAGAAGUAUAUAUUGACGAUAUCGUGGUCAAAAGCAAAACCCGAGAGGAGCAUGUCUUCCACUUGCAAGAAGUUUUCCACCUCUUAAGGAAGUAUGGCAUGAAGCUAAACCCUUCCAAAUGCGCCUUUAGCGUAAGUGCUAGCAAAUUCCUGGGAUUUAUGGUCAGCCAAAGGGGGAUAGAGGUUAGCCAGGAUCAAGUGAAAACGGUCAUGGACACACCACCCCCCAAGAACAAAAAGGAAUUACAACGCCUCACAGGCAAGCUUGUCGCGCUUGGGCGUUUUAUAGCCCGAUUCACUAAUGAGCUGCGACCAUUCUUCUUGGCAAUACGAAAAGCUGGAGCCAACGGGUGGACAGACAAUUGUCAAAACGCUUUUCAAAAAAUUAAACAUUGCCUCAUGCAACCGCCCAUCCUGAGCAGCCGCAUCACUGGUGAAAAAUUGUACAUGUACCUAGCUGUAUCAGAGUGGGCGAUCAGCGCUGUUCUAUUCCGCUGCCCCUCACCCAAGGAGCAGAAACCUAUCUACUAUGUCAGUAGGGCAUUGGCGGACGUAGAAACCAGGUAUUAAAAAAUGAAGCUAACAGCCUUAGUUCUUCGCAGUGCUGCCCAGAAACUCCGCCUCUACUUCCAAGCACACCCGGUGGUCAUGCUAACUGACCAGCCCUUUCGCAACAUUCUGCACAAACCGGACCUAACCGAAAGAAUGCUUCAAUAGGCCAUAGAGUUAAGCGAAUAUGGAAUUGAGUUCCAACCCAGGCUGUCCAUGAAAGGCCAAGUCAUGGCUGACUUCGUGCUGGAAUACUCCCGAAAGCCUAUCCAACACAAGGAAUCAAGUGAAAAAGAGUGGUGGACUUUGCGGGUCGAUGGAGCCUCAUGAUCAUCCGGAUCCUGUGUAGGGCUCCUGCUGCAAUCACCAACGGGGGAACAUUUGGAGCAAUCCAUUUGGCUAGGGUUCCCCGCCUCAAACAAUGAAGCAGAAUAUGAAGCCAUCCUAUUCGGAUUGGACCUCGCCCUGGCUCUAUCCGUCUCCAAACUCCGUGUGUAUAGUGAUUCCCAACUUGUGGUAAGACACGUCCAGAACGAGUAUGAAGCUAAGGAUGCACACAUGGCGCGAUAUCUAACUAAAGUAAGGGACACCUUACAACGAUUCACCGAGUGAACGAUCGAAAAGAUCAGACGAACUGAAAAUAGGCGCGCCGACGCCUUGGCAGGCAUAGCUGCCUCCCUCCCCAUCAAAGAAGCCAUAUUGUUGCCUAUACAUGUGCAAACCAACCCUUCUAUCGCGGAAGCUUCCACUUGCAACACCAUUGAGGCAAAACAGGCAGACGACCAAGAGUGGACGAACGACAUUAUAGGGUACCUCCGGACAGGCACUCUACCUGAGGAUCCCAAGCAGGCACACAAGAUCCAGGUGCAAGCCGCCCGUUUCACCUUGAUUGGGGAGCACCUGUACAAGCGAUCCUUCACAGGUCCCUACCUUCGGUGCCUAAGUCAUUCAGAGGCCUUAUAUGUGUUAACUGAAUUGCACGAGGGAGUAUGUGGAAAUCAUUCUGGAGGACGAUCUCUGGCGCAUAGAGCCCAUUCGCAAGGAUAUUACUGGCCCACAAUGAAGAAGGAUGCGGCAGCCUAUGUCAAAAAAUGUGACAAAUGUCAAAGGCAUGCCCCCAUUCCGCAUAUGCCAUCGGAGACAUUGAAACCAAUUUCAGGCCCCUGGCCCUUCGCGCAGUGGGGCAUGGACAUAGUGGGACCCCUCCCAGCCACACCUGCCUAGAAGAAAUUCCUACUUGUCGCCACGGAUUACUUUAGUAAAUGGGUAGAAGCUGAAGCAUACGCUAGCAUCAAAGACAAAGAUGUCACCAAAUUUGUAUGAAAAAACAUCAUCUGCCACUUCGGAAUCCCCCAAACCAUUAUAGCUAACAAUGGUCCACAGUUUGAUAGCAUCGCCUUCCGAAAUUUCUGUUCGGAACUGAACAUCCGGAAUUCAUACUCCACACCGCGUUAUCCUCAAAGUAAUGGGCAAGCAGAAGCCACAAACAAAACGUUAUUCAUGGCUUUAAAGAAAAGGCUCGAGCAAGCAAAAGGAAAGUGGGUGGAGGAGCUACCCGGAGUCCUAUGGGCUUAUCGAACCACACCCGGACGCCCUAUAGGAAACACUCCCUUUGCCCUCACAUACGGUAUGGACGCAAUCAUUCCUACUGAAAUAGGACUACCCACUAUCCGGACCGAGGCAGGAACGCAGGAUGAUGCAAAUGAGGAGUUAGGAAGAAAUUUGGACUGGGCAGACGAAGUAAGAGAAAUUGCAUCCAUUCGGAUGGCAGACUAUUAACAAAGGGCAUCCGCUCAUUACAAUCGCAAAGUAAGGUCCAGAAACUUCAAAAAGGGUACGCUGGUCCUUAGAAAAGUUUUCGAAAAUACUGCUAAGACAGGGGCGGGAAAAUUCCAAGCCAACUAGGAAGGCCCCUAUAUAAUAUCUAAUACAAGUGAAAGUGGAGCUUAUCAUCUACAAAAGCUAGAUGGAACUCCAUUACUCAGACCAUGGAAUGUGUAUAAUUUAAAAUAGUAUUACCAGUGAAGGAAAGAUACAAAUACAAUAUGGAUAAGUAUGUCUUACUUGCGAAGUUGUAUGCAAAAAGUUAUCCGGACUACAAAGCAUAGAAAGAAAGAGGCAAGUACAAUAUGAAUAAGUAUGUUUUAUUGAUACUUAUGAAUUUUGUAUACAAAGGGUCCUCCGGACUACAAAAUACAACGAGAAGAUAGCAAUACAAAAAUUAUUACAAAAAGAAAAGCUCUCAUUGAGCAGGCUUGCUGCGCAACUUCUCUUCCUCACCCGGAGGAAUCGAAAGGACAUCCCGCUUGAUAUCAUGUUUCUUCAUAUAACAGCGAUAGCUGAAGAAGUACAUGUCGUCUACUUGCUUUUGGUAGUCCGCUUCAAGUUCCUCCCUUUCUGCAGCAAACUCAGCCUCCAACUCUUCUUUUUGCGCUGAUAAACGCAACUGCAAAUCUUCUCUUUGUUUUUUCUCGAUGGAAACCUCCGUCCGGAGUUGCCUCACCUCACCCCUCAGAAGGGUCAUCUCAUUUUCCGCCUCAAGCAGGCGGGCAUCCAUGGAUUCCUCCCGGCUCUUUGCCUCAGCUAGCUCCAUCAGGAGGCCUUCGUUCUCAUCUCGAGCGGCGGAUAAACUGGUCUCAGCCUGCUCCAGUCUCAAACGCAGCUCCUCUUCACUAUUUCUACGCUGAGAGGCGAAGGCCUUCAUAUAAUCAGCGGUCCGCAGCAGGUCAGAGAAGAGAUCAUGUUGUUGGACCAUGCCGCGAAGACCGCUCACCAGCUACAGAAAAACACACAAGCAAGAAGAGCAAAGUUACAAACCAUGCCACAAACACAUCAGUAUGGCAAGAAAAAUCAAGAAGUGAAACUAUACCGUUUCCACCACUUCGAACAUUUUCGCUGAAGGCAUGACAACGUCUGAGCCGGGUGGAAUCCGUUUCAGCUUCUCUUCCAACUCUGCGUAGCUAAAAGCGCUAGCAGAGAUGCAAGCUGCAUCAUCAACUGGAUUCCCCCCUGAUGAAGCAUUGGAGAGUGACUCCUCCUCUGGGUCUGGGGCCCCAUCAGUCUCGGCCGGCUGGGUUGCUCCGAGUGAAUCCCCAUCCGGAACCACCACCGGGGCAGGUGGGUUCUCUGCUGCCAUCUCCGCCUCGCUCUCCUCCGGAUGAUCAUCCUGGACGGACGAGCAGCUGGCUUAGAUGGUUUCCAAGAACCGAUCCUGAAGCCGCCCGAUGAGGCCAGACUUUAGGUCUCGCGCUGGACGCAACCUUCUUCUAGCUGGCCCCUUCACCGGCACAAGGGCAAGGGGGCUUGGCCCGCAAGGAGACAAACUUUGACUCUCUGCCCCCAUUUCCUCCAUUGGGGAUGCCGUCGGAGGCAAUGCUGCAGCACAAGAAGCCUCAGCUGCGUCCCCAUUCGGAUGGGGAGAGCCGAGUUGAUUUAUUGAAGUAGCUUCUUCAACCAAAAGAGCCAGGCGGCCCGCCACUGACAUUGAAGGCCCUGAGUGGUUCAGACCCGUGAGAUGUCCGGGACCGCUUGAAACAGAGGGCGGGACGGGAUGUUCCGGCUCUCUUAUUGUUACUUCCUUCACAUAAGUCGAGGGGGAAUUACCAACUCCUUCGGAGGAGUUGGAGGUUUUAUUUCUUUCCCCUUAUUAUUAAGAACCAGCUUUCUCUUAUUCUUCUCUUUUGCUGGAGCUCCAGCAGGAAGGGAGGGUGCGGAGCGUUUUUUCCUAGGAGCCUUCCGUAGAGUUCCCUCUUUCCUCUUCCCCUCUCGAUCGUCAAGGAGUGCUCGGCGUUUCUGAGCGUCUACCUUUUGCACCUCCUUAUAGAAAGGAAGGUCUUUCAAAAUGUAAUGCUCCCCAGGCACUACCUUUUUUGGCAGCCUCCUAGGGAGAAUAUUGGUGAUAUACGCCUGGGACUCCCGGACAACGGCUAACAGGUUUCGCGCAGUGAGCAGCGUCUCAUGAUGCCUCUUGGCGGUGGAAAUCUCAAAUAACUUGUUCAGCAGGGCGAACGACGCUUUUUCUACCCACUCGACUAUGCGACCCCUCUUGUCCGGACCUGCAUUAUCAAUGAACAAAGAUAUUAAGUCAAAUGAUAACCCUCUCAAGCAGUACAACAAAAUGAAUGCCGGACAAGACCCGCAACCUGACUUACCCGGAAGCACUAACGAACGGUUUGGGGAAAAUGGCCUCUCCGGAUGCUCCAGAAGACCAUCCCAAGCACCCCGGACCAACACAUGUCCCUUGGCUCCUCCCUUCGUUGAAUCCGGUAACUCAGUCACCAGUUGAAGGGAGGGCAGGUGGGCAGCCAUGCUAAAAAUAUCAUUCUUCCUCUUCUUGAGGGAGUAGACAAAAAGAACCUCCAGCAGCGAGAGGUCCAAGUUGAAAAGCAGGCUGAGAACGCUGCAUCCCAUUAGCACCCGGACUAUAUUGGGGUGGAUGUAGGCUGGUGGGAUCUGUGUGAAAUGAAGGAAUUCCUUGAACAGUGACGGGAACGGGAACCGGAGCCCAGCGUUGAACUGCUCCUUUGUAAAAAUGAUGGCAUUGUCUUCAGCUUUCUCAGUAGACACUGCCUCCUCAUCCAUCAGCUCCACGAGCACGCCAUUUGGGAUACAGAAACGUUCGCAGAAUUCCUUUGCACUCAGCUUAUCCACAGAUUUCUCAUGAGCAUCGCUGGACGAGCCAGAUGAGGUAGCUUCCUUAUUCGCAGACAUUUUUUAGCCUAGGGUUGAAAUGGAAUCUGCAUGAAAGAAGACCAACAGUCAAAAACAGCAAUCCAACCCCACAAAAUCUAACCCAAAGCAGAGUCAAUGGCCCACAAAAGACACAGGGGGGCAACAGAAAUCCUAAACACAGUCAAAACCCCCCAAAAAAGCCCUAGCAACCAAAAUACCAAACUUCCAGUCGCAAAGCAACUUGCCCAACAGCAAAACCACAAAAGCAAACACAACGAAGAAAAGCCAAAGGUAAGCGCACGUACCGAGUGUAAACUAGAAAAAUAGAGUUGAAACCGCACUGCAAUCACCGUCACAACGCGAACGUUGCCAGCAGAAAACCCUAGAGCUUCCCUCAAGAACGACGGUAUGCAGAAGGUAGAAGAGAAAGCACUAGCAGAAAAAACGCAGAAGGAAAAAUGCAAAAGGAAGGAACAGUCUGCUAUUUAUAGCGAGACAAGCCUCUCGGUAUUUUAAACGUUCAGCUGCACCAUUAUUCCAACCGACACGCUGCCUGGGAAUACCCAGAGUCGAAGGCUCAUCAUAAAUGUUUUUCUGUCUCUUCGCCCCCGCUCGCCACGUGGUCCAAUCAAGCAAAAAGUAACCUCAGUUUCAAAAGCACCAAUUAUUUUUUAACCCGCCCAUUUUGCUCAGGCAAAAUAGGCAAGUUAAAAAGGGGGCAUUGUAGGGACCCCUCCCCCUAAUGCCACGUGGCACACAUUCCCUGAUGACACGUGGCACGCAUUUCUAUCUGGAUCAGCUUCAUCCGGAUUUCCCCAAGAGUACACGUGGCGCGCUCUCUUAUCCGGACUCCCUCAAGGAGAGGCACACAACACUCACAAACAUAACAUCCGGACGACCGACAUAUCGCAUCCGGACGAUUGACAUAUACUAUCCGGAUAUGUUCAUCCGGAUCUUUGACUGAAGUGAGCAAAUCUUGCACGUCAUCACAACAGCCUGCCAUGGCCCACGUUCCGCCACUUGCAGAGUGAGAUGACAGGAAUGAAGUGAUGGCAAGUCACUUCCCACGAUCUCUGACAACUGCGGCGCCUCCCACGAUCUCUGUCAGCCGCCCUAUGAGUGAUGAUGGCCCUGCCACCACCUAGAGGCAUCAUGACAAGCCAAAAUAUCUCCCUACCAUUAAAGAGGGAAACAAAGCUCCUGAUACGAUAUAUAUAUGAACCUUCACACAAAGAGGAAGGUAAGCUUUCUAUACCUAGUAAAAGGCCAACUGAUUUAUCUCUCUGAACCAUGGCUAACAAAACCAUCGGAGGGUGCGUUCGGACACCCUAUCCGAACGUCUUUUGCAGGAACGACUGAACCAGGAAUCUAUAUUGGUUGAGAUCGUGCAUCCAUCCAUUUGGAAACUACGUGGAUCACUAGGGACGCGAGGCCUCAACAGUUACUGUUUUUGCAUUUGCUGGAUCUUGGCUUCCCGAUGAUUGGUGUGCGCAGCCACCUUUUGGAGAAACGAAGAUGGGUACUUGUAACUUUCCUUCGCUUAAAAGUUUAGGCGAUGACGGAGUCGCUCUGGUCAAUGGGUCGUUUCUCCAGCGAUUCAAUGCCAUCCAUUCAUCACUUGCCAAAAAGGUACUUCAAUUCAACUUAUGCAUAGAUAUAUGAAAAACAAUCUCCAGAAUUCAAAAUGUGGAUGUUGGGGUUGGAUUUUUCAGGUGAAAAAAGUAAUUGCAAAGAAGAAGCAAGUUGUUUUCACCGGCUACUCGUCGGGUGCUCCGGUGGCCAUCCUGGCAACUCUAUACCUCUUGGAGAAGUCAGAGCCCAAUCAGAGUCCACCCCACUGCGUCACUUUCGGAUCCCCCCUCAUCGGUGAUCGGAUCUUCGGUCAUGCUGUCAGGCGGGAGAAAUGGUCCGACCACUUCAUUCAUUUUGUUAUGAGAUACGAUGUGAUCCCUCGGAUUAUGCUUGGCCCUUCAUCCACUGAGCACAAAAAAAUUCUCGAUUUCUUCAAUCCCAGAUCUGAAUCCUUCAGAAAACACACUGAUUCUUCUUUAGGUUUAUAUUCCAGCGUGAUGAGGAAUGCAUCCAUGGUUGCAAACUAUGAUGCCUGCAAUUUCAUGGGAUGCAGAAUCCCGACGCUGGAAACUCUAAGGAACUUCAUUGAGCUCAGCCCUUAUAGACCUUUCGGAACUUACAUCUUCUACAGUGGAAGUGGAAAACUGGUUGUCGUAAGGAACCCGAAUGCAGUACUGCAGAUACUGUUUUACUGUGCUCAGUGGAGCCCAGAAGAAGAUGCAGAGGCUGCAAAAAAAAGGCCUAAAUGAACACUUGGCCUACCAAAAGGAACUACAAAAGAGCUUAGGAAAGCAAAAUGUAGUCUAUCUAGAUCAUCUAGAAGAGCUUCCGGUGUCUUCUGAUGGCAGUCCAGCCACAGUCAACACGACCUUGAAUGACCUCGGCCUGGUGAGCCUUCUUUUUUUCUUCUUACUGCCAAACUACAGAAUUUUAGCUUCCAUAUAUGUAUGUAAAUCUCAGCUGAUGUUCUAGUGUUUUGGAUUGCAGAGCACACAAGCCAUGCUAUGCCUUCAAGCUACAGGAGAGUUGGAGAAGCUAAAGUCAAGAAACCAGGAUAAGAUCAUUAAUGAUUAUAAGCAAAAGAUUGAAGGUGAAUUAAGAAAGCUGAGUAAGUACAAGGAAAAGGCCGAGACUUGCGGACUGGGCUACUAUGAUUCCUUCAAGCUCCAAGAAAAAGAAGAUGGCUUCCAGGCUAAUGUGAGCAGGCUUGUGCUAGCUGGUUACUGGGACGAGAUGAUGGAAAUGUUAAAAGCGUAUAAACUUCCGGAUGAAUUUGAGAAGAGCCAUGACUGUAUACGACUUGGAACAGAUUAUCGCCGCACGGUUGAGCCUCUAGAUAUUGCCAACUUUUAUCGACACGCCAAGGAUGAAGAGACAGGGUUCUACGUGAAAAAGGGGACUCGACCAAAACGAUAUCGAUACAUCCAAAAUUGGCUCGAGCAUGCUGAAAAGAAGCCAUCUGGAUCCCGCUCAGAAUCCUGUUUCUGGGCUGAGGUAGAGGACCUCCGCAUUAAAACUAGAAGCAACGGAUCCUCUCCAGAAAUUAAGCAGAAGGUUCUGCAACUGGGGCAAAAUCUAAUUAAAUGGAUUGAUGAUGAAUCUUUAGGCAAGGAUGUGUUGCUGGAGAAUUCCACCUUUGUUAAAUGGUGGAAACCCCUUCCUCCUGAGUAUAAAUCAGAACCCAAAUCAUCUCGCAUUAUGAAACUCAUCCAUGAGAAAGAUUGAGAGGGUUUCAUGCUGUUAUCUCGAGGCAUUUGUUCAAAGCCAAUAAACCCUGUAAAUAAGCUCUAGCUUUGACUGCUCUCUUGAUAACCGAAAUGUUCUUGAUAAGUCCAUUAUUUACUAGUAAGAUGGUUUUCUUCCUGAGUGUAUGCAAAAUCCUGUUUCCUAUAUUAAUACAUAACGAUCCAUUCUCAAUCGUGUAGAUAAUAUCACUGUGAUACCCCGGGUCUUAGGUCCCACUAUGUGAAAAUCAAGAAUGAAAAUGACUAGAUACCAAGAGGUAAUGCGCAUGAUUUUUUCAUACAAACAAACAAGUAGGUUGUACUUCAACACAGAUGAAGUUUGCGAUUUGAAGUUACAACUAUCUAAUAAUAAAGAUGAUGAGAAGGCAUAUUUCUUAAGAAAAUGGCCAUGAUAGCAUUUAGCAGAGGAUACUAAUACAGAAGAUUGAAAAUGGGCUGGUAAAUUAACGGACAGAUGAACGCUUGAUGUGCAUCCUUGGCCGAUCGAUAUGUAUAUGAAAUUAAAUGCUGUGACAAAGACCUAGUUAGCUCCACAAUGAAAAAAGAAGCCCUUGCCAUAUGACUACAGAGGCCCUGUCACAGACUCACAGUUCAACUACAACCAGUUCCUUCCUAGCUUUCAGAACUUUCCAUAUUUAAAAAAUAUUAAUUUUAUAUUUUAUAGUUGGUAGUUAAAUUCAUAAAAAUAAUAAUUAUAUUUUUCUAUAUUUAAAAUAAUAAUCAAUAAUUAUUUAAUAUUAAUAAUAUUUAAAUUUAUAAAGUGUGGAAUCAAGAAGUUUCUAGGAUAAUACUAAUAAAUGUUGGAUCCGCAUUUUUCACAUGCAUUCCCACUCAACGACGAAACUCAUAUUUAUUUAAGGUGAAAAACUGUAUUUUAUAAGAAACUGGAAUCGCUACUUAUUAUUAUUUUUUAAAAGGGAAAAUAAGGAAAGAUAGGUUUGUAAAAACUGAGUUAGAUUCGGAGGUCAAGUUACCUAUUGGGAAGAUACAGUGGCUAAUCGUAGCACCUUUCUAAGCAUUACAAGUCAGGUCUCUAUUAAUAAAACUAAGACAACUAUGACAAUUGGUUGAUCAAUUUAUGGAUACCUAGCAAGAGUCAAAAUAUACUACGACCAAAGCAUGUAUCAAAAGAUAAUCGAAUGAGUAAAGAAGGAAAGGAGUGUACCUGAGUAAUAAGUCAAAGUGUGCUUCUAUGGAAAACAAGGUUAAUAAAUAAUAUAAGUAUAAAAUAUCUCAUGUCAAUCACAAACAAAAUCAAUCAAUAUUAAUCAAGCAAAGCAAUUAGAGGAAGGAGUGUCAUGGAUGUUGGGCCCAUCAAGGCCCAAUUUAUUUUUACAUGAAUUAAUUCUAUAAAUUCCAUUAUUUUUGGAAUCAUAAAAUUUAUUUAUGCAUUAAAAAUAGAGAAAAUCAAGAAAAACUACAUAAAAAAAAAUGUGAAAUGUGCUUGCCGGGGGGAAAUAUGACAGCAAUGUUUAUAAAAAUCGGGAUUUUAGUGCCUAAAAUAGUCUAAAGAUGAACAUUUAAAAUUGGGUUUAUUUCAGUCGAAAAUAGUUUUGAAAAUUCAAUUUAAAAACCUGUAAAUUCUCACCAAGAUAGGAAAAACACACCAAGAGGAAGGAAGGAUGACUUAAGAAUGGUGCACCAAAGGUGGCAAUGGUGGAGUGGGGCUCGUGGGUAGGCAGGCAUGUGCAUUUCCAUAUCAGAAUCCCUGUGCUGCUGCUCAUUCUCCAGGAGUCUGUAAGUCGCUUCACCCCUAUUCCCAUGCAGCAGAAGAGUGCUUCAAUUGUCUGGUUUUGCAGCUCUCACCCUUGUGUUUACUCCAAUUCAAGAUUAUCCCCCUGCAUCCCAAUCUCUCUCUAUGCUGACUCAAGCCGAGCUUGCAGAAUCCCAGUCGCAGAAUCAUUCCUUUUGAGCUCACAAAAUUAACCUGGUAAUCUCUUCUUCCCAGAACUCUAGUUUUUUAUUGUACUCAGUGGUCUUCCUAAGCAAUUCCUCAUAGCUAGCAUCAGUUCCCACCUUUGGGAUGCAAUCUGCGCUCCAUUAGAGCCCCAUCUUCUCCCAUAGAACUCGCCCAGGUUACCAAAUUCAUUCCUGCCAUAGCUGAGUCCUCCAUUAGGCAGCAACAAAUACAACACUUUAAAUGGAUUAGUUUCCAGAUCAAAUUGGAGGACAUACAGAAUGCUGUCAUCUAUGGGCAGCUUUUCGAGUUCAAGAGAAUUUUAAUGGCCACGUGAUAAGGGAUCUUAGUGACAGUCAACAUUCAGCUAAGCAGAAAUCUGGAGAGGCUAUAGUAGUGAUCAGCAUUGUCGCCCAUCCGUACAUUCACCUUGACAAAAUUGUAUUUGGAGGAAACAUUCUGAAUGGAGAAUCAAAUGGUUGGGAGAGAGGAAUCAGAGAUGUCUUCUUCUGGGGUGUCAGGGUUUGGACAAGUUGUGUGAAGACUGCCAGGUACUGAGGAUACCAAGGCUGGGAACAAGAACUGGUCACAUGUACACGGAGAUGGCCAUGCAUGUGGAUUGCAUGCACAUGGGAAAGAUGGUGCAAUAGACUUCGCUAAAUUCAAGCUUCUUGGAUAGCUUGCAACUUCAUCCAGAUAAAAGAUGCUUUCUGCUUCACAUAGAUGUAACAAAAUUGAUGGGGAGAAGAGAGUUGACCACUUCAUCUCCAUUAACGUCACUCUCAAUAUCAGGAGGAAUUUCUUCUCUUGUUAACGAGGAAUCUGAUCUCUUCAAAGACUGUGGUGGCUCUGUUGAAGCCAUUCUUAAAUUGUACAAUGCUCAGACUCCUUCAAGUUGGUCACGGCCUCCAAUACUAGAUUCCCCAGCCUUACGAUGUACCCUCUUUGAACCAGUAAUCUGCUCAGGGUUGCCAGGGAAGGCAAGGGCCUUAGCAUCGACAGUUUGAUCAUCACUUUGAACUAUUGCGCUGAGAGGCGGAGAAUUCUCCUGGUUUAGGGCUUGUUGGCACCCUUCUGUGGGCCAAUCUAGACUCCUCUCUUGAGCCCCAUCCAUUUUCCAUCACAUUCAUGUUCCUUCAUUGCCCAUCAACAAUAAAUCUGUACUGAUAAAUACCCGAGGGGAGCAUUUUCAUAAUGGUGGACUAUUUCCUCAUCUCUGCAAGGGUUUUCUUAUCUUCCAAUUAUCCCAUAAUUCCUCCGCAGCUACUUCCUUGCUAUCAUAGCUCCAUGUAAUCAUAGUUGGAAUUCCUUGCUCACUGCACACCACCUGACCUUGGCCACUCAUUUCCAAGUCUCAAAACUCUGCCUUUCUCACCCUCUUUUACUACCUUUGAGGCUUUGCUGCAAAAGAUCAAAACUGUAGGCUACCUCAUGCAAUGGCACACACCACCCUUUCUCAGAUUCCCUUAUUAGCUUGUGGAGAAAUUUAUUAAAUUUCACAUCAAAGGCAAGAAAAUUGGAAGGGGACAAUGAACCGCAGAUGGAUGAGAGAAUAAUGGCCUUGUCGUUGCAUGUUCAUGAGCAGCAUGAACUGUAUCCUUCAUUUCAGGAACUGAGGCCCUAUGACCUCCAGACCUGAAGGCUCAAUGAAUAGUCAAAGAUUUGACUUCCUGUAGGCUUGCCACAUCCUGAACAGACCUGAAUUUUCUCUUCUUCCGGGCCUUUUCUCAGAAGGUGGUUCCUUAGCUGUCUUGUAUGUCAGAGGCAAAUUGAUGCCUUGGAUUAAAAGAGUCUGAUGACAGAGUACUAAGAUGCUCCUGAUUGAAACGGAACACUUUCAUAGCAGCAUAUUCAAACUACCACAGAAUUGAGCAUCAGGAUGAAUUAAGCCACUUUACUUCAUCAACUUUUUGCACUUUCCAACAGUGCAGGACCAUUUUCCUUGCCAUUGCUGAAAGACUGUUGAUGAGCGCAAUGAUCAUUGAAUUACUGGUGGAUUUUCAUUGUGGGAAACCUAAGCUGAUUAAGCAACAAACCCAAACUUUGACUAGCUUGAAUUGAUAGAUCUCCAACAUUGGAUACAGGAUGACCUCUUAGGAGCUAAAGAUAUAUUAAAUUCCACAAGCUUUCCUUCAGAGGGCUGAUCAAGAGGUGUAUCUAAACCUUAUUUGGCAUGACCAACAAGCUGUCACUUUCACACGCAUAUUCUAAGCAUCUUCCCAGAGGCUUAACAGAAAAGGGAUCUUCAGGUUUACAGAGGAGGGAAAGGAAACCCUGCUUUGCAUUCGGAAAAGUUUUGUUGCUGUUGACAUCUUCACCAUUCUGAGUACUUGGGACUGUUGGUGCAGGUGUGGAGCAACCAGAAAAGUUGUUACUCAGACCCAAUAUUCUCAAUAGCACUGCUUAAAUUUGCCAGGCUCGAGAACAAAAAUGAGAGGUAGCUAGUUCUUUUGAUGCUUCCCUGCUAAAUUUGCCAGGCUCGAGAAUAAAAAUGAGAGGUAGCUAGUUCUUUUGAUGCUUCCCUGCUUGAAUUUGGAGUAUUUGAACCGGCAACAACUCUAUCAAUCCCAAGGGUAGAGAUCAGCUUCUCAAUUAUAGUGACUUGUGACUCCCAGAUCAGUGGAGAUCCAUCUUCAUGACCAGAGAUUGACCAUGACUCCACCUCAUGAAUGAUGAAUUCCUAGAGCCUCAUCUGUUUGAUGAAGGUGAAGUUUGAUUAGUAGGAGUUUUGAGUACUAUUUGAUAGUCUCUCUUCAUGCUGUGGGGGGUUCACUACAGGUUGAUGAUCAUCAUGAGAUGAGCUCGACAUGCUCACUCCUUAUUGGAUUUAUACUCCGAUACUGAUGUAGCCUUCAAACUCCACAAAUAAGCUAUACUUGAACCGAAGACUAAGGAUGACUAAACCAUCACCUCCAUCCUAACUAUGCUGGCGUUCAAAUACUACAAAAUGAUAUUUCAAUGGUCCUGCUUUCAAACCGCAAUUCCACACCUGAAGACGUUUCUCACCGAACCAAAGGCAACGGUGGUAUUGGCAUUAUUGGACAUACAAAUGCUCUGCAUGGACCCCAAACCACCAUGGUACUUCAAUGUCAAGGCCCAUGGCCAUUUCUGUUGUCCAUGAAAAUAAUCUUGAAGGGCUAUACAACUUUUAGCAACUCUUUAAAGGAUGCAAUGUGUCUGGAAGAUUGAAUUGAAGAUGAAUGACAUUUGUAGAAUCAACAGAUGAGGUUGCAUUUCUAGAGCCUCUUUCUGGAGGCCUUUCUCCAAGAAUUUUUCCAUGGCUCUCUGUUGUCAUCUUCUGCACAAUAGGAGAUGAUUUCACAUCCUACAGCCACUUGCUCCUGUUAUUAUGCUUCUGUCACCCCUCUCACAGUUUUCUUGCAAGAUACAAAUAACUCUCUCCACUGGGGUCACGAAUCUGUGGCAAUGAGCCAAAACACAGCCCUCUCUUCUCAAGCGUAGAUCAGAACACAAAACCAAUUGUCCAUAGCAAAUCGAAAUAUGUGAGCCAGAAACAGGAUAUGGAUUGAGAUACUGGAAAUAGAGAAGUGAACAAAACAAGAUACAACAUACCCAGAACAAAAUAAACAAGUAAGCAAAACAUUAAAUGGGAUCCCUUUUCAUGUUGAAAUCAAUGGGUUCAUAGAGCAGUGGUGCAGUAGGAAAGUUCAACACAAAUAUCAAAAUGAGGUCAUCAACAAACUCCUACUGUAAGAGUGAGCCAUAUUCAGAUUAAAAAAUACGAAAGAAGAGCGGUACAACAUCACAUCCAUACCAAAAAUAAUAGAUUUUCUCUAAUUAUCUAAUUAGACAGCUCACGCCAACACUCCCCCUCAAGUUGGAGCCUAGAUAUCUCUUAUGCCCAACUUGUCAAGUGAGUUGUAGUAGUUCCUUGCAGACACUGCUUUUGUGAGUAUAUCAGCCAACUGGUCUUUUGAUUUAACAAAUGGAAGCUGAAUAAUCUUUUCUUCAAGGUUCUGUUUGAUGAAGUUUCGAUCCACCUCAACGUGCUUAGUGCGAUCAUGUUGGAUUGGAUUGUGGGAGAUAGCAAUGGCUGCCUUGUUAUCACAGAACAGGUUCAUUUCAUAGCUGAGAGCAACACCGAUCUCAACUAGCAGCUUUUUAAGCCAAAGAAGCUCACAUAUUCCUUUGACCAUUCCCCGAAAUUCAACUUCAGCACUAGACAAUGUAAUUACCUUUUGUUUCUUGCUCCUCCAUGUAACCAGGUUGCCUCCCACAAAAGUAAAGUACCCUGAAGUAAAUUUCCUAUCUGUGAUGUUCCCUACCUAGUGAGCAUCUGUGUAGCCAACAACAUUCAAAUGACCAUUCUUUGAGAACAUAAGUCCUUUCCCAAGAGAGGACUUCAAAUAACGAAGGAUCCGCAUUACGGAAUCCAUAUGGUCUUCACUCGGGCAAUGCAUGAACUGACUCACUACACUCACAGCAUAACCAAUAUCUAGUCGAGUAUGAGAUAAAUAGAUGAGUUUACCCACUAACCAUUGAUACCUCUAUUUGUCCGCUGGCACCUGGUCUACAUAUUCUCCAAGUUUAUGAUUCUGGACAAUUAGAAUAUCAACAGGCUUGCACCCUAGUAAUCCUACAUCUGCCAGCAAGUCUAGUAUAUAUUUCCUUUAGGAAAGAAAUAUGUCUUGUCUUGACCUUGCUACUUCAAUGCCUAAAAAAUACUUAAGCCCUCAUAAGUUUUUCAUUUCAAACUCAGUUGACAAUUGCUCUUGAAGCUUAGAGAUUUCUUCUACGUCAUCCCCUGUGAUGAUCAUGUCGUCUACAUAGACUAUGAGGGCUGUUAUUUUUCCCACUUGAUGUUUUAGGAAGAGUGUAUGAUCAGAAUUGCUUUGUUGAAAACCAUAUUUCCUCAUUGUCGAACUAAACCUGCCAAACCAUGCUCGAGGUGAUUGCUUUAGUCCAUACAAUGCCCGUUGUAAACUACAUGCGAUCUUUGCCUCUGAGGUAGCAGUAUAACCUGGUGGAAGAUCCAUGUAAAUUUCCUUUUCAAGAUCACCAUGGAGGAAGGCAUUUUUCACGUCCAGUUGGUGCAAUGGCCAAUCUAAGUUUGCUGCAAGAGAUAAUAGAACUCUAACAGUUUUUAGUUUGGCUACAGGUGAGAAAGUUUCCUGAUAAUCUAUACCAUAUUUCUGUGUACAACCCUUUGCUACCAACCUUGCCUUGUAUUGAUCAAUAGACCCAUCUGCUUUGUAUUUAAUAGAGAAAAUCCACUUGCACCCCACCGUCUUCCUUCUUUCAGGCAAUACACUCAAAACCCAUGUGUUAUUUUUCUGCAACACCUCCAAUUCCUCUUUUAUAGCUUGAGCCCAUUUCGAAUCUGAUAAAACUUCUUCAACACUACUCGGAAUUUGACAUGAGGAGAGUGUAUGUGCAAAUGCCCUAAGAGGUUCAGAUAAUCUUUGAGUGGACACAUAAUUGGCUAUUGGAUACUUGGAUCGUCGUUCUUCUAUGUCUGGGGAGUAUCAAUUUGGUGGCUUGCCUCGAUUGUGUCUGAAAGGUAGAACGUAACCCGUAGAUGUAUCUAUAGCAUUAGUUUGUAAAGGUGUGAUAGAAAAGCUUACCUCAGGGAUAUUCUCAGAAGGAUGGUCGUUGGGUACUAAAGAGUGAAGGGAUUCAUCAGAUUCUGCAUCUUCCGAUGAUUCAGGUACAAGUUCAACUUCAAUUCUUGGAGGUUCAACCAUGUCGUUGCCAUCAUUCGGAUGUGCUAGAUUGUCACCAACGUCCAGCAUUUCAACAUCCAACCAAUUUCUUUCUUCACCAUGGAUCUCUCCCUGAAGAGGAGAAUUGGAUACCAGUGAUGGGAAUUUUUUUUCAGAUUCUAGGAAGGUGACAUCCAUGGUGAUGUAGGUUCUUUUAGCAAUGGGAUCGUAGCAUUUUUUGUACUCCAUACCCCAAAAAUAGACACCAGACAGCACAUGGAUCCAACUUAGUUCAUUGAUUCUUAUGGAUGUGAACAAAAACAACACAACCAAAAAUUCGAGGAGGAAUCAUCAAAACAUUAGGUAAUGAGACAUGAUCGGAAAGCACCUUAACCAGAGUCUGAAAUUGUAAGACUUUGGUUGGCAUACGGUUCAGUAGAUGCACGGCUGUGGCAACAGCAUCACUCCAGUAUCUAUUCGGCACAUGUGCAUUGAUCAAUAGAGCACGGGUAGUUUCUAAGAUAUGUCUAUUCUUCCUUUCAGCAGUACCAUUCUGUUUGGGGUUUGAGAACAUGAGGUUCAUGGAGAAUACCAUGACUGUUGAAGUGUGUCUAGAAUUGUUGGUUAACAUACUCCCCUCCAUUGUUAGAACGAAGGAUCUUAAUUUUUGCAGAAAAUUGUGUUUGAACCAUGGUAUGAAAUGAUUGGAAAACAACAAAUACUUCAUCUUUGUGUUUUAGGAGGUAAAUUCAUAUCAUUCUUGUACAGUCAUCAACAAAAAUUGCAAACCAACGGUGACCAGAAGACGUAGUAACUGGGGAAGGUCCCCAUACAUCAGAAUGGAUUAAAUCAAAAGGAAUCAUACUUUUAUUCAUACUCAAGGGAUAAGAAGCUCUAUGACUUUUGGCUAAGAUACAAGUAUCGCAUUUAAAAUUUAAGUGUGAUACUUUGGAAAAUAAACCAGGUAGUAAGUGCUUCAAAUACCCAAAAGAUGGAUGCCCAAGUCGAUGGUGCCAUAACCAAAUAUGUCUUUUCUUGUUACUAACUGUGUGGUGCAUGUGAUUUGCUCUUCCCGAACUGAAGUCAUCAACGUAGUAUAAUCCCCCCCUCUUAGUACCACGCCCAAUUAUCUCCUUGGUAAGAAUAUCCUGAAGAAGGUAAAAAGUAUAAUACAUUACUACCACACAAUUAAGAUCCGUAGUAACUUGACUCACAGACAUCAGUCUAUUUGAAAGAGAAGGUACAAGUAAUGUAUUAGAUAAUGAAAGGGAAGGAGAUAACGUCACUGUUCCCACCCCUGUAAUCGGAUAAGCGACCCCAUUGGCAUUUUUAACACAACUCCGUCUCGAUUGAGUUGCAUUAGAAAAAUCAUUUGAAUAAAAUGUCAUGUGGUAUGUAGCACCAGAGUUGAGAAUCCAGUCAUCAUCAUUAUUGUGAGUAGAGAUAUGAAGUGUCUUACCAGAAGUACCAGAAGUACUUGGAUCAUGUGAAGAUUCUACUUGAGGGAUGAGGGAUAAUGAAGGAUCACAAGUAACCACGACAGCUCUCCCAGUGUGGUCAUCAUUAGCAAAGGUUUCACGUUUUUUUCGUGCUUGAAAGUCGUUCCACCAAUCUGGAUACCCAUGUAGUUUGAAGCAGGUGUCACGGGUAUGUUUGGAGUUGCCACAAUGUGUACACUUCAUGCCAUCAGAUGGUGGUUUGGUUUUGGAUUUUCCCCUGCUUAGAGAAAGAGCCCCUGGUUUCGGUGUUGUCUGGUAGUGACUUCCCUUGAUCCCUUUGGAUAUCAUAACUCCUCCAGGAGUGGUAUCUGUACCUGAGAUCAUCACAAUCUGCCUGACAUCUUCCUUACGAACAAAAGCGUAGGCCUGUUCCACUGUAGGGAAUGGUUUUAAUUGGAGCACAUCACUCCGAGUUUUAUCUAGUCUGUCAUCUAGUCCAUCAAGGAAAGUAUAAACCCGAUCUUCUUGUAGAAUCGAGUUGUAUUUCUGUAUGUCAAUAGCACACUCCAUCGGGUUAGGACGACGAAAAUCGAUUUCUUGCCACAACCCUUGAAGAUCGUUGUAGUAUUUUUCAAUGGAUCCACCCCCCUGCUUCAUACGAGUAACACGACGCCGGAGAUCAUAGACUUGAGAUGAUACUGUCCCAUCAAAAUAGGUUGUAGCAGCAGAAUCCCAAACCUGUUUUGUAGUUGGGAAGCGGAUAAAGUUGGCAAUCAAGGAAGGGUCCAUUGAAUUGAUCAACCAUCCCUUGACAAUGGCAUUUUCGGUUCGCCAUAUCCUGAGUGAAGGAUCGGUUUUUGGAGGUUGAGGGGAAUCUCCAUUAAUAUAUCCUAACUUGUCCUUGCCAGAGAUAUACAUCUCGACAACCUGGGACCAUAAGGCAUAGUUGGAUCCUUCCAACUUGAUACCGAUCGGAGCAGUUGAGGAAUCGGCAAGCAGAGGUUGAGGGGAAGUUUGGGCUCGAGUCAAGACUUCCGUCAUUUUUGUCGUCAGAUCGUUAAGGAUGGAGUUGGUAUGGGGAAUGAGAGAUUGUGUUAGGUCUCCGGAUUCCACCAUGGAUUCUAUUGGGUCUGGGUUCUUUCCUGGUCAAGCGACGCCGUAAAAUGACCACGUCGGCAAUGGCGCAAGCCUGUCAGUUGGAAAAUCCGUCGGGGUCGUCUCCGACGAACUCUGGAGAGGAUCUGGGGUCGACUUCGACUUCGUCUCCCAAGUCUGUGGAGACUACGACGAAGGUGCAGUUUGCUGGAAGGUUUUUUUCUUCUUUUUUUAUUUGAGUUGAAUACCAUCAUAUAUAGAUACAGAGCAAAGGAAUUUUAGGAACCUAUUCUAGCCUAUACACAGGUUGUGGUAGAAAUUGUAGAUCACGUUUGAAGUAUGGAAUUUACAUUAAUAGAUUUUCUCUAAUUAUCUAAUUAGACAGCUCACUCCAACAAAAACAAUUUAACAAUGCCUAGAAAAUUAGAAAUAACCAGAGAGAAUGAAAAAAAAAACAGAGUGAUAAGUGAAAAUGAGCAAAGAAGCUACAAAAAACGUACCUGAAAAUGCUCCCUCCAACGAGAAUAGUUGGGCUUCAAGCUGCUUUGUUUCUUCUUUCAAACCUCCAGAAAACCACAACAAAAUCAACUUCCCUUUCUCUCCCUUGCUCCUAAUCACCCUGCCUAGAAUCCUCUCUGCUCCCUGUUUUCUCUCUAACCCCCAAUUCCGAAGAAUCCCACCAUCACUCCAACCAACCUCUUAGCAAUUCCCCCUGUUUCCACUCUUUCCAUUUCUGUUUUUCCCCUGUCUCCACUCUCCCCCGACCCACACUCUCAGAUACUUUCCUGCUCAAGACUCCUACUUCUCUCUAAAAAAACGACCCGCCCAAAACUUUGCCACAUGUCGCUCUCACUGGCUCCCUUUUCUCUCUUAGUAAGUAACUCACCAAAAAGACAAAAAUUCACGCUCCACCAUUUUGCAGAUCCUCCUUGCCCACCUAGUUUGCCACGACUCCAAAAUAGAGCUUAAGUCCAAAAUAAUCUGUUGGUAGAAAAAAAUGGUAAGAAUAGUAGUCAUCUCAAAAUAUUUGUCAAAGUAGUAUUUUCUAUCCACGUAAUCAUUCAUGCGAGUUUUUUUAGUGUAAAAAACCACCGUUACUAACUGUGAUUUUAAAAGUUUCAGAAAUAUCUUUAAAACCACAGUCACAGAAUGUGGUUUUACAAUUUUCCUCGUUAGUAACUGUGGUUUCAUAAUAUUUUUAAACCGCCCCUGUUUCAAUGGUAUUAUGAUUUUAAUAUUAUUUUUUAAAAUAUUUUUUAUCAUAAUAACCAUAAAACCACAGUUAGUAACUGCAAUUUUAAAAAUAUUCUGAAAACCAUGAUCAGACCAUGGUUUUACAAUUUUCUUUAGAACCACAGUUACUAAUUGUGGUUUCACAAAUAUCUUUAAUGAGAACUCGUGUAACCAUACAUCAACUAAAAAAAUAUAUGGGAUUUUAGAACUUUGCUUUUUUCUUUUUAGUUUUAGUGUAAAAUGGGAAAAAAAUAUUGUUUAUUCAUGCAUUUCGAUAGUACUUUCAAAUCAUUUCACAAUUACCCUCAUAAGUGAUAUAAGAUUAUAAAACUUUGUUUUUUUAUUUUUAAUUUUAGUGUAAAUAGGAAAAAAUAUUGCUUAUUCAUGCAUUCCAAUACUGCUUUUAAAUUGAUUGUGAAUCUAUUUUUUUUUUUGGUUAAAAUCUUUAAUUUUUAAUUAAAAUAAAAUAUAUUUUUCAUUAAAAAAAAUGUAAUUAACCUUUUAUAUUAAUUUCAUAAAAAAUAGGUACACCCUUAAAAAAAAUAGGUAUAUUCAUGCUUAGGGGAACCGGAACCACUAUCAUACUUAUCAUGGUGUAUAUUCCUUUGGGACCCUCGAUAAGUAAUCAGAGGUCCUUGCCCACCCCAAAACAAACUUUGGAAUCCUAGGUAUAUCAUUUCUUAGAGGAACCAAGACCCCUAUUUCCAUUAUCAUGGUUCAUAUAUUCCUUUGGGGACCUUUGAGAAUGAAUUGGAGGUUGUUCCCCACCUUAGAAUGGACAUUGGAACCCAAGGAACAUCCUAAAGAUAAUUUGGUACAUCAUUUACAAAAAUUGGUACAUCUUUCACAAAAUUUGACACAUCCUUAAAACAAUGUGGUACAUCCAAUCCACGAGCCACCAAGACCUCUAUAUUAUUACCCAUGGUUCGUUUAUUUCUUUAGGGAUCUUUAGGAAGUAAUCAAAGGUCAUUCCCUACUCUGAAACUAACUUUGGAACCCUAGGUACAUCCUUAAGGAAAUUUGGUACAUCAUUAAGAAAAUUUGAUAUAUCUAAUCCUUGAACUAACGAGACACAUAUCUUUCUUCCCAUUGUCUAUUUAUUCUUUUAGACAACCUUAGGAAGUGAUUAGAGGUCGUUCCCCAAUUUGGAACAAACUUUGGCCCCCUUGGUACAUCCUUUACAAAAUUUGGUAAAUAUUUUAUAAAAUUUGGUACAUUCUUCACAAAAUUUGGUACAUCCUUAAAAAAAAUUGGUACAUCUAAUCCUUGAACUACUAGGACCCCUAUCUUAUUACCUAUGGUCUGUUUAUUUCUUUAAAUAUCUUUGGAAAGUAAUUGAAGGUCGUUCACUACUCCGAAAUGGACUUUGGAACCAUAGGUACAUCCUUGAGAAAAUUUGAUACAUCCAUUACUUGAACUAACAAGACACCUAUCUCUCUUUCCAUGGUUCAUUUCUUCCUUUAGAGACUCUCGGAAAGUGAUUAGAGGUCGUUCCCCACCUCGGAACUGACUUUGGCAACCUUGGUACAUCCUUUAUAAAAUUUGAUACAUCUUUUACAAAAUUUGAUACGUCCUUCACAAAAUUUGGUACAUCCUUCAAAUAAUUUGGUACAUCCAAUCCUUAAGUUACUAGGACCCCUAUCUUAUUACCCAUUGUCCAUUUAUUCCUUUAGGGAUCUUUGGAAAAUGAUUGAAGGUCGUUCCCUACUCCGAAAUGAACUUUGGAACCCUAGGUACAUCCUUGAAAAAAUUUGAUACAUCCAAUCCUUGAGCUAUUGGAAUCCCUAUCUUAUUACCCAUAGUCCAUUUAAUCCUGUAGGAAUCUUUGGGAAGCAAUUGGAUGCACCAAAAUUUCUUAACGAUGUACCAAAUUUCCUUAAGGAUGUACUUAGGGUUCCAAAGUUCGUUUCUGAGUAAGGAAAAUUUCUUACAAUUUUCCAUUGUCAGUUUUAAAUUAUUAUUUUUUUACAAAUCAUCCUUAACAAAUUUUUUUUUUACGACUGUUUUAAAAUUAUAUUUUUUUUUCAUAUUUUCCUUGAAAUUUUGAGAAAAUAAUUUUACCGACAUGCAUUCCCAUAAAAUUUUUAUAUAUUUAUGGUAAAUAAAAUAUUUAUUUGUUUUAUGAAUUUUAUCACAUAUGAAUUAAAGAAAAUUGUUUUUUCAUAUUAUUUUUAAAUUUUAAAGAAUAUUUUUUAUAAAGAAUAUUUCAAAAAUAAUAUUAUGAUAAAGAAUAUUUUUAAAAUAAUAUUAAAAUUACAAUACCAUUGAAACAGGGGGUGGUUUAAAAAUAUUUUUGAAACCACAGUUGCUAAUUGUGGUUUUAAAGAAAAUUGUAAAACCAUAGUAAUAGACUGUAGUUUUAAGGAUAUUUUUGAAAAUUUUGAAACUACAGUCAUCAACGAUGGUUUUUUACACUAAAAAAAAAACUCACGUGGAUGAUUACGUGGAUAGAAAAUACUACUUUGACAAAUAUUUUGAGAUGGGUACUAUUCUUACCAUUUUUUUUCUACAAACAGAUUAUUUUGGACUUAAACUCUCCAAAACAUGCUCCCGCAAAAAGAAAAUCUGAUUUUUUUUUUCUCCUAAAAGAAAGAUACCCAAAAACAUGCUAUUUCCCGCCAGCUACCCAUGAAAGGAUACAUCUCAAAAGAGCCCUCCCAAAAUGGGGGUCUAUAAUAUGUUAUAUCAUUUAAAAUUAAGGAUUAAUUGAUUAAAAAGAUGAAAACAUUCCAAAAUACCCUUCAACAUUUUCAUUAUUUACAUGUGUAUUUUAAAAGAAAUGGUUACUUUUACAAAAUAAAUAAAUAAAUAAAAAAUGAUGAGGGCAUUUUUAUCAAAAAUGAGUAUUUUUUAGAUUGAAAAAAUGUGAAGGGUUAAUUUUCCAAAAUGUCCCUAUCCUUAAAAUUAAUGCUCAUUGGCUUAUAAGGGACCUGACCUCAUCCAUUGAUCUAAGCUUAUUUUUGCCCCGUAUUUAACACCUGGUUUUUAAAAAGGUUAUUGUGGACCCGAUGUUUUCGCUUGAUGCAUUCCCACUCGAUGGUGAAACUCGUUUUUUUUAUUUUUUUUAUUUGUGAAAAUUUGAUUUUUAGAAAAAAAACUUGGAGUCGCCACUUAUUUUUGAAAGGAAAAAGCAAUAAUAAAAAAGAAAAACCCUAAAUGUGACUCUGAAGGAAAAAACAAGUCUACGAAAAACCGAGUCUGGGUUCAGGGGUCAGGUUACUUAUUGGGAAGGUAUAGUGGUGAGUCGUAACACCCCUCUAAGGCCGUAUACGUACGACCUCUACUAAAUGAAUUAAGGGAAUUAUGGCAAUUAACUAAUUAAUUAUGGAUACCAAGAAAAAUAAUCAUACAAAUGAAUCUGUACAAGUCAUGGUGAAAAUCAAUAUACACAAAAAUAAUAAUGAAAUCUAAUUACAAGAAUACACAAAAUAAAUGAUAAGAGAAUUAUGUAAAAUAAUUUAUUGAACUAAAUGAAAAAAAAUGGUAUUAAAAAAAAUGGCUUUCAAGAAAUUUCAAAAGGAUUUUAUUAAAAACAAUUUUGAAUGAGUGAUUUCAAUUUAUUUAUUUGCAAAAUAUUUUCUUCAAGUGAUUUGGUUCAAUUUCAUUUGUAUUUAAUUUUCAAAAAAAGGUUAUUUAUACUUAUUAUAUCAAAUAUAAUUUAUUACAAAAUUUCAAUUUGGCAACAAAAAUUACUUUACAAAAAAAAAAAAAAAAUUUUACAAGUUUGUUUGCAAAAGUAUUUCAAGUUUUUUCAUUUAAGAAGAGUGAUUUAUACAAAUUAUUUAAAAAUGCAUAACUUCAUGUGCAAAAAGAAUUUUAAUUAAAAAGAAAAAAAAUAUUUAAAUAAUCUAUUUCUAAAAAAAAUACUUUUAAUUCCAUUUUAAUUAAGGAAAAAGAAUUCAUUUAAAAAAACAUUUUUUGGACAAUUUUAUUAAAAAUAAAUUUUUGGGGCAACUUUAUUUACAAAAAAAAAUUUGGACAAUUUUUAUUAAAUAAAGAAAUUUUUGGACAAUUUUAUUAAAAACAAAUUUUCAAAUUCUAUAAAAAAAAAUUCUUUUGGAUUUUUAUAAAAGCAUUUUUCUGAAUUUUUAUAAAUAAAAAAAACUUUCUUUUGUUAAAAAAAAAUAUUUUAAAAUUAUUAUUUUAUUAAAAUAUAUUUAUUGAAUUCUUCCUCUCAUUUAAACAAAAUUUCUAGUUUGUUCGAUAUUCAAUUCUGUACACACUCAAUAAAUAUAUACAAGCAAAUAUCUACAAGAACUAAUAAAAAUAAAAUCAAAUAAAAGUGGAAAAUAAAAUAUGUACCCAAAUAAACUUAUAACAAAUUCAAUGUCUUCCUACGACUUUUUUAUUAUCACUUUCUUUCAUGAAAUUUUGUGUUCCACGUGUCAUAAAUUCAUACUCAACUAACAAGAUUGUAGAAUAAGUCAAUGCAAAAACAAAAAUAACUCAUAUGUAAAUAUCCAAAAAUAUGUAGGGUUCAAAUAAUAAUUCAAGCCCAAAUUCAAACUUUAAAUUAGCCCAAUAAAUUUUAACAAUUAAAAAUGUGUCCAAAUUAACAAAUAUAACCCAAUAAAAAUAUCUCACAUAUCAUAAACCCUAACAUAAAGUUUUCAAAUUAAUAGCCAAAACAUAAGCUCAAUUAAUCAAACCCAAUAAAUUAGGAUAAAUCUCAUUAGGCCUAAAUUUAAUAUUUCAUAAUCCAAACCUAAUUUAAUAUACACCACAAUUGUCUCAUGCCCAAAUUAAAUAGUUCAAAUUAGUCAAACUCAUAUAAAAUAUUAAAGUCAUCCAACAAAUCUCACCCACAUUAUGGGUCCAAAAUUCAUAUAAGUUAACAAGCCCACAUCAAUAAUAUACAUGGCCAAAUGAAAUAAUAUUUCAAGCCCAAACAAAUAACCAAUUAACAAUAGGAUCAAGUCCAAAUAAACAAUAUAUAAUUGAUAUAAUCCAAAUAUCUCAAAUUAAUCACCAAAUACAAUAUAACCACAAACCCAAAUUAAAAAAUUUUAAAUUAAUUCACCAAUAAUAAAUUAGCUCAAAUUUCAUAUUAAUUUACCAACAACAAGUUAACCAAAAUUUCAUAUUAAUUCAACAAUCCUAAUUUCACAAACAACAAUUACUAUUAAAAUCAAAUCAAGAAAAAUAAUAAUAAUAAUAAUAAUAAUAAUAAUGGAAAAUGAGUGGGAUGGGACAACAAGGGAAUGAGAGAAAAUGGGAGGGGGUCGCCGGCUGGUAGUGACUCGCCGGUGGCGACUACAAGGGGCUCACCGGCGGUAGUGAGAGAUUGGGUAUGGUGAGAGGGGAGUAGAAAAUAAUAAUAAUAAUAUAAUAAAAUAAAAUAAAAUAAAAAAGAAAUGAAAGAAAAGAAAAUAAGAAGAAAUCAAAAGAAGAGUGUUCGGAUGGAGAGAAAGGGAGGGAAAAUGUGGGAAAGAAAAAAAAAAUGGGGGCUAGUCACCGCAUUUAGGAGUUAGAAGAAAAAAAUGAAAAAAAUGAAGAGGGGAAAUGGGGAGGAUGAUUGAGAAAAAUAUAAUAUAAUAUAAUAAUAAUAAUAAUAACAAAUAAAAAUAAAAUAAUAAAAACUAAGAAUUAAAUGGUGAGUGGACCAAAAAACACAUGUAAUCGGGAUUUAAAAUUUAUUGACAAAAUUGAGCUCAAAAUUAAUGUAAAAAUAAAAUUAGAACAAAUUUUGGGGUCAUAGUUAUAUUUGAUUAAAAUGAUUAUUGAAAACUCAAUUUUAGAAAUUUAACAUUUCAUCAUUUUUUAUUAUCUCAUUUUAACAAAAAUGUUCUUAUUCUUUUCAUGUAAAAAUAACUUUUUAUUUUAAAACCUACAUGUAAACACUUGAAAUGAUAAAAAAACUAUUUACAUCAAAAGCGGGAUACUCUUCAAACAAAAAUACAAGAAGGUUUAAAUUCACAAAUAUGAGGAUUAUUUCACCAUUUUUAACUAAUUAAUUUUUUUUCAAAUUGGCAAAAUGUGAAGCUAGCACGAUUAACAUUAGUAAAGUAUCUAAUUGCUAAAGAGAAUGGUAGGAUUUAUUGACCUAACUCAAUUUAAUAUAUGUUAAAAUGGUGACAUUUUCUAAUUAUAGGCAUAAAAAAAUUAGGAGAAUGACAAAACUUAGUUAUUUUUCUCAAAAAUGACAUUAAAAAAAAAAAAAAAACAAGGUCCUAAUAUAGUCUUAUAAACUACAAAAGAAAGAAAUUUGAACUGUUGUACACCAAGGCCUAGCCUUGCAUGACAAAUAAAUUGGCAACAAAGGAUUAUGGUUUUGGAAAAAAUGAAAAGAAGGAAAGGAUAAAACAUGGAUUAUUUAUUUACUAAAAACCGGAGUCAAGAGGUGGAAGGAAAUCAUGUUUAUGAGAGUUAUCGCCAUGAUUGGACUUGAGCUUCUAGCACAUGAAGUAAAGAGCUGCUAGUGGUACCUAUUAAAUACGAAUAUGAUUGGUACAUUGUCGUUAUGUGGGUUGGUGUUAGAUAAUUUAUUAUUUAUUUAUAUUUAUAUUUAUAUAUAUUUUGGGUUUACUAAGCUUUGGACAGCCGUUGGGUGUUAAUCUCACACUUUUAAUAUUAGUAUGGAAAAUUUGAGCUUUCACACGACAAGGAAAGGUGGCAUUACAGCCAAGCAAUUUAAUUAUUAAUUAGUUACUGGAGUCGGAGCUUCCUAUAACUAAUUUUUAAAAAGAAAAAGUGGGAAAUGGCGCCUCCAACAGUCAAAAAAUGCCGUUUCAACCGGGGCUUAAAAAUGGGCCUCCCUCCGCUGUCAUUUCCACGCAACUCCAUUGCAACGACGGAGUAUUAUUCCAUCCCCAUAGACCACCAUCCAAGUCAACUAAAAGUCUAGAUCAAUUACUUGUUUUAGUCACCAGAAAUUACCAAUAAACCACUCACGGUCUUGUUAUAAACCAAGCUGCAGCGUCACCAGAAACUUCAAAUCACAAGAGAGAAAAUUUGCAUAGAGAGAAUAUGGGAGAAACACUUGAUCGUAUUGGAUUGAGCGGAGAAGUCAUUAAUGCAGCUGCUUCUCUAGCCAUGAAGGCUCACGAUUCCACUCGCGAGCCAUUUCUCCUCAAGAAACCCCGUGGCUUAUCCGUUGCUGUUGUUGCAUUUGCUGGAUCUUGGCUUCCCGAUGAUUGGUGUGCGGAGACACCUUUUGGAGAAACGACGAUAGAUGCUGGUACCUUUCCUUCGCUUAAAAGUUUAGGCGAUGACGGAGUCGCUCUGGUCAACGGGUCGUUUCUCCGGCGAUUCAAGGCAAUCUUAGGCCAAUCAUCACUUGCCGAAAAGGUACUUCAAUUCAACUUAUGCAUAGAUAUAUGAAAAACGAUCUUGUGAAUUUAAAAUGUGGAUGUUGGGGUUGGAUUUUUCAGGUGAAAAAAGUAAUUGGAGAGAAGAAGCGAGUUGUUUUCACCGGCUACUCGUCGGGUGCUCCGGUGGCCAUCCUGGCAACUCUAUGCCUCUUGGAGAAGCCAGAGCCCAAUCAGAGCCCACCCCGCUGCGUCACUUUCGGAUCCCCCCUCGUCGGUGAUCGGAUCUUCGGUCAUGCUGUCAGACGGGAGAAAUGGUCCGACCACUUCGUUCAUUUUGUUAUGAGAUACGAUGUGAUCCCUCGGAUUAUGCUUGCCCCUUCAUCCACUGAGCACAAACAAAUUCUCGAUUUCUUCAAUCCCAGAUCUGAAUUCUUCAGAAAACCCAUUGAUUCUCCUUUAGGUUUCUAUUCCAGCGUGAUGAGGAAUGCAUCCUUGGUUGCAAACUAUGAUGCCUGCAAUCUCAUGGGAUGCAGAAUCCCGGCGUUGGAAACUCUAAGGAACUUCAUUGAGCUCAGCCCUUAUAGACCUUUCGGAACUUACAUCUUCUGCACGGGAAAUGGAAAAUUGGUUGUCGUAAGGAACUCGAAUGCAGUACUGCAGAUGCUGUUUUACUGUGCUCAGUGGACCCAAGAAGAAGCUGCAGGGGUUGCACAAAGAAGCCUAUCUGAACACUUGGCUUACAAAGAUGAAAUACAAGAGAGCUUAGGAAUGCAGAAUGUAGUCUAUCUAGAUCGUCUGGAAGAGAUUCCAGUGUCUUCAGAUGGCAGUCCAGCCACAGUCAACACGGCCUUGAAUGACCUCGGCCUGGUGAGCCUUCUUCCUUUCUUCUUAAUUACCUUACUGCCAAACUACAGAAUUUUAGCUUCCAUGUCUGUAAAUCUCAAUUGAUGUUCUAGUGUUAUGGAUUGCAGAGCCCACAAGGAAGGCUAUGCCUUCAAGCUGCAGGAGAGUUGGAGAAGCGAAAGUCAAGAAAUCAGGAUAAGAUCAUUAAUGAUUAUAAGCAAAAGAUUGAAGGUGAAUUAAGAGAGCUGAGAAAGUACAAGGAAAAGGCUGAGACUUGUGGACUGGGCUACUAUGAUUCCUUUAAGCUCAACAAAUACGAAGAGGACUUUCGGGCUAAUGUGAGCAGGCUUGUGCUAGCUGGUUUCUAGGACGAGAUGAUGGAAAUGUUAAAAGCGUAUGAACUUCCGGAUGACUUUGAGAAGAGCCAUGACUUUAUACGACUUGGAACCGAUUAUCGCCGCACGGUUGAGCCUCUAGAUAUUGCCAACUUCUAUCGACACGCCAAGGAUGAAGAGACAGGAUUCUACGUGAAAAAGGGUACUCGACCAAAACGAUAUCGAUACAUCCAAAAUUGUGUUAAAGUAUAUUGUAUUGUGGGCUCUAGGCCCAGGGGCCCAGUUAGGUUACUUGUAUAGUACUUGUACUAUACACCUGUACUACACCUUUGUACUACACUUGUACUACACCUUUGUACUGCACCCUUGUACUACACAUAUAUGCCUCCUAUAUAAAGGCACUGAUGUAUACUCUUUUACUCACAGAAUAGAAUACAAUUAUUCUAUAUUUCUAACAUGGUAUCAGAGCCACUGCUCUGACCUCUUUUUUUUCUUCUUAGCAGUCUUGUCUUCAUUAGUGUGACUUCCUUUUUCACUAAGCGCUUCCGCCAUCACAACUGCCGCUGUAGCCUCUUGCCGUUGAACCUCCGACGUCAUCCAGUCGUCAUCCCUGGGUUCCGGACCUGCAACCUCAGUCAUUAAGAAGUCUCACACUGCACAGACCACUGCCCCUUUGCAUCAUCGCUGCGAAUAUUGCUCCGAUUUCACUUUUGAAGGUACCACUGAGAUCGUCCAGCGCCGAUCUACACAUUCGUGGAUAUCUCGCCGCCAUCGGAGACCGCACGCGCCCCUCAAAGAUUCUGCAACGCCUCCACGUGCCUUCACGCGCCCCCACGCGCUGCCACAUCAGCACUAGCUCGUCAGGCCUCCACGCGCUGCCACGUCAGCCCUAGCUGCGUCAGCAUCCACUGAUCUGCUGACGUCAUCUCCAGUCGUUGACCGUUGACCAUUGACCGUUGACCACCGUUGACCGUUGACCGAACAUUGACCGUUGACUUUGACCGUUGACCGUCCAAUUGACUUUUUCCCCGGCCAGGUUCUCCUUACCCAGUUUUUCGUAUAGAUUUCAUUUCUGCAGUCGGUUUUUGCAUAUUGCGUCCCUAAAUGGAUAAGAAGGAUGUUUUUCUUCCUCGCCCCAUCCAUACUGUAUUGGAGGGGACUAAAAAUUACUUAUCCUGGUCUCAAGCUAUGCGCAGUUUUCUUAAGAGUCGCAUGCUCUGGCAUUAUUGUACUGGUGCAAUGACUAUUCCUGUCAAAGGAGCAAGUGAAGAAGAUGCUGUCUUUCUUAGUCGCAUGAUUGAAUGGGAUAGUCAUAACCACAUGAUCCUCACAUGGAUCCGGAACACUUCCAUUCCCUCUAUUUCCAACCUAUUGGGCAGCUUUGACGAUGCAAAAUCUGCAUGGGAUAUGUUGACCAAAAGGUACUCCACUACUCAUGGAUCCAUGAAAUAUCAGUUAGUGGUUGAAUUGCAUCAACUCAGGCAAGAACCGGGGCAAUCCAUCAAUGACUAUUAUGAUCAGCUUCGCUUCAUUUGGGACCAAAUUGACCUUUCUGAACCAACUUGGGGAUGCUCCACAGAUGCUCAGCAAUAUGCUACCAUUAGAGAUGAAUUUCGCCUCUAUGAAUUCUUGAUGUCACUUCACAAGGACUUUGAGCCCAUUCAUGGUCAGCUGUUAAAUCGCAGUCCUGCUCCCUCUCUUGAUACUGCUGUGAAUGAGUUGGUUAGAGAAGAAGCUCGUCUUGCAACCCUUCAAGCCCAGAAUAAGCUCAAUAUUUUGGCUAUUACUCCAUCUACUCCACUCAUAGAGCAACCUCAGCAAUUAGGUGAUUUUUCUGGCUCUAGCAAUCGUCGCAAGCAAACCAACAAGAAGUUCUGCAACUAUUGCAAGCGUCCUGGCCACACCAUUGAGACUUGUUACCGUCGUAACAAAUCUACUGCUGCUGUUGCUAAUACUGCACCUACUCCGCCAACGGUUUCCACGUCCUAGUCUUCUGGAUCUACUAUCAACCUCUCUUCCACUGAACUACAGGAGAUCAUAGCUCAGGCUGUUCGUAUGGUUGGUAAUGCAUCUCUUUCCACUGCCUUAUCUGUUCUACCUGGUAAGUCUCAAACUUGGCUCUUUGAUUCUGCCUGCUGCAAUCACAUGACACCUCACUCAUCCCUGUUCACCAACCUUGACCCUGCACCACAUCCUCUAAAUAUUCAUAUAGCCGAUGGUUCCACCAUGCAUGGAAAUAGUCUAGGUUUUGUUUCAACCUCUACCCUUUCUGUUCCUGGAGUCUUUCACGUACCUGACCUAUCCUAUAAUUUGUGCUCUGUGGGACAAUUAGCUGAACUCGGUUAUCGCCUUAUUUUUUACUAUUCUGGGUGUAUUGUACAGGAUCCGAGGACGGGGCAGGAGCUUGGGACCGGUCCUAGAGUUGGGCGUAUGUUUCCCGUGAACAAUCUUCAUCUUCCACCUGUUGCUCCUGUUUCUAUUGCUGCUGCAACAGCUGCAGUUUCUUCCUUACCUUCUCUUGCGCUUUGGCAUUCUCGUCUUGGUCAUGCACCAUCUUCUCGGGUACAACAGUUAGUGUCUAGAGGUCUGUUGGGUUCUGUGUCUAAAGACCAUUUUGAUUGCACUUCAUGUCAGUUAGGAAAACAACCAGCUUUGUCUUUCAAUAACAGUGACUCCAUUUCUAAAAGUAUUUUUGAGUUAAUUCAUUCUGAUGUUUGGGGACCUUCUCCUGUUGCUAGUAUUGGUGGAUCUCGAUAUUUUGUUGUUUUUAUUGAUGAUUACUCUCGUUAUAGUUGGAUUUUUCCUAUGAAAUCUCGUUCUGAAAUUUUAUCAAUAUAUAGCAACUUUGCAAAAAUGGUUGAAACUCAAUUCUCCAAACGUAUCAAAACCUUUCGAUCUGAUAAUGCUCUUGAAUAUACUCAACAUGCAUUUCAAACUCUGUUACAUUCCUAUGGCACUAUCCAUCAUCUAACCUGUCCAGGUACCUCUCAGCAAAAUGGUCGAGCCGAAAGAAAACUUCGUCAUAUUCUUGACACUGUUCGUGCUUUACUUCUUUCUGCCAAAAUUCCUGCCCCAUUUUGGGGUGAAGCCAGUCUUCAUGCUGUUCAUGCAAUUAACCGCAUUCCAAGUACUGUCAUCCAUAAUCAGACUCCAUAUGAGCGUCUCUUUGGGUCACCCCCUAACUAUCAUCACCUUCGCUCCUUUGGAUCCGCUUGCUUUGUUCUUCUUCAGCCUCAUGAGCACAACAAACUUGAGCCUCGAUCUAGACUCUGUUGUUUUCUUGGUUAUGGCGAAACUCAAAAGGGGUAUAGGUGUUAUGAUCCUGUUUCUCAUCGUCUUCGCGUUUCUCGUAAUGUUAUCGUUUGGGAACAUCGAUUGUUUGUUGAACUCUCUCACUUUCGUUCUUCCUUGACUAACUCCUCUGUUUUAGAAAUCUUUCCCGAUGAGUCUCUUGUUCCUUCUGCAAAUACUUUUGAUCUUCAUUUAGACUUCUCUCCAGAUAUCUUUGAUGCUUCUCCUAGACAGGUUGCAGAUGAACAGAUUAUUCACGAGCUACCCCACUUUGAGCCUGGGUCCCCUGCUCCUGCUCUGCCUGAAGAUCCUCCACAAGACAUUCCACCUCGCCACUCAACCCGGGUAAGAUCCAUUCCUCCACACCUCCUUGACUAUCAUUGUUACACUGCCCUUGCUACACUUCAUGAGCCUCAAACCUAUCGUGAGGCCUCUACUGACCCUUUAUGGCAGAUUGCAAUGAAAGAGGAACUUGAUGCAUUAACCAAAAACCAUACUUGGGACCUGGUUACUCUCCCUCCUGGACAGUCUGUGGUUGGUUGUAAGUGGAUCUAUAAGAUCAAGACUCGCUCUGAUGGAUCCGUUGAGCGCUAUAAGGCUCGUCUUGUUGCCAAAGGUUUUACACAAGAGUAUGGGAUUGAUUAUGAAGAGACGUUUGCUCCAGUUGCUCGUAUCUCAUCUGUUCGUGCUCUCUUAGCUGUUGCUGCUGCUCGUAAAUGGGAUCUUUUUCAGAUGGAUGUUAAAAAUGCCUUCCUUAAUGGGGAUCUGAGUGAAGAAGUCUAUAUGCAACCUCCUCCUGGUCUCUCUAUUGAAUCAAACAAGGUUUGUCAUCUUCGACGUGCACUUUAUGGUCUCAAACAAGCCCCACGUGCUUGGUUUGCCAAGAUCAGCUCCACUAUUUUUCGCUUGGGUUACACCGCCAGUCCAUAUGAUUCUGCCUUAUUUCUUCGUCGUACUGAUAAAGGCACUAUUUUGCUUCUUCUCUAUGUGGAUGAUAUGAUCAUAACUGGUGAUGACCUUAGUGGCAUUCAAGAACUCAAGGAUUUUCUCAGUCAGCAGUUUGAGAUGAAAGAUCUUGGACAUCUCAGCUAUUUCUUGGGUCUUGAAAUUACUCAUUCCACAGAUGGUCUUUAUAUUACUCAAGCCAAGUAUGCUUCUAACCUGUUGUCUCAAGCUGGGCUCACUGACAGCAAAACAGUUGACACUCCAGUUGAACUUAAUGCGCAUCUGACACCCUUGGGGGGGAAACCAUUGUCUAAUCCUUCUCUUUACAGACGAUUGGUUGGCAGCUUAGUUUACCUCACAGUUACUCGUCCAGACAUCUCCUAUGCUGUUCAUCAAGUGAGCCAGUAUUUGUCUGCUCCACGAUCAACUCACUAUGCUGCUGUUCUGCGCAUUCUUCGAUACCUGAAGGGUACCCUUUUUCAUGGCCUUUUCUACUCAGCCCAGUCUCCUCUUGUACUCCGUGCAUUCUCAGAUGCUGAUUGGGCAGGAGAUCCUACUGAUCGCAGGUCCACUACAGGUUAUUGCUUCCUCCUUGGUUCUUCUUUGAUUUCUUGGCGAAGUAAGAAACAAACCUUUGUGGCCCGCUCCAAUACUGAAGCAGAAUAUCGUGCCCUUGCUGAUACCACAUCUGAGCUCCUUUGGCUAAGAUGGCUCCUUAAGGAUUUGGGUGUAUCCACCUCCUCUGCUACUCCUCUCUAUUGUGACAACCAGAGUGCUAUUCAUAUUGCUCACAAUGAUGUCUUUCAUGAACGGACUAAACACAUCGAGAUUGAUUGUCAUUUUAUCCGUUAUCAUCUUCUCCAUGGUGCUCUUAAGCUUUUCUCCGUCUCCUCCAAAGAUCAACUUGCAGAUAUCUUCACCAAGUCUCUUCCUAAGAGACGCACUCGUGAUUUAGUUGACAACCUCAAGUUGGUCUCACAUCCACCUUGAAGUUGAGGGGGGCUGUUAAAGUAUAUUGUAUUGUGGGCUCUAGGCCCAGGGGCCCAGUUAGGUUACUUGUAUAGUACUUGUACUAUACACCUGUACUACACCUUUGUACUACACUUGUACUACACCUUUGUACUACACUUGUACUACACCUUUGUACUGCACCCUUGUACUACACAUAUAUGCCUCCUAUAUAAAGGCACUGAUGUAUAAUCUUUUACUCACAGAAUAGAAUACAAUUAUUCUAUAUUUCUAACAGGCUCGAGCAUGCUGAAAAGAAGCCAUCUGGAUCCCGCUCAGAAUCCUGUUUCUGGGCUGAGGUAGAGGACCUCCGCAUUAAAACUAGAAGCAACGGAUCCUCUCCAGAAAUUAAGCAGAAGGUUCAGCAACUGGGGCAAAAUCUAAUUAAAUGGAUUGAUGAUGCAUCUUUAGGCAAGGAUGUGUUGUUGGAGAAUUCCACCUUUGUUAAAUGGUGGAAACCCCUUCCUCCUGAGUAUAAAUCAGAACCCGAAUCAUCUCGCAUUAUGAAACUCAUCCAUUAGAAAGAUUGAGAGGGUUUCAUGCUGUUAUCUCGAGGCAUUUGUUCAAAGCCAAUAACAGCAAUAACCCUGAAUGUAUGCAAAAUCCUGUUUCCUGUAUUAAUUAGUAUGCAAAAUCCUAUUUUCUGUAUUAGUAUGUAACGACUCAUUCCCAAUCGCAUAGAUAAUGUCACUGUGAUAUCCAGGGUCUCAGGUCCAACUAUGUGAAAAUCAAGAAUGCAAAUGACUAGAUAUCAAGGGGUAAUGCUCAUAAUACUUUCAUACAAACAAGUUAGAAUUGUGUAAGUUCUACAGACGAUUAUUCAAGUAGUUGUACUUCAACACAGAUGAAGUUUGUGAUUUGAAGUUACAACCAUCUGAUAAUAAAGAUGAUGAGAAGGCAUAUUUCUUAAGAAAAUGGUCAUGAUAGCAUUUGGCAGAGAGGAGCAUACUAAUACAAAAGAUUGAAAAUGGGUUGAUAAAUUAACAGGCAGAUGGACGCUUGAUGUGCAUAUUCCUUGACCGAUCAAUAUGUAUAUGAAAAUACUGUGACAAAGACCUAGUUAGCUCCACAAUGAAAAAAGAAGCCCUUGCCAUAUGACGACAGAGGCCCUGUCAUAGACUCACAGGUCAACUACAACCAGUUCCUUCCUAGCUGUCAGAACUUUCCUUAUUGUGCAAGAAAGAAUAAGCAUGAUAUUCUGAUGCUCCCUUACUAAUUUACUACUGAACACAAAUCAACAAGCCAUCCCUUUAAGGACAUAUCUAUAAGUUCCAUCUGGCAAGGACCUCUCCAAUGGUUACAUAUAUCUUUCUUUAUGGGCCACUAAAUGAAGCCCUUUUCCAUAACCCAAUACAACCCGGUUGGAACAUAUCAUCCUCAAAAGUGAGAAAUCAUCGACACCAUAAGGGUGCAUUUGGGAUAUGGGAAUCGGAAAGGAAAUAGGAUGGGAAUGAAGGUGAAUCACGAUAUCAUGUAGAAGAGAGGAAUCAAAAUCCUAGUGAAAGUAGUGUUAAGAUAUGGACUCACAUAUCUAACAAUAGUUCAUGACUAAGCUAUUCACCUCUUUUCAGUAUUUGUUUUCUGUUCGUUCAAGAGUAUGGACCACUUAUGUGUAGAGCCCAACGCCUUCACGGGCCUUAGAUGAUGGGCCUAAGACUUGUGAGGCCCAAAAACCCAAUGGGUAUGGUCCCUAAGGCAGGAGGGUAUAAAAGGUCAAGGGUCUGUUCAUUUUGGUAACAAUCACAUCAGUUUUGGAAUUAGAACAGACCUGUUUCUCUUCGACUCCCAUCGUCUGAGAGAAUUCAGAAAGAUGUGGUGCCCUCCACAGCCUUAGAAGAUCCAUACCGUAUUCAUCGCUGGAAAACAAUGGACUCAGGUAUGUUCUUAGACAACAGUGGAAGGCAUAAUUUGAAUGCUUGGUAUACAUAUAUAUCCUAUUUUUUUUUUUUUUUUUUUUGUGUGUUUUGGGUGAUAAUGGAAAUCAAGAAUAAUAACAAAUGGUAUCAAAGCCUCCCAUUUUCACCAAAACACUCUUUAAAACACAAACAUCAGACCCAAAGCAAAAAACGUUGGACUCAGGCGUUGUUUUGGGCAAUGGGAGUAGCGUUAGGGCGCUGCAACGCGUCAUUAGGAAUCAGAAUAGUGCCAUUUCGGCGCUGUUCAUUUUGUCGGUGUCCUUUACGCUGUUUUGACGCCGUUGAGAUGCCACUGCAGGUGUCGUCAGCCCGAUGUCGCCACGACGCCGGCUGGAGGAGGAUUGAGACGCCGGUUUGGCGUCAUUCUCCAAUCAAGAACGUUGUUCAGGCGAUGGAAAAUGACUACGAUGUCGUUUAGGCAUCGUUUCUCAGUCAGCUGCUCGUGAUUUAGGCGUCAUUUUUUUGGCGUUCCAGACGUCAUCCAAGCGCCAAUGAGGAACGCCAAAAUUAGGGUGUUGUUGUAGGCUACUCAGUAACGUUGUUACUGCAUUUUUCUAGUGAUGACACCACUGAUGACACCGCUGCCGGCAUCCCAUAGUAAAAUGCCUAUUUUUGGUGCGCCGUUUUGGUGGCACUAAAGCACCAUUUUCAGGCGCAAUUGGAGGGGCUGCUGGCGUCCGUUACAAGCGCCAUUAAGGCGUCUGUUACAGGCACCAUUUAGGCACAGUCCCACGCAGCAUUCAAACGUCGUCCAGGCGUAGUCUGAUGGCGUCGUUCGUAGAUGGCUCCAGGGCCGCUGUCAGUUGGAUGCAAAAAUGAUCCCUUUUUAUAGCGUUUGAAAUUCCAUGUUUUUUUAUAAAAAAAAAAUUAUGUAUAUGCUUUUAAAAUUAUGCCAUAAUGAAGAUGGAAUAAUUUGAGAGAGUCUAUAUUCUUUUUUUGUGUUGUGGGAAAUUUUAUAUGUAUAUGCUUUUAAAAUUAUGCCAUAAUGAAGAUGGAAUAAUUUAAGAGAGUCUAUAUUCCUUUUUUGUGCAUUAGGAAAUUUAUAUGUAUGUGUUGCAUGUGAAAUAAUUAGGUAUCAUUCAAUGUCUUAUGAAUCAUGCAUAAAAUGGGUUUGUGGAUAAAUUUUUUAUUGAAUUAUUGCUUGCUAUAUUUAUGUUUAAUAUUUUAAAAUAAAUGAAUUAUGUAUACUUGUUGCCAAAGUAACUUGUAUUAGGUAAUUUUAUUUAUUUUGAAAUGUGUAAGCAUGUUAUUAUUGUAUAAAAUAAUCAACCCAAAGGAGGAUUAUUUUUAUAUAAUAAUAAAUAAAGUAAUCAUGAAUAUGUGACAUACAAGGUUUAUCUUGCAUUCGAUAUGUUAGUCCAAAGACAAACAUAUUGUUUUCGGGUUUUUUUUAUUGUCAAUAUUUAUGAAUUAAUUUAAGGAUGCUACUUACAAGUUGAUAUUUCCAUCCAAAGACUGAAUAUUGAUGUUUGUGCUAGGUAUCUUGUUGUAUGUCCACAUGCAUAUAUAUGUUUAAAUUUUAUUUAUUCAUGUAUGUGUGAUGUUUAUAUGACUGAUUGUGAGCUUCAUUGUUAUUUCAGCAUCUUCUAUAUCUGCAAAUGUCAAUAACACUCCUGUGCUUAAUGGCAUAAACUUCAAGAAAUGGAAGGAGCACGUUAUAAUUGUGCUCAGGUGAAUAGAUUUAGACUAUGCAUUAAGAGUGGAUCGCCCUUCAGAUCUUACUAGUGCCAGCACUGCUGAGCAAAGGUCUGCUAUGGAAAAAUGGGAGCAAUACAAUCGCAUGAGUCUAAUGAUUAUGAAGCACUCAAUUCUAGAAGCUAUAAGGGGUGCAAUACCUGAGGAAACCCAAGCCAAGGCAUUCUUGGACCAGAUAGCAAACCGAUUUGCUGCAAACGAAAAGGUUGAGAUAAGCACUAUUCUUAGUAAGCUUGUCUCUAUGCGGUAUAAAGGGAAAAAGAAUAUAAGGGAGUACAUUAUGGAAAUGUCUAAUCUUGUGACUAGACUCAAGGCACUAAAGUUAGAGUUGUCGGAAGACAUACUCGUGCACUUGGUCUUGAUCUCUCUACCUACACAAUUCAGUCCAUUCAAAAUCAGUUACAACACUCAAAAGGAGAAAUGGACUUUGAAUGAGCUUAUUGCUCAAUGUGUACAAGAGGAAGAGAGAUUGAAACAAGAGAAGAUAGAGAGUGCUCACUUGACUUCCACAUCUCAGGGAUUUGGUGCCAAUAAGAAAAGAAAGAGGGACAAUAAAGGAAAACAAACUACAGUUUCUAAGACAUCAAAGCAGAAGGUGCAGAAGAAACAAGAUAAGGAGAUCACUUGUUUCUUUUUCAAAAAGACUAGUCAUAUGAAGAACACAUGUACCAAAUACGCGGCUUGGCGUGAAAAGAAAGGCACACUUCUCAACUUCGUUUGUUCAGAAAUUAAUUUAGCUAUAGUGCCUACUGACACUUGGUGGAUAGAUACAGGUGCAACUACUCACAUAAGUGUCACUAUGCAGGGUUGCCUAAGGAGUCGAAUGUCAACUGAUGGUGAAAGAUACAUCUAUGUGGGAAAUGGAAACAAGGUUGCAGUCAAGGCUAUUGGUCUUUUUAGACUACAGUUGGACUCUGGAUGUACUUUGGAUUUGGAAGAGACUUUUGUUGUACCGUCGUUUAGACGGAAUUUAAUUUCUAUUUCAUGUCUACGGAAUUUAAUUUCUAUUUCAUGUCUGGACAAAUUUGGAUAUUGUUGUUCAUUUGGAAAUGGAAUAGUUAGUCUUUAUCUAAAUUCAAAGGUUAUUGGUACAGGUAGUCUAAUAGACAAAUUAUACAAAUUGAACAUAAAGGCCACUAAUGGAAAUGAAACCUUGCAUUCAAGUAAUUAUGGCAUUAAGCGAAAAUUAAUAAAUGAGAAUUCAUCAAUGUUAUGGAACAAACGUUUGGGUCACAUUUCAAAUCAAUGGAUUCAAAGGCUUGUGUCAGAAUGAAUUCUUGAUCCACUUGAUUUCUCAUACUUUCAAGUCUGUAUAGAGUGCAUUAAAGGUAAACAAACAAAUAUGAGGAAAAAUGAUGCCAAUAGGUGCAGUGACAUCUUGGAAUUGAUACAUACGAAAAUUUGUGGUCCAUUCCCUACAACUUCUUGGAAUGGACAACAAUAUUUUAUCACUUUCAUUGACGAUUACUCGCGUUAUGGCUAUCUUUAUUUGAUUCAUGAGAAAUGUCAAUCAUUGGAUGUGUUCAAGAAUUUCAAAGCUGAAGUUGAGAACCAACUAAGCAAGAAAAUAAAAGUCGUCAGAUCUGAUCGUGGAGGUGAAUACUAUGGUAGAUAUGACGGAUCAGGUGAACAAUGUCCAGGGCCAUUCGCCAAAUAUUUGAUGGAGUGUGGUAUCGUUCCUCAGUACAUCAUGCCAGGGACUCCAAGCCAAAAUGGUGUAGCAGAGAGGUGAAACCGUACUCUUAAGGAUAUGGUAAGAAGUAUGAUCAGUCAUUCCAUCUUACCAAAAUCACUUUGGGGCGAAGCUAUCAAAACUGCAGUUUACAUUUUGAAUAGAGUACCAAGCAAAGCAGUAGCCAAAACCCCAUAUGAGUUAUGGACUAGCAAAAAGCCUAGUAUUAGGCACUUGCAUGUUUGGGGUUGUCCAGUUGAAGCUAGGCCUUAUAAGCCAAAUGAAAAGAAAUUGGACUCCAGAACAGUGAGCUGCUACUUUGUAAGGUAUUCUGAAAGGUCAAGAGGUUUCAAAUUUUAUGACCCCUCAUCUAGAUCCUUCUUUGAAACGGGUAAUGCUAAGUUCAUUGAGGAUGUUGAGUUAAGUGGGAGAGAAUCAUUAAGAAAUGUGGUUUUUGAAAAGGAAUCUAUUAGUAUUCCUACGACUGGAAAUGGUCAUAUUAUGUUUGAUGACACUAUUUAGAAUGUACAGUCGAUAACAAAAAUUCAAGACACACCUGAAAUUCCUCCUGCUCAAGUUAUGGAACUGAUUCAAGUUCAUCAAGAGGUAACUCAACAACCUCAAGAACCUCAAGUACAAGUGCCACUGAGGAGAUCCACUAGAGAAAGGAGAAGUACAAUUUCAGAUGAUUAUGUUGUAUAUCUUCAAGAACAUGAGUUUGACAUGGCUCUGAAAGACGAUCCAAUUUCAAUUAGUUAAGUCAAACAAAGUUCUAACUCUGAAAAGCGGAUAGAAGUCAUGAAGAAAGAGAUGAAAUCAAUGAAAGACAAUUGUGUUUGGGACCUAGUAGAGUUGCCUGAAGGUAUAAAACCGAUUGGUUGUAAAUGGAUUUUUAAAACCAAACGGGAUUCAAAAGGUAACAUUGCUAGGUAUAAGGCACGCCUAGUCGCAAAAGGUUUCACUCAAAAGGAAGGCAUUGAUUAUAAGGAGACCUUUUCACCAAUUUCGUCAAAGGACUCUUUUAGAAUCAUCAUGGCACUUGUAGCUCAUUAUGUUUUAGAGCUACAUCAAAUGGACGUUAAAACUGCGUUUCUUAAUGGUAACAUUGAUGAAACAAUAUACAUGGUGCAACCGGAGAACUCUGAGUCUAAUGAUUCAAAGCAACUUGUAUGCAGAUUAAAAAGGUUCAUAUAUGGUUUAAAGCAAGCAUCCUGACAGUGGUACCGAAAGUUUGAUCAGGUGAUCACUUCAUUUGGUUUUAAAGAGAACACCGUUGAUCAAUGAAUAUACCUCAAGUUUAGUGGGAGCAAAUUUAUUAUCUUGGUGCUAUAUGUUGAUGAUAUUCUACUUGCAAGUAGUGAUGUGGGACUUUUGCAUGAAACCAAGCGAUUUCUAUCUAGUAAAUUUGAUAUGAAAGAUCUUGGUGGUGCAUCUUUUGUGCUGGGUAUACAGAUCUAUAGGGAUCAUUCAAGAGGUAUACUUGGGUUAUCACAAAAGGCCUACAUUGAUAAAAUGUUGAGUAGAUUUGGCAUGAGCAAUUGUGCACCAGGAAACACGCAUGUGGCAAAAAGCGAUAAAUUUAGUUUGCACCAAUGUCCGAAAAAUGAACUUGAGAAGAAGGAUAUGGAGAGGUUUCCCUAUGCCUCGGCCAUUAGAAGUCUCAUGUAUGCACAAGUUUGUACGCGUCCGGAUAUUGUGUACAUUGUUGGAAUGUUAAGCAGAUAUUUGAGUAACCCAGGUAUGGAUCACUAUAAAAAGGCAAAACGGGUUAUGCGGUAUUUACAAAGGACUAAAGACUAUAUACUCACAUACCAUAGAUCCAGUCAUUUGGAGAUCGUCGGAUAUUCGAACUCCAAUUUCAUAGGAUGUCUUGACAGUAGGAGAUCCACUUCAGGAUACGUCUUCAUGCUGGCUGGAGGAGCAGUUUCAUGGAAAAGUGUUAAACAAACACUUAUUGCUUCUUCCACCAUGGAGGCAGAAUUCAUAGCUUGCUACAAGGCAUCAAACCAUGGGAUAUGGCUACGGAAUUUUAUCACUCAAUUGCGAAUUAUUGAUGGGAUUGAGAAACCAUUGAGAAUCAAUUGUGAUAAUAAGGCCGCAAAAUUGUAUUCUAAGAACAACCGAAGUCCAUCAAAGUCCAAACACAUUGAAAUCAAGUUCUUGGUUGUGAAAGAAAGAGUUCAGAGUCUUCAAGUAUCGAUUGAACACAUAAGCACAAACUCCAUGACUGCGGAUCCGCUCACUAAGGGUUUCCCACCCAAAGUAUAUCAUGAGCAUGUCACACAUAUGGGUGUUGUACACAUUGAUGAUGUGCCAAUAUAGUGGGAGUUUGUAUUUAGAUUUUGUGUUUGUUUUCUUGAUGUGAUAUCAUGUUAUGUUAUCUAUACAGACCUUGGUUUUUAAAGACUAUUGUAUUUGAAUACUCUGAAUUGAAAUGAUGACUUUUAGAAGCAGUUUAGCAUCAAGUGUUGAAAGUGGAAUUUGACUAAUUUUUAGUCAUAAAGUGGGACCAAUUGGAAAUAGACAUAUUAGAGAUCACAUUCUAAGCAACAUAAUCUCCAUUCUCAAGUUCUAAAUCCAUCCAAAUACGUACUUCAUGGCAAAACUGUAACACCCCAAAAUAAACUUUAGGGGCAAAAUAGUAAAUUAUAAAUUAAUUAAUUAAUUAAUUAAACUCAUUAAAGAUAAAAAUCCCUUUUACAAUUAAUAAUCUUUGGUGUAAAUUAGAUUUUUCUCUUGUCUUCUUUAUUCAGAAAACUCUAUUAACCAAAAAUUAGUGAAUUGGAAAAUGUAGGGCUCAAGGUUUGAAGGUCUAGAGUUUGAAGUUCAGAUUUUUCCAAGUAAGAUUCUAACCCUAGAUUAAUAUAUUAUAUUUGUUAAUUAGUUUUGAAUACAUUAGAUAUUCUUUAGAAAAUUUUAAUUUAGAUUAGUGCUAGUUUAGUUAAUUUAUUUUAAGAUCAAAAAAUUGAAAUUAUGAAUAUAAGUUGUUUCAUUUAUGAAAAUAGGGAAAUUUGAAAAAAAUUUUAUAUGAAUAGAUCUAAACAAUGAAAUUGUAAAAAUUAAAUGAGUAAAUAAAUAUAUGAUUAUAUAUGGCUUAAGGGAUUGGAAAAUAAUAAUAAGAAGAAUUGCAUGUUUCUGGAUUUUGGAUUUGAGGCAAUGUGGUGGGGUGACAAAAAAAAUAUGAUAUCUAAUUGUGAAAAGAGUGGUAGUGGAAUAAAUUAAAAUAAUAAUAAUGAGUAGAGUUGGUGGGGUUGUUGGUUAAAAGUACAUGAGAUAUUUUGUUAAAUAAGAGGGAACAUUGGGAUUAAUAAGAAUAAUGAUAAUAAUGAUAUUAAUAAUAAUAAGAAGAAGAAGAAUAAUAAUAAUAAGAAAAAUUGUGUGAUUUGGAUGUUUGUGAGUGAUGUACAAUAGGGGUGUUUUUGGAUAUUGCAAGGUAUCGAAAAAUAUAGUAAUAAUAAUAAUAAUAAUAAUAAUAAUAAUAAUGAUAGUUUUUAAUAAAAGUUUAAAUUUAGUUUAAGUAUACAAAAUAAAUAAAUGGUUAGAAUAAGAUUUGGAAGAAAUAUGAGUUUAUAAAAAAUUUGGAAAUUCAUUAAAUUAUAUUAUUAUUGUUUAAGAAGUUGAAACUAAUAUUGGGUAGUAAUAAUAUUAGAAUAAGAAAUUAAUUAAGAUCCCUAAUGCUAAAUAAAAUAUUUUUAGGAUUGUCAAAUUUUUACCUUUAGAUAAUUGUGUAUGAUAUUAUGUUAGGUGAAGAGUAAAUUCAUCAAGCUAAAUACUUCAAGUUUUUGAGCACUUCUUCAAGGUAAGGGAAAUUAAUGCAGAUUUUUAUAAAUAAUAAUAAUAAUUUUCUUUUUAUAUUGUAUUUUGAAAUGUGUAAAAAUAUUAUUUUUAUCUUUUCGCAUGGAUCAAAUAUGCGUUUUGUGUGGAAAGUAUAUUUGAGAAUUUUCUUUGUUUAUGAAAAAUAAAAAAUUGAGGAGAUAUGAUAUUUUGUUGAGUAAGUUUGACUUAAUGAAAUAAAGUGUUUGACUAUGGAUUAUAUGACCCUAGUCAAUGAGUUAUAUUGUUGAUAUUUUCGGCCUUUGUCAACGAUUUAUAAUAGUUGAUAUUAUAUGGCCCUAGUCAACGAGUUAUAAUAGUUGACCUUAUGACCCUAAUCAACGGGUUAUAAUUGUUGGCUUUUGGUUAUGUUCAUCUUAAAUGGAACAAAUUUGAAACUAGUCACUCAUUUGUAAAGUCUCACCUAAUUGGGCACCAUUUGUUAUUUGAUAAUCAGAGUAAAGAUAUUUUGAAUGUAUUUUAUUUGGUUUUGAUGAGAAAUUGUUUUGAAAUGGAUAUGAGAAAGUUUUGUUGAAAAGUUUGAAUGUAUUAGUAUUUUGAACUUAAAAGUUUUUAUGAAAAUAAGUAUAUGUUAUACAUCCUAUUUGCAAGUAUGAUUGAAAAUGUUUGAUCCAUGAAAUUGUAUUAAUGUUCCUUAUCGGGCUUUGAGUUCCCCUUUUAUUGAUAAUCUUUCAAGUAACCUCAGUUCGGGCGAAGAGUGGCCGUUAUGAGAGAAAUUUGGUUUUAUUAGGACAACUCUUUUUAUCUUGGACAUUGUUGAAAUGUUAAAACUUAAUUCUUGUUUCAAUUAUUUUGAGUUUAGAGUUACUUAGACAAUAACACUUUGGUUGAUGUAUUAGUUUUUAAAAAAAUUUGAUACUUGGAGAUUUUAAAAUUUUGUCCUAGAACAGGAAUUUGAUAAUUGGUAAAUUUCCAGUUACAAUACAGAUGUUUGUGUUGUUUCCACUUUGAGCCUUUAGGCUUGAGAUGUGAAAUGACUGUCAUGCCCUUGGAGUGGGUUUUGGGACAUGAUAGAGUGGUAUCAGAGCACUAGGUUAUGAUCUUGUUGAGAACUUGUUUUAGUUUACUUUUGGGAUAGAUGAGUGACGCAUUAGUUUAAGUUUCAGUUUCAUCUUCUAUAAAUUCAUAUUUUUCCUUAUGAAUCUAAAUUGCCUAAUUGGUUUUUUAGUGACUAAUUUAAUUAUACCAAUGUUUAAUAGGACAACAUGGCACCAAUAAGAACAACAUCUUCCCAAAACAGUCAGGCUAAUAAUGAUGUACCUCUUCCAUUUGAGGGUUUACCUCCCAUGAAUGUAGAAAAGCUUUAUAGGUAUCUUGAGACUUUAGCUGGUUUGGCUAAGCUUCAGGCUAGAGCUAUUGAGACUCAAGCUCUUGGACAACACUCAUCUUCUAAAGGUAGCUCAUUUGAUGACUUUAAUAAGUUAGGUCUUCCUUAAUUUUCUAGUACUUCAGACCCAAUGGAAGUAGAAGCUUGGAUUCUUAAGAUAGAGAAAUUCUUUAAUGUUAUAGAUUGCUCUGAGGAGCAAAAAGCCUCUUAUGCAGCAUUUAUGUUAGAUAAAAAAACAAAUCAUUGGUGGCGUAUGACCAAAAGGCUUUUAGAGGAUUAGGGACCUAUAGUUUGGAGACAAUUUAAGGAGGCAUUUUACAAAAACUACUUCCCUGACAUUGUUAGAUGACAAAAAGUAGGAGAGUUUGUUCGUUUGGAACAGGAGGAUAUGACGGUGGACCAGUAUGAGUCUAAAUUUACAGAGUUGUUACGUUUUGAUCCACAAUUAAUUGCUAUAGAGGAGGAAAAGACAUUAAAGUUUCAGGAUGGAUUGAAGCCUUAUCUAAAGAACAAAAUAUAUAUUUUGAAGCUUAAUGCCUAUUAAAAGGUUGUAGAUAAAGCCCUUAUAGCAGAAAAUGAUAAUAAGGAGCUUUAACAAUACAAAAAACAACAAAGGAAGAGGAGUAGGAGUGAUGGUGCCCAUGAGAACCAAGAACCAAAAAGGUUCGAUUCAAUUGAGAAUCAGAAUAAAGGGGAAACAAUGCAAAAUUCAUAUUUGACUUGUUCUAUUUGUGGUAAGAAACAUUGGGGUAAGUCUUGCUAUAAAGAGUAUGGAGCUUACUUUGGUUGUGGAAAGCAUGGACAUAUGAUUCAGGAUUGCCCAAAGAAUAAGAAGUUUAUGAUUGGGAAGCCUAAGGAAGAGAAUAAAAAUUAUAAACAGAAACCCAAAGUCCAAGGGCGAAUGUUUGUUAUAACUAAUCAAGAUGCUCAAGUCACUUCUGAUGUGGCGACAUGUACUAUUUGAAUUUGCAAUUGGGAAAGUUGUGUUUGCAACUACCUAUUUGAAAGCAUUAUAGAUAUCAAACUGGAAGAAGUUGGAAUAUGAGAUUUGACCGUGAAAUGGCAAAAUAUUAUCUUUCUCAUGCACUCUUUUUCUAACUCCAUUUUAUGUUCCUAGAUUGCCCCUCCAUGUUUCCAUGUCAGCUGCAACCCUAUCUCCAUAUUAGCAGAAAACCCUCCAUGUCACAUAAGAGACUUGAAAUUUAUAAAACAGAAAAAUCAAACCUAUGAAAAAUCACCUGACCCGAGACCCAUGUAAAAUUUUUAAAACCUUUAUUCUCUUUGAUUUGGGAGCUUCUCUCUCUCUCUCUCUCUUGGCUUCAUCACCCACACAAUCCCGAGACCUAUGUAAAAUUUCCUAAAAAUGGUCUCAAAACUCCAACCUGUGUGUUUCUCUCUUGUCCACAUAAAAGUGCAACGAAAUAGAGCAUUCCAUCCUAAGAAUGUCCAGUUAAAAGAAGACUUCAAGAGGCACAUCCAUGAUUAUGAAUCUACUACAGCAGCGCAUACCAGAAUAGAAAGAUGGAAUCCAAAAUAUAUGGUUCGUGAACAAGAUAUCUCUUCCUGUCAUUAAGUGGCAUUUUUCCCUAACCCCAAACUGAAAUAUGAAGGUAAAUUAUUUUCAUUUAUUGUUCUUUAGUUCAUUAAUUUGAUAUAGAGCACAUCAACAAUUUUGGAGUAGUUGGUGGACUUGAACUUUUGUGUUGGGUUAUGGGAACCAUAUUAUUCCCAAAUAACCAUAUGACCCACAAGUCGUAUUGAAUCCAGAUGGAACUUACAACAUAUCUGGUUAUAAGUCACAUUGUUAUUUUGCGGAUUGUACCUUAGGUACUACCUUAAUAGCCCUUAGGUACUACCUUAAUCUACCUUAGGUACUACCUUAAGGGACCUUAGGUACUACCUUAGUUAAAGAUGGGUUCUACCUAUCCCAAGCUCAAACCUUCCUUUGUGACCCUUAGACCAUGCCAUUAUGUGAUUCUUUUGUGUGGGCAAGUGGUCCACCUUUGGUUGUUUGCAGACUAUAACUUAAGUACUACCUUAAUAGCCCUUAGGUACUACCUUAGUUAAAGAUGGGUUCUACCUAUCCCAAGCCUCGGACCUUCCUUUGUGACCCUUAGACCAUGCCAUUAUGUGAUUCUUUUGUGUGGUCAAGUGGUUCACCUUUGGUUUUUUUAGGACUGUACCUUAGAUAUUACGUUAAUAGCCCUUAGGUACUACCUUACUCUACCUUAGGUACUACCUUAAGAGAUCUUAGGUACUACCUUAGUUAAAGUUGGGUUCUGUCUAUUUCAAGCCUCGAACCUUCCUUUGUGAUCCUUAGACCAUGCCAUUAUGUGAUUCUCUUGUGUGGACAAGUGGUUCACAUUUGGUUCUUAGAGGACUGUACCUUAUGUACUACCUUAAUAGCCCUUAGGUAUUACGUUAAUCUACCUUAGGUACGACCUUAAGUGACCUUAGGUACUAUCUUAGUUAAAGUUGGGUUCUACCUAUCCCAAGCCUUGGACCUUCAAUCCCGGACAUUACUUGUUAUAUUUUAAAAUUUGUAGUUUAUCAUUACUAAUACUUUGUAUUUUAAAAUAUGAUAUUAUUUUAAAUUGCAUAUGUUUUUUUUUUUUUAGAAUUUCUCUAAAACAUAUUAUUAAGUAAAUAAAUUUUAAAUCAAAUUAUUAAUUUUUAAAAAUAAUUUGAAACUCAAAAAUCAAUUUAGGGUACUUUUUUAUUUGAAUAACAUAGAAAAUCAUGGAAUUCAACAAAAUAAUAUCAAAAAAAUCAUAAAUUAAAAUUCAUUUUGAAUGACUUCACUAGUUUCUUCUUUAUAUAUAAUUAUAUUUUGGUAAAUUUUUUUAUUUGGCAAAUAAACUCUAAAUCAAGCAAGACUUUGUGCAUUGGAUUCUUUAACGGAUCUAGUAAUUUUUAAAAAUAAGUUAAGCUCAAAUAGUGAUCAAAUUAAUAUGAACAAAAAUUAAUAACUUUAUUGUUUAUUUUCUAUAUAAAAUCAUUUUUUUUAAAUUUUGUUUACUAAAAAAAAUAAACUUCAAAUUAAAUAAAAUUUAAUGCAUUGGAUUUAUUAACAAGUCUAAGUAAUUUUAAAAAAUAAUUUAAAAAUCAAAUAGUGAACCAAUUAAUACCAUAAAUUUUUGGAUAUAAAUUGAUCUCUUCUAUUAUUUAUUUAUUAACAUAGUUAUAUUUUUAUAAUUUCUUUCACUACAAAAAUAAACUUCAAAUCAAACAAUAUUUUGUGCUGAAUUUAUUUAUUUUAAAUUUAUUUUAAAUAAUACUAUUAACCAUUCUUAUUUUUAAAAUAUUAUUAUUAAUUUUCAAUAAAAAAAUAUUAUUUUACAAAGAUGUCAAUAUCCAUAUCUCUAUAAUAAAGAGCAAAAUAGUAUAAUAAAUUCAUUUUAAAUAAUAUUAUUAAUAAUUAUUAUUUUUAAAACAUUGUUAUUAAUUUUUAACAAAAAAAAAAAAUCAAUUAUGCUUUUACAUAGAUGUCAAUAUCCAUAUUUCCAUAAUAAAGGGUAAAAUGGUAUAACUUUAAUAAAAAAAUUAUAAUUUUGUGAUUGUAAUAUAAUAUUACCAUUCCUAUUUUACUAAAGACUAUUUAUUGUUUAAUUACAAAACUAAUUUUAUUUUCAAUAAGAAUUUUAUUAAAUUUAACUAAUAUUACAUAUUGAAUUUUUAUUAAAAUUUAAUUAAUAUUAUAUAAAUUUAAUUUACAAUGUUUUUACAAAAUCAAAAUAAAAAAUAAUGCAUCCAAAUAAGUUUUUUUUUAUCUUUGAAUUUAAAAAUAAAUAAAAAAUAACUUACCAAAUACCCCUAUUUUUAUGAAAUACUAAAAAAUUAUAUCUAUCUAUCUAUCUGUCUAUAUAUAUAUAUAUAUAUAUAUAUAGUUUUUUAACUUCAAACAAUUUUUUCAAAAAUAUAAUAAAAUAUGACCUUAUAUUCUAUUCAAACUUAAACGUUAAAUAGUAAUUCUCUUUUUGUCUGCGAGCUACUAAAUAUUUAUAAAAACUAUCAUCGGAAUAAUAUUUAGAGUGUCUUUGAAAGUAUUUUCUAUAAGGUUAUUGUGGAUCUCGUAUUUUGCACGAUACGUUAUUACUCGAUGAUGUGACACUUUUUAAUUUAUUUGGUGAAAAUUUGAUAUUUUUUUAAAAGGACUUGGAGUCACCACUUAUUUUUGUUUUAUUUUUUUAAGGGAAAAAAAUAAGAAAUAAAAACCCUAAGUGUGACUCCUAAAGCUAUGAAAAACCGAGUCUGAGUCCAAGGGUCAAGUUACUUAUUGAGAAGGUACAGUGGUGAGCCGUAGCAUCCCUCUAAGCCCAUAUACGUACGGCCUCUACUAAACGAAUUAAGGGAAUUGUGACAAUUAAUUAAUUAAUUAUGAAUACUAAGAAAAAUAAUCAUGCAAAUGAGUAUGUACAAGUCAUGGUGAAAAUCAUUAUACAUAAAAAUAAUGAUGAAAUAUAAUUACAAGAAUACACAAAAUAAAUAACAAGAGAAUUAUGCAAAAUGAUUUAUUGAACUAAAAAAUAUUUCAAAAGAAUCAGUUUUCAAGAAAUUUAAAAACAAUUUUCAAUUAAUAAUUUCAAUUUAUUUAUUUACAAAAAAAGGUCAAUUUAUUUUCUCAACUUCAUUCGUAUUCAAUUUUCAAAAAAGUUAUUUACACUUAUUAUAUCAAAAGAAUUUAUUACAAAAUUUCAAUUUGGCAACAAAAAUUAUUUUACUUGCUUUUACAAAAAAUGAAUGAAUUUUUGUAAUUUUAUUUACAAAAGUAUUUCAAUUUGUUUUCAUUUAAGAAAAGUGAUUUAUACAUAUUAUUUAAAAAGACAUGACUUUAUUUGCAAAAGGAAUUUUAAGUGAAAAGAAAAAAAAAAUUUAAAUCAUCAAUUUCUAAAAAAAUACUUUUAAUCCCAUUUUAAUUAAGGAAAAAGAAUUCAUUUUUAAAAAAAAAAAAAAAAAAAUUGGACAAUUUUAUUAAAAAUUAAAUUUUGGGACACCUUUAUUUACAAAACAAUUUUUAAACAAUUUUUAUUAAACAAAGAAAUUUUUGGACAAUUUUAUUAAAAACAAUUUUUCAAAUUCUAUUAAAAAAAAUUCUUUUGGAUUUUUCUAAAUACAUUUUUCUGAAUUUUUAUUAAUAAAAAAACUUUCUUUUAUUAAAAAUAAUAUUUUAAAAUUAUUAUUUUAUUAAAACAUAUUUACUAAAUUCUUCCUCUUAUUUAAACAAAAUUUAUAGUUUGUUCGAUAUUCAGUUUUGUACAUACUAAAUAAAUAUAUACAAAUGAAUAUUUAUAAGAACUAAUAAAAAUAAAACCAAAUAAAAGUGAGAAAUAAAAUAUGUACCCAAAUAAACUUACAACAAACUCAACGUCUUCCUACAACUUUUCGAGUCUCACUUUCUUCCAUGAAAUUUCGUGUUCCAUAUGUCAUAAAUUCGUACUCGGACAACAAUAUUACAGAAUGGGUCCAUACAAAAACAAAAACAUCUCAAAUGUAAAUAUCUAAAAAUGUAUAAAAUUCAUAAUAGAUAUUCAAGCCUAAAUUCAAAUUUCAAAUUAGUUCAAUAAAUUUCAUCAAUUAAAAGUGGGCUCAAAUUAGCAAAUAUAACCCAACAAAAAUAUUUCACAUGUCAUAAGCCCUAAUCUAAAAUUUUCAAAUUAAUAGCCAAAAUAUAAGCUCAAUUAAUCAAACCCAAAACAUGAUAAAUUAAAAUAAAUCUCAUUAGGCCUAAACUUAAUAUCUCAUAAUCCAAGCCCAAUUUAAUAUGCAAACCUACAUCCAAAAUAUAUCACAAUAAUAUAUCAAAUCUAAAUUAAAUAAUUCAAAUGAGUACAACUAUAUCAAUUAUCAACUAAUCUAACCAAAAAUAGCAAAUUCCAAAUUAAUUGACCAACAAUAAAUUAACCCAAAAUUCAUAUUAAUUUACCAACAACAAAUUAACCCAAAUUUCAUAUUAAUUCAACAAUCCAAAUUUCAUAAACAACAAUUACUAUUAAAAUAAAAGGAAAAUAAUAAUAAUAAUAAUAAUAAUAAUAAUAAUAAUAGAAAAUAAGUGGGAUGGGAAAGUGAGGGAAUGAGAGAAAAUGGGAGGGGGUCGUCGACGGCGACUAGCCGGUGAUCUACCGAUAGUGAGGGUUGAUGGGUUUUUGGGAAGCAAAAAUGAAAUAAAAAUAAUAAUGAUAAUAAUAAAAAUGAUAAAUAAAUAUAAAAAAAUGGGAGGAAUAAAAAUGAAGAAAAUGAGGACGAAAGGGUGCCGACAUCAGACCACCGGCAGUGAUGAUGGAGUCGGGUGUGGAUGUGGGCAUUGGGAUGAGCCGUAGGAGAAAAUAAAAUGGAAAAAAAAUGGGCGCCGGUCAUCCAUGUGUGUUGUGGGGAAAGAAAAAAAAUGAAAAAAUGAAGUGGGGAAAUGAGGGAACACGAUUGGGAAUCGGAGUUGGGGUGUGGUCAGGGAGAAAAAAUCCAUAAAUGGGGAGAAUGGAGGUCUAGGUAAGGUCAUCCAACUGCCAGCCCUAAGAGAGGGAGAAGAAAUGGAAGGGCUAAAUGGGAAGCCAAGAAAGUGGGUAGGAAAAAGAGAAAUAAAAAAAAAUAAAAGAGAAUGAUGGAAGAAAUGUGAGGGGGGGCAUGUCCCCAUGACGUGGGAGGGAUGAGGGUAGGUGAGAGUAACUAGGGAAGAGAAAGAGGAAGAGAGAGAAAAGAGAGAAAAUAAAAAAAUAAAUAAAAUAUAAAUAUAAUAUAAUAAUAAAAAUAAAAAAUACAAGUAAAACAAUUUACAAAAUAAUAAAAAUUAAGAAUUAAAGGGUGAGUGGGUCAAAAAUAUCACAUAUAAUCAGGAUUUAAAAUUUAAGUACAAAAUUGGACUCGAAAUUAACGUAAAAAUAAAAUUUGGACAAAUUUUGGGGUCUACAGCUAUGUUUGGUUUAAAAGAUAUGAUACCAUAAGAUAUAUACAUAUAUUAUAAUAUCAUAUGUCAUUGGAUUGAAAAUACAUAUCCUGUGGUAUGAUUUCCAAUGAGAUAUGUAUUAUUGGAUGUACAUAUUCUAUAAACAUGAUAUUUAAAUGUAGCAUAUGAAAUGAAAUAUAUUAUGUUUAUAUUUAAUAUGUAAAAUGGAUUAAAAAAAAAAUAUCAAAUAUAUAUUAUUUUUAAUUGUUUAAAAUAAAAAUUAUAUCACAUUCUAAUAUUUUAUAUUUUAAAAAUUAAAUUUAUGUUAUUCAAUAUAUCAAAAUAAUUUAUAUAUCAUAUAUUAAUAUUAUUUUAUAAUAUUUUUUAUACAAAUUUCUGUAGUAUUUCUUUUUCAAUCAUAAAUUUAAUUUAUAAUAAAAAAAUUAUUUUACAAAAUAAGUAUAUAAAAAAAAAUUAUGAUACAUGAGAUAUGCAUAUCUCAUAUUAUAGUAUAAGAGUAACAUAUCAUAUGUAGAAGGGACAUACUUGCCAUGAUUAGGCUUCAAUUGAGGUUGAAUUUGGAAUGCCUAUGCUCAGAACAACUGCUAUGAUAAUGCAAAAGAGACAUUGAAACAACAUUUUAUGAUAACAUUUCAUAUUAACACAACCAAAUUUAAAAGAUUCCAAGGAAAAACAAAGAAUAAAAUGUUUUGAAAUAACAUUAGUUAUUCUAUCAUCUCCUGAGAUUGGUCUCCUAAAAGCUGAGUACCAAAGUACAGUGCCACUCUGACCAACCAACUCUAAAACCAGUAUUACACUACACACCAUAUUUCCCAUCAAUCUCUCAAUCUCUUCACUACACUACAAUACAAGCCAGUGGGUGAUUUGAAACCAUAUAGAAAAGUGUUAUCAGGAGAAAUUCUAUUCUAGCUAACAUCUUUUCAAUAUUUUGGAGCACAAAAAACAGAAAUUUGAAAUUGAAGACUUCAUAUGUUUUCCAUACUUGGUGAGACUUUUAAGGAAAGAAGUAGAUCUUAAUGAAGAGUGCCAGACCUAUUUGCAAAACAAAUGAAGCAACAAUCACCAGACUUAUGUUGUUACCCUGUAUGUAGGACCUCAGGUUCAAGGCAACAAAGCAAGCUGAUGCGCCACCUACAAGGACUGUGACGAGCCACCGCAGAAACUCAAUCGGAAUAACUAAUAGGACCUGAAAAUGUUCCAGGAGAACAAAUUAGAUGUUCACAAGACUACUACUUAGAAACCCAGAAACUGAAAAUUACACUAUUAAGGUUCUGCAGCAAUGAAAACCCCUAUGUGUUAAUACUUUAAAGACAACAACAGAAUAAACUGGCACUGGAGGUCCAUAGUUUGGAUGAUGCACCACCAACUAUUAACCUAAAUGCUUGCUUGUUAUGUAAUGUAUCUUUUAUUAAGUAAAACUUAAAAGAUACAUUAUGUAACAAUCUUGCUUUAACUCUAGUUAUUUCCCCUACUAUAUAAUGUUUUUAUAAUUGUACAUAUAUUUGACUAAUAUUGCUUUAUUGUAUGUAGUGCAUUUCUAUUAUUUAACAUAUAUUUGGACUUCUAUAUUAAAACAUAUAUUUGACUCAUAAUAAACUUGAUGCAUACAAAAAUACAUACAAACAUAUAUACUUAUGUGGAUGUAUACACGGUGUACAUGCAGGUAUAUACAUACAUAUACAUGCAUACAAAUAUACAUACGUAUAUCAGAAUCUAUUAGACAAAAGAGAUAGAUAACAAAGGACAAAAUUCCUCCAAAAGAAGGAAACAUACACAAGUAUAUUAUAAAAGGAAAACCUUUGGCUUCCCAGCCUUAAGGAAAAAUCCCUAAACUUCAGAGGGGCAUGUGAUCAUCACAUAUGAUGCACCAAAAAAAAAACUCAAAGAAGAAUUUUAUAGACAUAGUGAUAUUUGCAAAGCAAAAUGGAGCAUAAUGUUCCAAAUUUUCCAAUUUAUUUUUUAGCAGAGACACUACAAGAAGAUACGUCACCCUUUCUACAACUAUCACUAAAGUGCCAUCCUAUUGACUAAGACUAAUCAGCUUGGCUCAAUUUUAUCCAACAACCCCCCUAAACAAGAUGUCUUAAGGAUACAGUUGGACCACAAGGCCAUCGAUAAUGUCAGUGAUCAAGAAAGAAACAUAUAAGCACCGUAUUUUUGCACAUAAAGAAUAUUUGAGAUGAGAGAGUGGGCAAGUAUAGGAUCCAAUGAUAAAUUUGACUGCGUGAAAGAGAGACUAAUAAUAACCUAAAUAUCCAAGCUUAUCAAGAGUAAUAUACUUGAGAAAGAUAAUUUGCCAAUAUAGAAUGAGGUCCAACUACUGAUUAUUGGGGAAAGGUUGAUGUUUUAUUUUAUAGAAGAUGGUGUUUCAUACCUCAACAUCAAGAUGAAUUCAUUGAUAUCCAUUGGUUAUACUCAUCCAUCCUUAUUAUAAAGAAGCUGGAACUUGGGGAGUCGCCUCCACCAUAUGCCUUCACAUUUAUAGGUAAAGAAAACUUGCUUACAAUCAAUCUCAAAUAUCCAACAUUAAAAAAAAAAAAUAACUAAGAAGAACCAUGAUUGCUUCAUAUUGAUGCACACAUUCGCAACUUCAGAUGUAUCAAUAGCACUAUUAGUGUUCCUUAAGCACAUUUUUAGAUUAUUCUGUUGCAUGUAAGUAACACCUCUUAUAGGCCUGAAAUCAACAAUGAAGAUACUAUAAGAUGAUGAAGCAUUUUACUCCACCUAGAAAUGACUUUAAAAUGUAGACAUCUCCAUGAAAAGAUCCUUAGUUUGGAAUUUAGCUUCCAUCGUAAAUGUAAAGCUCUGUCUAGCAAUGGGCUAUGUGGUGAAGCAAUCAUAAGUCUGAGCAAAGGGUGUUGGUCAAAUAGUAGAAAAGGCGAGCAUAGGAGCUACUUAAUAGUAGAGAUGCCAAAGGUCAAUUAGACAUUUAACUGAUUGAGCCAACCUUUAAAAAAAGUUGACAUACAAAAAUUAAUGAACUAUCGAUGUACAUGUGAAAAUUUGUUGAGAUUAUAAUGUUGAAGUGUAUGUAUUUCAAAUCCAAUGUUUUUACCAUAUGACUGAAAAGUAGGAAACAAAGUUUACUUCUAGUAAUUGAAUUAAGUUCAUGCUAAAAUGAGAUAAAGGAAAAUGUGAGAAAAAUUAUUUCAUCAUUUGCUCAAGUAGCCCCUGUCAAAGUAGGACCUCUUUCAUUUUUUUCUCACUUUUGAAAUAUUGAAGAGCCUGAGCCUAAGGGUUGAACCCUACUAGAGAAGAAGUACAUAAAGAGCCACCUGACAUGGGCUAAAAUUAAAAUAAAAAGACAGAACACAAAAGGAAUAUGCAUGCAGAAAAUAGUAUCACCAUUGGCACUUGACUCAUAGCACUGAAUUCAGGAAAUCCAUGAAAGAUACCAUUUCUUCCCCAUGGGUAUCUAAAAAGCAUAAAUACCAAGCUUUAAGGAACACGUCACUAAGUUUCAGCACAGGGAGCUCUACAUAAAAAAGGUUCUCAUGUUCCUUCUUCCAAAUACACCAAGAACACAAAGUGGAGCAGAUAUCCAAAGGCUCCCUCUUUAUAUGUCUAUGCACACACACACACAAACAUAAUAACAUUACUUCUUUUCUUUCCCACAGAAAUUCCUCUCUAAAACCAUAGAAAGCUCUUUAUUCGAUCAAGGCAGAACACAAAAAACACAAGACAAGGAAAAAACUAGAGACUAAAAAGGUGGUCUACCAUACAACGUAGAAGGAUAUAGUUCACGAAGUCCUCAUCCUCAUCCUUUUGCAUAAGCAACACCAAUUAACAAUAGCACAACCCCUAUGCCCCCACACAAAUGCCACUUUGUCAAAUGGGAGAGCCUGCUAACCUCAACUCCACUCCACAUAUAACCCUUUCAAACUACAGGUAAACCUAAGUUAUAGGCAUGUAACACUUUCAUUAACCUUCCAAAUCAAUUAAUUUUGUCAAAUUCAAACAGCAAGUACCUAACAGGUUCUCAAAUCAACCUUUUUUUCUUUAAUAUAUUUUCAUUUACACAAAUCUGAUUGUUAUAAACAAAAAAAAUACAAUGAUACUCCUAAGCACAAUCAAAUUGGAAACUUAUGCAUCUUAGUAAUUUUUUUAAUUGCAUUUCCACAUAGCUAAUGAAUCAAGAAAAUAAAAUAUGUUCCUUGUUAACAGUAAUACUGGUAAUUGGAAAAUAGUGCCACAAAAAUGGAAAUCACAAUUCCCAUCAAAUUCACAACUGGAAAGAACAUCAUAAGCUAAAAUAAGAAACAAAUAAAUAUUAUUUAUCUUCAAAAUCAUUCAUUUCUUCAUCAGUUUGUAUUCACUUUCUCACAGGAAUCAUAUACAACCCCCAUCUCCACUUCUUAUCCAAUAAAUAGAAGGUUUAAAAGGACAAGUAUAUGAUGAAAUAGGAAUUGAAUUUGAAUCAUCAUUAAAAUUUAAAAAGAACAAAUAACAAACAAAGACAAAAUUUAAAACCUAAGAAGAUCUUUUGGAUUUUGGAUUGAUUCGCAUCAUGUAAACAAACAAAAGAAACAAAUAGAAAAUAAAGUCAUGACAAAUAAUUGCAAGCUCGUAUUACCCAAAUCAAACCCUGUUACCCUGACCCUUCUCUGUACAUCAAAAUCCUACUUCACGAUUUGAUUUCACACCAAACUCGUAUGGAUAUGAACAGAAACAAAAAGAGAAUCCAUAUCAACAUAUUCCCUGAAACAGAAACAAAAAAAAAUAAGCAAAAAAAAUUGAAAAAAUAAAUCCAAAAAAACAAAAAGGAAAACUGGGUGGCUUUAAAUUCAGAAAGAAACUGAUUUAAAAAGAGGUGGGUCCAUUUGGAAAUUUCUUUAACCAAAACAAAUUGUGUCUCAUCUUCAUUCAUGCGAAAAUUAAUCAAAAUACAACAAACCCCAAAAUAUAACACCUUUAGCCCCAAUAUUUUCUCAAUAGCCAAAUGAAUCCUUAAAUGGAAAACUCACCUAUGAUUGAUUAAUCCACAACAAGAGGAAGCUCCAUUUCGGUUUCCAAAAACCUUAAAAAAAUUCAACCUUUGGUGAAUAAAUAUGAAGAUAUGCCUUAACUUUGGCUUCGUUGAAGGUUUUCGAAAGAUGCCUAUCGGGUUUGGGUGGUCAACUCGUGAAAAGAGACACAAUAGGGUUAGGCCAAAAUCAGACGAAGAUGGCUUUGGGAAGAUGGGUAUCCAUCGUCUAGUCAGGACGUCAAUAAACAGAUCAGUUGCCUACCUUCGUGUAUCAAACGAGCUAUGAAAAUGGGAAUUUUUUUAGAUCGAGUCAGGGCAAAAUGAGAGGAAGUGACAGAAAGAGUUUUGCAACUUUCAAAUGUUUAUCAGGUCGGGUGUUUUGUGGGUUUCAGAUUUGACAACUUCAAGUUUCAAAUUUUGGUGUUUAUUAAAUUACGCACCUACCUGCUGACAUGGACAUUGGUGACUAUUGACAGGGAAACAUUAAAGGGCAAUUUUGGAAAUGCAAACCUAAACAGUAUAUAGUGCAUGAGAAAUAUAAUAUUUUUCCCAUUAAUAGGCACAUCUCAUAUUUCAUUUAUGUGGGUUUCCAAAACCAUAUAUCUUCCUAGUAGCAGCCUACAAACACAACUUUCCCUUUGCAAUUUAUUGUUAGAGCCUUGAUUGAUCUAAACUCAACAUAAUCUAUGUUUCAAUAUCUUUUGUUGGUUUGUUGGGUUUGCUUGUUGAUAGCCUAAACUUUGAUUUGAUUGUUGUUUUUCCUAUGGGAUAUUCUAUUGUGGAUAAUAUUAUGUUUAGAGGUUAUCUUAUGAUGACUAGUUAUAUGGAGAUGUUAGUGGACUUAAUACUUCUUGACAUUAUGAUUUUGAUGUGAUUUUGGAGAUGGAUUAGUUAGUUUCCUUCUAUGUCUAUAUUAAUUAUUUUGGUAAAAAGGGUGACUAUCCACAUUCCUAACUAAUAUACAUUUAGUUUUGAGGGAAAACAUGUGAUUAGACCAUUGUGUAUGAUCUUAGCUUUAUGGGCUAGUUCAUUGCUUAGAAAAAGGUUGUUAAGGGUUUUAUGCUUAUGUAGUGCGUGAUAAAAAAAAUAAAAAAUAAAAAAAUAAAAAUUACAAUAUAUUAUUGCCAAGUUGAUAAAGGUUUAAUGAUGCAAUCUUAGUAUUCAAGAGGUCACUUAGGAAUUAGAAAAUGAGAUAAGAGAAAAGCAUCCUCAUUAUUUGAAGAUUUAUGUACAUCAAGUUUAGAUGACUAAACUUUUGUUAAGGAGGGGAGGAUGUAACACCCCAAAAUAAACUUUAGGGGAAAAAUAAUGAAUUAUAAAUUAAUUAAUCAAUCAAUUAAACACAUUAAAGGUAAAAGAGUCCUUUUACAAUUAAUAAUCCUUGGUAUAAAUUAGAUUUUCCUCUUGUCUUCUUUAUUCAGAAAACUCUAUUAACCAAAAAUCAGUGAAUUGGAGAACGUAGGGCUUAAGGUUUGAAGGUCUAGAGUUUGAAGCUCAAAUUUUUUCAGAUAAGAUUAUAACCUUAAAUUAAUAUAUUAUAUUCGUUAGUUAUUUUUUAGCAUAUUAGAUAUUCUUUAGAAAAUUUUAAUUUAAAUUAGGGUUAGUUUAGUUAAUUUAUUUUAAGAUAUAAAAAAAUUGAAAUUAUGAAUAUAGGUUGUUUCAUUGAUGAAAAUAGGGAAAUUCGAAUAUUUUUUUUUAGAUGAAUAGAUCUAAGCAAUGAAAUUUUAAAAAUUAAAUGAGUAAAUAAAUAUAUGAUUAUAAGUGGCUUAAGGGAUUGGAAAAUAAUAAGAAGAAGAAUUGCAUGUUUUUGGAUUUUGGAUUUGAGGCACUAUGUUGGGGCGACAAAAAUAAUAAUAAUAUGUAACCAUGAAAGGCAAAGGGUGGUAGUGGAAUAAAUUAAAAUAAUAAUAAUAAUAAUGAGUAGAGUUGGUGGGGUUGUUGGAGUUGUUAGAAGUAUAUGAGGUAUUUUGUUAAAUAAGAGGGGACAUUGGGAUUAAUAAAAAUAAUGAUAAUAAUGAUAUUAAUAAUAAUAAUAAUAAUAAUAAUAAUAAUAAUAAUAAUAAUAAUAAUGAUAAUAAUAAUAGUAAGAAUUGUGUGAUUUGGAUGUUUGUGAGUGACAUAUAGUAGGGUUGUUUGGAUGUUGCCGGGUAUCGAAAAAUAUAGUAAUAAUAAUAGUAAUUGGUUUUAAUAAAAGUUUUAAUUUAGUUUAAGUAUACAAAAGAAAUAAAGGGUUAGAAUAAGAUUUGGAAGAAAUAUGAGUUUAUAAAAAAUUUGGAAAUUCAUCAAAUUAUAUUAGUAUUGUUUAAGAAGUUGAAAAUAAUAUUGGGUAAUAAUAAUAUUAGCAUGAGAAAUUAUUUAGGAUCCUUAAUACUAAAUAAAAUAUUUUUAAGAUUGUCAAAUUUUUACCUUUAGAUAAUUGUGUAGGAUAUUAUGUUAGGUGAUGAGUAAAUUCGUUAAGCUAAAUAAUUCAAGUUUUUGAGCGUUUUUUCAAGGUAAGGGAAAUUAAUGCAGAUUUUUAUAAAAGAAAAUAAUUUUCUUUUUAUAUUGUAUUUUGAAAUGUAUAAAAAUAUUAUUUUUAUCUUUAUGCAUGAAUCAAAUAUGUGAUUUAUAUGAAAGGUAUAUUUGAGAAUUUUAUUUGUUUAUGAAAAAUGAAAAAUUGAGGAGAUAUGAUAUUUUGUUUUGUAAGUUUGAAUUAAUGAAAUAAAGUGUUUGACUUUGAAUUAUAUGACCUUAAUCAACAGGUUAUAAUUGUUGACAUUUUCGACCCUACUAAAUGGGUUAUAAUAGUUGACUUUAAGGUCAUAGUCAACGGAUUAUAAUAGUUGACCUUAUGGCCCUAGUCAACGGGUUAUAAUUGUCGACUUUUGGAUUUAUUCACCUUAAAUGGAACAAAUUUGAAACUAGUCCCUCAUUUGUGAAAUCCCACUUAAUUAGGCACCAUUUGUUAUUUGAUAAUCAGAGUAAAAAUAUUUUGAAUAUAUUUGAUUUGGUUUUUAUGAGAAAUUGUUUUGAAAUGAAUAUGAGAAAGUUUUGUUGAAAAGUUUGAAUGUAUUAGUAUUUUGAACUCAAAAGUUUUUAUGAAAAUAAGUAUAUGUUAUACCUCCUAUUUACAAGCAUGAUUAAAAAUGUUUUAUCAAUAAAACUGUAUUAAUGUUCCUUAUUAGGCUUUGAACCCAUCCCCCUUUGUUGAUAAUCUUUCAUGUAACCUCAUUUUGGGUGAAGAGUGAUCGUUAGGAAGGAAAUUUGGUUUUAUUAGGAUAUUUGUUUAAACUCUCUUUAUCUUAGACAUUGUUGAAAUGUUAAAACUUAAUUAUCGUUUGAAUUAUUUUGAGUUUGGAGUUAUUUGGACAAUAACACUUUGGUUGAUAUAUUAAUUAUUUUUUAAAAGUUGAUAUUUGAAGAUUUUAGAAUUUGAUCUUACUACUCUGAACAGGAAUUUGGUAAUUGGUAAAUUUUCGAUUACAAUAUGGAUGUUUGUAUUGUUUCCACUUUGAGCUUUUGGGUUUGAGGUGUGAAAUGAUUGUCAUGCCCUUAGAGUGGGUUUUGGGCGUGACAAAAAUAAUUCAUAUCUCAAAUGGAAAACACUCAACAAUUUUCCCAAAUUUCUUUCUUUUUAGCCAAAUAAAAUAAAAUUGGAUCCACAACAAUGGUUUUAGGCAAUGAAGAUUCAGCAACAUCAAAAUGUGGAAAAAUAAUAGAUCUAAUCCACUUGCAUGCUAAUAAAUAAAUAAUCCAACACCAUCCAAAUUUAUAUUAUAAUUCAAAAAAAAUUACCUUUAAAAGUUCCCAUUGAUAAUAACGAGUAGCUCGAUCAUACUGACACAAAGAAGAUACCUCUAAUUGUUGGUGUAUUUUUUUGCUUGUGAAAUCAAGCAUUGACAUAAAAGCAAAAAAAAAAGGAAUGAAUCAUUUUACCAUAUCCCAACACAAAUAAAUAAAUAAAUAUACUUGAUAGAUUUAUAAUAUAACACCAAAAAAUACAAAAUGAAAAUCCAAUCCAAAAAUAAAAUAAAAUAAAUCAAGAGAUAGAAAUUGAAAAGGGUUUGAAAGUUAGAACAGGUAUUGGAAUUGGGUUUGGGUGCUCAAGUGGGCUAACCCGACUUGACCCAAAAACUGUCACUAUUGUAAAAAAAAAAAAAAAAUUCUCUCUAUGGAAACCCUCUCUUUCUGAGUACUCUCCCUCAAAAAACUUUUUUUUUCUCUCUCCGAAAACCAAAAAGUGAAAAAUAUAUUUCUUCUUUCCCUAAAAACAAAAGAAAGAAUAUAUUUUUCUUUCUAAAAGAAAAUCAUUUCUCGAAGUUUUUUCUAUUUUUCUUCCUAAAAACGAAAAUCAAGGUUCUUGUACCGUACGAAAAGAAUAAUCUUUAUAUUUAUAAUUUCAUUCAUGACUUGAAGCAAAAAAAUUGAUCAGUAAAAUAACCAAUCAGAAUUCUUAAGCAUUUCAAUAGGUAAUCAAAUGCAUUAUUUUUCAUGAAGGAAAAAUUUUGAAAAACAAAUAAUGAAUAGAAUCCAUAAAGAUAAAGGAAGAAUCCAAAAAUAAAGAAAAUUAUAUAUAUAAUUGCAGUCGUAAUUGGUACAUGAUAAAUGGGUGACGAUUUUCAAAAGUGAAAUAAUUGUAAAUGAAUCCAAAUUUACUUAAAAACCAAGUCAUGAGGUGGAAGGAAAUCAUGUUUAUGAGAGUUGUCGCCGUGAUUGGACUAGGCGUCUAGCAUAUAAAGUCGAGAGAUGCAAGUGGGAACUCCUAAAUACGAAUAUGGUAUUAAUGUUUAGGCGCGGGUGGCUUGAUGGUUUUGAAAACCGGUUUUUGCGAGAAAAAUAUUUUGACAAACACGUCACACUUUUGAAAUUAGUAGGCAGACGUUUGAGCUUUUACACGACGAUAACACGAACCGUCGAAUAGGAAAUGACGCGCGUAAGUGGAAAGGUGGGAAUUAAAAAGUUGUUGGGGUUUGAUCUCAAGGCAUAUAUCUAAUUUUUAAAAAGGAAAAAGUGGGACAUGGCGGCUCCGAGUCUCCGACUGUCGUCAAAAGCGUGUGGGCCUCUCUCCAUUGUCAUUUCCGGGCAACUCCAAUCCAGCGGAAUAUGAUUCCAUUCCCGUCAACCAAAAGUCUAGCUCAAUUAUCUGUUCAGUGAUCCGAAAUGGCCAAUAAACCACUCACUCUCUUGCCCACGGGUUAUAAAUCAAGCUGCAGCGUCACAGCUUCAAAUCACACACAGAGAGAGAAAAUUUGCACAGAGAAUAUGGGAGAAACACUUGGAGAUCGUAUUGGGUUGAGCGACGAAGUCAUUAAUGCAGCGGCUUCUCUAGCCAUGAAAGCCCACGAUUGCACUGGUAAGCCAUUUCUUCGCAAGAAAGGCUUACCCGUUACUGUUUUUGCAUUUGCUGGAUCUUGGCUUCCCGAUGAUUGGUGUGCGCAGCCACCUUUUGGAGAAACGAAGAUGGAUACUAGUAACUUUCCUUCGCUUAAAAGUUUAGGCGAUGACGGAGUCGCUCUGGUCAACGGGUCGUUUCUCCGGCGAUUCAAUGCCAUCCAAUCAUCACUUGCCAAAAAGGUACUUCAAUUCAACUUAUGCAUAGAUAUAUGAAAAACAAUCUCGUGAAUUCAAAAUGUGGAUGUUGGGGUUGGAUUUUUCAGGUGAAAAAAGUAAUUGGAGAGAAGAAGCAAGUUGUUUUCACCGGCUACUCGUCGGGUGCUCCGGUGGCCAUCCUGGCAACUCUAUACCUCUUGGAGAAGUCAGAGCCCAAUCAGAGCCCACCCCGCUGCGUCACUUUCGGAUCCCCCCUCGUCGGUGAUCGGAUCUUCUGUCAUGCUGUCAGGCGGGAGAAAUGGUCCGACCACUUCAUUCAUUUUGUUAUGAGAUACGAUGUGAUCCCUCGGAUUAUGCUUGGCCCUUCAUCCACUGAGCACAAACAAAUUCUCGAUUUAUUCAAUCCCGGAUCCGAAUCCUUCAGAAAACACACUGAUUCUUCUUUAGGUUUAUAUUCCAGCGUGAUGAGGAAUGCAUCCAUGGUUGCAAACUAUGAUGCCUGCAAUUUCAUGGGAUGCAAAAUCCCGGCGUUGGAAACUCUAAGGAACUUCAUUGAGCUCAGCCCUUACAGACCUUUCGGAACUUACAUCUUCUUCAGUGGAAGUGGAAAACCGGUUGUCGUAAGGAACCCGAAUGCAGUACUGCAGAUGCUGUUUUACUAUGCUCAGUGGAGCCAAGAAGAAGAUGCAGAGGCUGCAAAAAAGGGCCUAAAUGAACACUUG
rnacentral:lncRNA from 1 species